CCUGAAGAACGUAUACAAGUCAUUCGUGAGCGAGUACCCCAUUGUGUCGAUUGAGGACCCAUUUGACCAGGAUGACUGGGUGCACUAUGCUAAGAUGACUGAGGAAUGUGGAGUGGAAGUUCAGAUUGUUGGUGAUGACCUUCUAGUCACCAACCCAACUGUGAGUGAUUUGCUCUGUUGAGUAGGUGGUCACUUUCAUUUUGUUGCACCACUGCAAUUGCUUACAUCACUUUGUUGUGCAGAGAGUUGCAAAGGCAAUCCAGGAGAAGUCAUGCAAUGCUCUUCUGCUGAAGGUAUUAUUCUCUUCAACCAGAAGUUGGUUCUUACUCGUUAUUUUCCUGUGAUGAGUCUAGUGUGAUGUCUUGCACAUUCUGAUUGUUCAUUCUUUCCAUGUAAUAGGUUAACCAAAUUGGAUCCGUCACUGAGAGUAUCGAGGCUGUGAAGAUGUCAAAACAUGCUGGCUGGGGUGUCAUGACCAGCCACAGGAGGUACUUGAUAGGAGAUACUUAUUACACGACUGUUAUCCCUUUGUUUCUCUUGUUACCAUCUGUAUGCUUAUUUUACAUCCACUGUCUGCAGUGGUGAGACCGAGGACACAUUCAUUGCUGAUUUGGCUGUUGGUUUGUCCACGGUAUUAUUCUAUAAUCUGCAUAGAACUUGCAACGCUCGCUACCUUCUCCUUUGGAUCGAUGGCCGACUGACUGACCAAUGUUUCUUCAUGUGCAACAGGGUCAGAUUAAGACCGGGGCUCCCUGUCGCUCGGAGCGUCUUGCCAAGUACAACCAGGCAAGUAGCUCUCCUGUUUAUUCUUGUUCUGCUGAAGCAAUCUUCUGGUAUUAUGUUGGCCAACAGGACCUUACAAUCAAACAAAAGAAAUUUAUUUGACCCCCAUGCUUUAUUCUAUUGUUCAGUGCCUUGUGUUCAUUUUGCAUUUGAUGCGUCUCAUUUGUGUCUGAUCUUGAUAAGCAUUCAUUAUUUUUUGCGAAAACAAACUAAGAGCUAUUUUUCCCCAAAUGGAACAGCUUCUGAGGAUCGAGGAGGAGCUGGGCGAUGCCGCUGUGUACGCCGGCCUCAAGUUCCGCGCACCGGUGGAGCCCUACUAAACGGGGAUCUGCAUGAGUUUUUGUGAAGAAAAUGGGUGUGUUUUAACCUCCGGAAUGAACUCUGGUUGAAGCUCUUAGGAUUGAGCAAUAAUGAAUGCCGCGCAUGUUUUAUGUGAACGGAACGGAUAUGUACCCUCAAACUUGCUCCAAUUUUGGUCCUUGUGGAUAUGUACCUGAUUCGGCCUGAACCUUUUGGAAGUGUAAUACUAGUUUUUGGCGCAUCAUCUUCGCCUUUCUUGCGUUAGUUUACUCUCUUUGUUUCAGAAUGCAUGCUUCUGAGAAGUGUUGACCUGUUUUCAUCUUUGCUUGGUAUUCUCAAAAUCUCUUUUACUCUUAAAGAAACCCGCUUCUGUUGUCACUGAUGGGGCGUCCCUAGGGGGCUGAAUCCACUGUUUUGACCAUUUUUCUAAACUUAGCAUGAUAAGCAUGAUGUUUUGUAAAAUUUUCAUGAUCCGACCCUUUUCCUACCGCCCUUGGUUAAUGGUGGUAGGAUAUAACUGCCUACCGCGGAACCGCCCUUGGUUAAUGGUGGUAGGAUAUAACUGCCUACUGCGGAACCGCCCUUGGUUAAUGUUUAAGUGGAAGAGCGCAUUCUUCUGGGUUGGGCUGCCGCCACCCUUCAUCAACCUCACCGGCAGCAGAAACGACGGGAAGGGGAAGGGCAACGUGCAGGAGUGUGUUCUUUUUUAUGUUUUAUUAAUGUUUAAGUGGAUUUUGGCUCGCGGUUGACCAGUUAUUAAUGUUUAAUUAUGUUUAGUUUGGCCGCAAUGUUUUGAAAUGAUUUUUUUGUGGACCCGGGAAAAUAGAUCCGCCACUUGCUGGGUGCACUGGCCAAUAUAAACCAAAAGGCAGACACACCCAUCCACUCGGCUGACUCAAACGGGCAAAAUACGAGCCUCUCUGGAUUGUCGCGUUACCACUGUAUUCUGAUUCUUAUCUCUUAUGACUCUUCAAGAACUACACCCCUUCAAAGUUACCACUGUAUUUUGUACAUAAGUUAUAAGGUUUUCGAUGUGUAAAAUACCGCGGUACUUACACAUAAGUUAGCAGGGUAUAUGUACAUUAACCUCCCCCGGUCAAAGUUACCAUGGGGGGUUGUUCAUGAGUUACCGGGUCUACAGUUCAUAUAUUAUCAUGGUACUUGCACCUAAAAACUGGGUGUGUUUCGGUAGCUUUUCCCAUAGGUCAAAAAUUAUCACGAUGUUUUUGCGUAACUUAUCACGCCUAUAGCACGUGUGCCCCUCAUGAGACUAAACAUUAUGUGACUUCCUCGUGGCACGCCAUGUGUUGCAUUCAUCCAAGAGGCUCACGCGCGAGGCGAGUGUAUGUUUUUAACAACUUUUUUUCCUUUGGUAAAAAAGUUACCAUCAUGUUUAUAUUGCAAGUUAUCGGUUAUGCGAUGCUUAUAUUAUCAUGUUAUUUACACNNNNNNNNNNNNNNNNNNNNNNNNNNNNNNNNNNNNNNNNNNNNNNNNNNNNNNNNNNNNNNNNNNNNNNNNNNNNNNNNNNNNNNNNNNNNNNNNNNNNAACUACACCCCUUCAAAGUUACCACUGUAUUUUGUACAUAAGUUAUAAGGUUUUCGAUGUGUAAAAUACCGCGGUACUUACACAUAAGUUAGCAGGGUAUAUGUACAUUAACCUCCCCCGGUCAAAGUUACCAUGGGGGGUUGUUCAUGAGUUACCGGGUCUACAGUUCAUAUAUUAUCAUGGUACUUGCACCUAAAAACUGGGUGUGUUUCGGUAGCUUUUCCCAUAGGUCAAAAAUUAUCACGAUGUUUUUGCGUAACUUAUCACGCCUAUAGCACGUGUGCCCCUCAUGAGACUAAACAUUAUGUGACUUCCUCGUGGCACGCCAUGUGUUGCAUUCAUCCAAGAGGCUCACGCGCGAGGCGAGUGUAUGUUUUUAACAACUUUUUUUCCUUUGGUAAAAAAGUUACCAUCAUGUUUAUAUUGCAAGUUAUCGGUUAUGCGAUGCUUAUAUUAUCAUGUUAUUUACACAAAAAAUAUUGGGGAUGUUUUGUACAACUUUUUUCUGGGACAAAAAGUUAUCAUGGUGAUUCUAGGUAACUUAUCAGGCCCGUAGUGCUUAAAAUAUCAUGCUAUUUACACAAAAUUUAUGAGGAGUAUGUUUCAGCAACAAAUUCCCCUCACAGGUCAAAAAUUUAUCAUGGUGUUUAGUUAUCGCAGUGCAUAUGUUUUCAUGCUAUUUACACAUAAAAAUGCCAGAGGAGGGAGGUAUACUACCGUGCUAUUUACACAGAAGAUACCGGAGUAUCUUUAAAAAAAUUACCCUACGGUCAAAGUUAUCAUGGUGUUUCUACCUCAGUUAUCAGAUGUGCGCUGCGUAUAUUACCAUCUCUUUACACGUAAAUUAUCGGGUAUCUUUUCACAUUUGUCUUUCCAAUGGUUAAAGUUACCAUGAUGUUUAUAUCUAAAUUAUCAGUUCUAUGGCGUGAAUGUUAUCGUGCUAUUUACAGAAAUUACCGGGGGGCGGGUUCAACAAAUUUAUUCCCAAUGAUCAAAGUUACCAUGAUGCUUGAAACAAAAAGUUUUUCAGUGCUAACAUAUUAAAGGCAAAAACAUGUCAAAAAUAGUAUUUCCCUUAACUUGUUCAACAAUGAGUGUCAUAGAUGAGGUGGUUAGUUCCCUUUGUUGAUUACUUGCAGACCAGAGAUCAAAUCCUAGUACAAGCAUUAUUUUUUCCAAAAAUCGGAAAGGCGCGUGGAGCCAUAAUUGACAAUUAAAAUUAGGAAGGCACGAGCGGAUGCGUGGAGCCAUAAUUUCUGCCACACGGUUGCCAUAUACAUAUUUCGAUAAAUUUGAAUGAUUGCAAGUUUCUAAAGGAAAACAAUGGUAAAUGACAAACGCAAUAAACAUAAUAGAUAUCUCAUAUAUGUAUUUUUUUGAGGGAAUCUCAUAUAUGUUUUGUUGAAGUAGCAGGCGCGGAAUUAAAAUAUUAAUUCUUAUAUAGCACUGAGAUAUCUAAUGGCCCUAGUUUUGCUCACACUAAUUGUUGUAUUUAGAUUUUCCAGAAUCACUUGGUCAGAGAUCAUGGAAGCAUUGAUCUUGAAUAAUUAAAGAGAAAUCCCACCUGACUCAGUAAAGCAAGAUACUCGGUAUCUAUCCUUGAACUUCUGCUGGUAACAUUUUCUAGUGCUUGGUUCAAGAUCAGGCGCAUCAUAGUUGAACUUCAAAAUGAUGUUUAACUCAAACCAGAAAUAAGUUCGAGGUGUAAAUAUUCCUUUAAGCCGAACAUUGCCUUUCUUUGCAUAAUUUUCUGCAAACUACAUCUUGAAAAAAUUAACGGAACUCUUCCUAAUCCAACAGACACCAAACUACAUAAAUGAGCCCCCCAAAAGAAGCAUGGAAAUGAGCAAUUGUACAGUAGUAGAUUUAAUCCUUGAGUAGAUAUAACCUCGCCGCCGGAGGCCAUGGCCGGGCGAAGCCUGUGCGGUGGUGGCGGCGGCGGGGCCUUUUGUUCUGGUGGCUUGAUGCGUGUGGUGGUUUAAGGCGUCACGGCGGGCGGCUGGGCGACGGCCGUCGGAUUUCGAAUGGCGGCGGGUUGAUGCGCUGUGCCUCAACCUGAAUCUGCAGAUCCUGGUGGUUGGCGUCAUGUACAUGUCCCUGGGCGUGCUCUAGAGGAUGCGUUGUUCCAAGAUCCAACUGCUCCCCACGCACAAGGACUGAAGGACGCAUCAGAUGUGCUGCAUGCGUUUAUCUGCCGGCUGUUCCACUGCUUCCAUCCCUGAUCCACCAUGGGUGGACCGCCAGGCCACCAAGCCACCUCACGGCGUGUGUGGAUGGGCUGAUGGUUGCUUGGCGGGAGCCAUGGCGCAGCGGCAACCACGACGACCGUCUGAAUAGGCGCAACUAUGGAGCAGGAUCGGUACGACCGUGAAAGGUUUGAUUUCCUGGAUCCGGCUUCUCCUUGUCUGGCGACUGCGGCGGCAACAGUGAACACACCGAACUGUGGUGGUGACCGGCUACGAAUUACGGUGGCCAUUGAAAAAUCUCUGUGAUGGUUCCCUUCUUCAGAUCCAGUGGUUGUCUUCGAGAGUGCAAUACAAUCUACAGAAGAAGGCUUGACGCACAAGGUACGGUUGUGCAGCAACAGCGGUCGGUUUUCUAGCCUAUGAAUGUAGCUGCUGUGUUCGCGGAAAAGUGGUGGUGACAACACAUGGUUAACUUCCAUAAGCUCCGGGGUGAAAACCUACGUUUGACCCAAGUUGGUCAUAACUGGCAAUGACGAUGUUUCCGCAUCAUUGCCUUGUUGAAGGAAUUGCUCGGAUAUGCUCAAACCGGUUCUUCAGGGUGAAAACCUUGAAUCUGACAUUGGUGGUUGGAUCUGGUGACGGCGGCGUUUGAGCGCCGCUCCCUUGCUGAAGGCGUUGCUGUUGAAGAACCUUGUUAUCCUUGUGAUGUCAUGAGAUGAUUGAUGCGGAUAUGGCCAUAGUUAUAGUUUGUCGAUCACCGAUUUGAUAGCUUCAGGGUUUUUCUUUUCCUCGUCUAGGCAUAGCUUUGGUCUCAUGUAACUUUGCUAUUUGCCAGCGUGUUUGUGUGUGUGCGCGUUGGGGGUUGGUUGUGUGCAUCCUAACUAUGCAGAGGCCGAGUGUGUGCUCAUUGUGUUUAUAUCUUCUUGAUUUUUCAUUUUGAGUCAAUAAAAUCCACCCUUUACCAAAAAAGAUAUAUCAUCUUUCAAGUCCAUUAGAAUGCAAUAUGAAGUGUCAGAUCAGGAUGCCAGAUAAGUGACAACAUAUUAGAAUAUCAUGAAAAGGUAUAUGUUAGUACUGGGAUAUAGAUUGUAAAUAGCCAGAGACAAAAGGGAUACUUAUCGUGCAACAAAACCGAGCAACGCCCAUCCAGCUGGAUAUAUGCGUAUCAAGGGUGCCUGUCGGGGGAGUUACCCGCGGCUAGACCUGGCUUUGAGGAUAAGUCAUCUCUGGAGUUAAGUCGUUUCUGGAGUUAAGUCAUCUCUGGAGUUAAGUCGGCCGACUACAAUCAUAAUCCGGCUACAAUCAUGACCCGGCCUGCUACAGGAUCUGGACCUAGGCAAAGUUCCGUCCAGAAGGAGUCCAAAUACAAGAUGGAGACCCUGACUUGGAAGACACAGAGGAUGUAGAGGACUUAGAGUAGGACUCCGACUGCGGGUAUAACCCAGAAUCUCUUCUAACCCCAGAGACUCGACUAUUAUAUAAGCAAGUCCAUGGGUCAUCAGAAGACAAGUUUUUAUACAGACAAGUCUUGAGACAGAUAUUUUGAUAGGUCUCGGGACAGAUGUUUUGAUAGGUCUCGAGACAAAGGUAGCGAAAUAGCGCCCUUGAAAUCGAGACCACCACAAUCAAUAGCAAUCAAGUAGGUCGAUGUAGGCUUUUACCUCCACCGUGCGGGGCCAAACCUGGGUAAACUCGCAUCUUCUCAUUUCCGAUCAACCCCAUCCAAGCUUCCACCUAGCAAGGAUGCCUCACAACUUAGUCUUCUCACGAAGACAUCUGCCGUGACAAAACCAAUAAUGUGCCACAACUGGCAUAACCCGAUAAAUCUCGUGUAACAAAACCGAGGAAUGCCCAUCUGGUUGGAUAUAUGUGUAUCAAGGGCGCCACAACUGGUAUAACCCGGUAAAUCAAAACGUUCAUGAAAUAUAUUAACCUGAAUCAUGGGUUGCUUGCCAUAAUUUGAGCGAUAGCAGUACCAUACCCAUGCAUAUGUGUGAUACGUCUUCGUCGUAUCUACUUUUCCAAACACUUUUGCCCUUGUUUUGGACUCUAACUUGCAUGAUUUGAAUGGAACUAACCUGGACUGACGUUGUUUUCAGCAGAAUUGCCAUGGUGUUAUUUUUGUGCAGAAAUAAAAGUUCUCGAAAUGACCUGAAAAUCCACGGAGAAUUAUUUUGGAAUAUAUAAAAAAUACUGGAAGAAAGAUCCACGUCAGGGGGGCCUCCACCUGUCCACGAGGGUGGGGGCGCCCUACUGGGCGCGCCCCCUGCCUCGUGGGCCCCCUGACGCUUCACCGACCUCAACCCUGACUCCAUAUAUUCACUUUCGGGGAGAAAAAACCAAGGAGAAGGAUUCAUCGCGUUUUACGAUACGGAGCCACCGCCAAGCCCUAAACUCUCUCGGGAGGGCUGAUCCGGAGUCCGUUUGGGGCUCCGGAGAGGGCAAUCCGUCGCCAUCGUCAUCAUCAACCUUCCCCCAUCACCAAUUUCAUGAUGAUCACCGCCGUGCGUGAGUAAUUCCAUCGUAGGCUUGCUGGACGAUGAUGGGUUGGAUGAGAUUUAUCAUGUAAUCGAGUUAGUUUUGUUAGGGUUUGAUCCCUAGUAUCCACUAUGUUCUGAGAUUGAUGUUGCUAUGACUUUGCUAUGCUUAAUGCUUGUCUCUAGGGCCCGAGUGCCAUGAUUUCAGAUCUGAACCUAUUAUGUUUUCAUCAAUAUAUGAGAGUUCUAAAUCCUAUCUUGCAAGUCUAUAGUCACCUACUAUGUGUUAUGAUCUGGCAACCCCGAAGUGACAAUAAUCAGGACCAUUUCUGGUGAUGACCGUAGUUUGAGGAGUUCAUGUAUUCACUAUGUGUUAAUGCUUUGUUCCGGUACUCUAUUAAAAGGAGGCCUUAAUAUCCCUUAGUUUCCAAUAGGACCCCGCUGCCACGGGAGGGUAGGACAAAUGAUGUCAUGCAAGUUCUUUUCCAUAAGCACGUGUGACUAUAUUCGGAAUACAUGCCUACAUUACAUUGAUGAACUGGAGCUAGUUCUGUGUCACCCUAGGUUAUGACUGUUACAUGAUGAACCGCAUCCGGCAUAAUUCUCCAUCACCGAUCCAUUGCCUACAAGCUUUCCAUAUAUUGUUCUUCACUUAUUUACUUUUCCGUUGCUAUUUUAUCAUCACUAUAAAACACCAAAAAUAUUACUUUUGCUACUGUUACCUUUUACCACCGUUACCAUUACUAUCAUAUUACUUUGCUACUAAAUACCUUGCUGCAGAUAUUAAGUUUCCAGGUGUGGUUGAAUUGACAACUCAGCUACUAAUACUUGAGAAUAUUCUUUGGCUCCCCUAGUGUCGAAUCAAUAAAUUUGGGUUGAAUACUCUACCCUCGAAAACUAUUGUGAUCCCCUAUACUUGUGGGUUAUCAAGUCUAUUUUUUGGCGCCGUUGCCGGGGAGCAUAGCUCUAUUCUUUGAGUCACUUGGGAUUUAUACCUGCUUAUCAUUAUAAAGAACUUGAAAGAUCCAAGAACCAAAAUUUAUCCCUCAACUACGAGGGGAGGUAAGGAACUGCCAUCUAGCUCUGCACUUGAUUCACCUUCUGUUUUGAGUAAGCUUGCGACACCUAAACCUGCUUCUGCUAUUAAUUCUGAUAUGUCGCAUGUUAUUGAUGAUGCCACUUCUGCUAUGCAUGAUACUUAUGAUGAAACUACUUCUAUGCUUGAUACUACUGUGCCACUUGGUGAAUUUCUUGAUGAACAAGUUGCUAGGGCUAGAGAGAAUGAAAUUAUUGAAACUGAUAAUAUUGAUGAAAGUGAUGAUGAAGACUCCCCCUAGAUAUGAAUUACUUGUUGUGCUCGAGGGCUAUGUUAUGGAUGAAGAAACUGCUAGAGAUUUUCUUGCUUGCAAUGAUAGGAUGAUCUUAAGAAAUUAUUAGCUAAGCCGAAACAAAAAACUCUGAAUGCUAGAAUGAAAUAUGAUUCUGCUUAUGCUACUUCACCUAUCUUUGUUACUAAUAAGGAUUAUGAUUUCUCUGUCGACCCUGAUAUAAUUACUUUGGUUGAAUCUGAUCCUUUCUAUGGCUAUGAAUCUGAAACUGUUGUGGCACAUCUUACUAAAUUAAAUGAUAUAGCCACCCUGUUCACUAAUGAUGAGAAAACUCGCUACUAUUAUAUCCUUAAAUUAUUUCCGUUCUCAUUAAAGGGUGAUGCUAAGAUAUGGUUUAAUUCUCUUGAUCCUGGUUGUGUGCGUAGUCUCCAGGAUAUGAUUUAUUACUUCUCUGCUAAAUAUUUCCCCGCUCAUAAGAAACAAGCUGCUUUAAGGGAAAUAUAUAAUUUUGUGCAAAUUGAAGAAGAGAGUCUCCCACAAGCUUGGGGGAGGCUUCUCCAAUUACUUAAUGCUUUGCCUGAUCAUCCUCUUAAGAAAAAUGAAAUACUUGAUAUCUUUUAUAAUGGACUAACCGAUGCUUCCAGAGACCACCUGAAUAGUUGUGCUGGUUGUGUUUUCAGGGAAAGAACACGAGAUGAAGCUGAAAUUCUAUUGAAUAAUAUGUUGACUAAUGAAAAUAAUUGACACUUCCUGAUCCAAUUCGUGAACCAACUCCUAAGCCAACUCCGAAGAGAAGGGGUAUUCUAUUUCUCAGUCCUGAAGAUAUGCAAGAGGCAAAGAAAUCUAUGAAGAAAAAGGUAUUAAAGCUGAAGAUGUUAAGAAUUCAUCACCUAUUAAAGAAAUACAUGGUCUUAAUUUACAACCUGUUGAAGAAAUACAUGGUCUUAAUCCAUCACCUAUUGAAGAAAUACAUGGUCUUGAUAACCCGACACAGGUAGUAAAGGUAAAUUCUCUCUAUAGAUAUGAUAAAGUUGAAAUCCCAUUUACUAAGUUUGCUAGCCCAUGCUUGGAUGAGUUUGAUGACUUUAUGGUCAAACAAGAAAACUUCAAUGCUUAUUUUGGUAGAGAAUUAAAACACAAUGCUGAUAUGCUUGAACACUUGGGUGAUUAUAUGGCUAAUGUUAAAGGUGAACUUAAACUUAUUAGUAAACAUGCUUCUAUGGUUACCACUCAAGUAGAACAAGUACUUAAAGCACAGAAUGAUUUGCUCAAUGAAUUGAAUAGUAAGAAAAAUGAUAAUGUUGUUAGAGUUAUGACUAGAGGUGGUAAAAUGACCCAGGAACCUUUGUACCCUGAGGGCCAUCCUAAGAGAAUUGGGCAAGAUUCUCAGAGAACUAAUAUAGAUGCACCUAGUCCUUCUAAGAGGAAGAAAAAGAAAAAUGAUAGGACUUUGCAUGCUUCUAGUGAACCUGUUAUUGACACACCUGAGAAUCCCAAUGAUAUUUCUAUUUCUGAUGCCGAAACACAAUCUGGUAAUGAACAUGAACCUAGUAAUAAUGUUAAUGAUGAUGUUCAUGUUGAUGCUCAACCUAGUAAUGACAAUGAAGUAGAGAUUGAACCUGCCGUUGAUCUUGAUAAGCCACAAUCAAAGAAUCAACGUUAUGAUAAGAGAGACUUUGUUGCUAGGAAGCACGGUAAAGAAAGAGAACCAUGGGUUCCGAAACCCAUGCCUUUUCCUCCUAAACCAUACAAGAAAAAGGAUGAUGAGUAUUUUGAGCGCUUUGCUGAAAUGAUUAGACCUAUCUUCUUGUGUAUGCGUUUGACUGAUAUGCUUAAAAUGAAUCCUUAUGCUAAGUACAUGAAAGAAAUUGUUACUAAUAAAAGAAAGAUACCGGAAGCUGAAAUUUCCACCAUGCUUGCUAAUUAUACUUUUAAGGGUGGAAUACCUAAGAAACUAGGAGAUCCAGGAGUACCAACCAUACCAUGUUCCAUUAAAAGAAACUAUGUUAAAACUGCUUUAUGUGAUCUUGGAGCCGGUGUUAGUGUUAUGCCUCUCUCUUUAUAUCAUAGACUUGAUUUGAAUAAGUUGACACCUACUGAAAUAUCUUUGAAAAUGGCUAAUAAAUCAACUGCUAUACAUGUCGGUAUUUGUGAGGAUGUGCUUGUUGUGGUUGCAAAUGUUACUAUUUUAACGGACUUUGUUAUUCUUGAUAUUCCCGAGGACGAUAGUAUGUCUAUUAUUCUUGGAAGACCCUUUUUGAAUACUACAGGGCUGUUAUUGAUUGCACCAAAGGCAAUUUCACUUUUCAUGUUAAUGGCAAUGAGCAUACGGUACACUUUCCGAGGAAACAACCUCAAGUUCAUAGUAUAAACUCUCUUGGAAAAAUUCCAUCGAUUACUAUUGGAGGUUUUGAAUUUCCUCUUCCUACUAUCAAGAAGAAAUAUGAUAUUCUUAUUGUUGGGGAUGUGCAUAUCCCCGUUGAGGUAACCUAGUGUUAUUCGAAAAUUCUCCGGUUCCAUGUUAUUCAGAAUGAGUUUGUUAACAAGACCUGAUCAACCUUGUUAGUGGAUUCCUUUUGAUGAGCAUGAGAUGGAUGAAUUUAGAAAACACAACUCUCUGUACCGUCUUUUUACUUUCUGUUAUUUAUAUUAAAUAAAGCAAAAAUAAUAAUUUCCGUCAGUUUUCUGAAUUAUCCAUGCAAUAAAAAAAUACCCCGAAAAUAAAAGUUCUUCAAAUGCCCUAAAAUUUAAAUAUGAUUUUUUCUGGAAUAUUUGAGAAUAUCUGGUACUGAGAACACAACAGGGGGAGCAAGCACCUGGCCACGAGGGUGGAGGGCGCGCCCUACCCCCCUGGGCGCGCCCCCUGCCUCGUGGGCCCACGGUGACUCCCCUCCACUUAUUCCAGCUACCACACACUCCUUCUUCUUCCCAGAAACAUCACUAACCAGCUCAAACCCAAGUCCAAGCUCAUUUUGAUGCCAUUUUUGAUCUCCUUGCUCAAAGCACCUCUCACAAAACUGCUUUGGGGGAUUGUUCCUUGGCAUGUGACUCCUCCAAUGGUCCAAUUAGUUUUUGUUCCAGUGAUUUAUUCAUUGCAUAUUUUUGCUGCUUAGGUGACCCUAUUCUUGAGCUUGCAUGUCAAAUUUAUAUGGUCAAAAGUAGUUUUGAUGCAUGAUAUUGCCUCUAGGCACUUGUAGGAGUAGUUGCUAUCAAUAUUGUUGAGUUUGGUUCACUUUUAUUUUGAAGUUACUAAAAAAAAUUCAGAAAUUUUCAGAAAAAGGUGAAGAGAUUUUUGAGGGGCUCAUCGAGCCGAAGCUCGAAGGAUAAGCAAAUUGAGGAGGAUAAGAGGCCCAAAUAUAAUCUUCCUCGCACCACGGAGGUUCGGCCAUGUGAAUGGCCUUGUGGUGAUUUCUUGAGAGCAGCCGGGAUUUAUGAUGAUUUCUAUGAAUUGGCUGAGAAUGCAGGCCUCACCGCCUUCCUCCACGACCGAUGCGAACAGUAUCUCUUACUCACCAAUAUCUUUAUGCAAAACUUUCAUUUCCAUGAUAGGAGCUCACCACCUAUGGUGGAAUUUUAUUUAUAUGAUGAGCAUAAGAAGAUGUCACUUCAAGAUUUUUGUCGGGUUUGUUUGAUCCCUUUCGAGGGCAGCGUAGAGGAACCACAUCGUGACGAUGUGGAUGGGUUUAUUGAUACCAUUACUGUAGGGGAAACGAGGAAGGUUUCCGACCCACGAAUUACUAGCAUACACUUUCCUGUUCUACGUUACUUUGUUAUAUUUGCUAGUACAUGCUUAAUUGGGCGCGAAAACUGUGGAAACCUGAGUGCCCCUGAUAUUGUUAUUUUGUUCCAUGCCUUAUUUUGUGAUGACACAUUUAGUAUGGGCGCUAUUAUUGCAAAGCGGUUAAAUCUUAACCGUACUAAGGGCCCCAUCCUUGGAGGCAUCUUCGCCUCGCGCCUCGCUGCACACUUUAACAUACCUAUUAGGCAUUAUGAGAAGGAAGAGAAGUUGCUGCCUCCUGUUUAUUUAGAUUAUAAAAGUAUGGUAGCACAUGAUUUUAUUGUUAAGAAUAGGGAAAAUGCGCUUAAGUACAAAUUAAUAUUUGGUAAAAAUCAUCCUGAGACUAUUACCCUGCCUGCUCCUUCAUUGUUUGAUUUAUCUGCAGGCAAGUACCUUGUUCCGUUGGAGGCCAUUCACACCUACCGGAACCCUACAUCAGCUACAGAGCCAGAGCCGGAAUCACAAUUUGAGCCUCCACGACAGUCUGAUUACCAGUGGGAUCCGGAGGUGAUUGCCAACCAGUGGCAAUCCGAGGCUUCUUCACAGUACGACCCCAACUAUUACUUUGGAUAUCCGCCAGGCCAGCCGUGGCCAUAGACCAACUUAGGCCAAAAGCCUAAUCUUGGGGAAGUACGUAUUUCUCACCGACAUUACAUUCAUGUUCACACACUCAUUGCUAGUUGUCGGUGCUCAUACUUUUUCAUUGUAUCAUCCAUGCUAGUUUGUUUUACUUUUUAUGCUUUCUUCUUGUGUGUUUAAUAAACCUUAAGAAAAACAAAAAAAGUUGUAGCUUUCAGCUAGUUUACUUCUCAUGCUGUAGUAGUAAUAAUUAAAAAGAAACCCCAAAAAGAUUUCUCGUUCUUGUUUUUCUUGUUGGGAGCUUUCCCAUGUAAAUAGUGUUAUUUCUUUUCUUUCCUUUGGGGGUCGAGCGGAGAAGACCAUAAGUAAAAUGUUAAAGUGGCUCUUAUAUGCAUUAUCGUUGAUCUGACAAAGAGCCCAUAUUACCCUGUCUUCUCUCUUGAAUUGAAUGCUUGCAGAUUCCAGCUUAGUCCAAUGCACGUGAACUAUUAUUAUUAUCCACACUAUUCGGUCGUGCAAGUGAAAGGCAAUAAUGAUGAUUAUAUGAUGAACUUAUUGAGAUAAGAAAAGCUGGUAUGAACUCAACCUCUCUUGUUUUUGUAAAUAUGAUUAGUUCAUCGUUCCUGAUUCAGCCUAUUAUGAAUAAACAUGUUUGCAAUGACAAUUAGAUAUUAUAGUUGCUUAUGCCAUGCUUAAUUAUCUAGGAGCUUAUAAUGGUUUACCUUGCGUGCCAACAUUGUCGUGGUAUUCACACGGGGGGCUUGCGAGUCGACAGAUGCCACAAGGGCUUAGGGUGAGGGUAACACUGCUGCUGAUAGGACCGGGAGCGGGUAUGCGAGUAGCACACGCUAGUUUACCCAGGUUCGGGGCUCUCCGGAGAGAUAAUACCCCUACUCCUGCAUGUCUGAGUAUAUAUCUGGGGUGUACAUCGGGCAGUACAAAGUGCUCCUAGAGCUGUAUCCGAGGUCAGUGCCAUGGGCAUCUGACUUGUAUAUGUCUCAUGUGUAUAUGAGCUAGCUAGCAAGUGAGCAUGAGAGUGCUCCACUGUGAGUGAACAUGUAUGCAUGCGUGAGGGGUGUGUCCAUGGGCAUGUAUAAGUAUGAGCCUAUGUGUGUCUUCUCCUUUAUAUAGGACAGGGUAGCUUAGGAUGUAAGCUUGGUAGUGGGCAUGGGUGGUGGUAGCGUUGGUUGUAAGCUACCUUGGUAGCUUACAAACCAAGCUAUGUAGUGGCAUGGGCUAGGCAUGGUGCAUGUCAUGCUUGUCCCCUGGGCACUUUAUAGAAUAGUGUCAAGGGGACAGGUACACUGUAGAUGAUGGCGUCGCGGUACGGUUGUCUUGUCCGCGGUAUGGCCGUCUCGUCGGGGUCUUGUCGAUGUUGGGUCGAGCUGCAGUCGGCGGCCGGCUGGUUGGCGCAGUCGGCAGCCGGCUGAGGAGCCGGGAGGAGCAGCCGGGCAGUCGGACUGAGGGGCUUUGCUAGCCCCAUGUCUUGAAAUAUUGUCUUGCCGUCUUCGGGGUACCCGUGGUCAAUUACUCCGUCAGUAGCCCCCAAGCCUCCGGGCAACUCGGCAAAGUUGGGCGGAGGUUUUUUGGCGAGUGUUCAUGGAAAUGAUCAUGAAAAAGACAAAGUUAGUCCACGCAGAUAUAUCAAAUGUUUACUUUUAGCAUUGCAAGUUUUAUGCGGAGGGUGCCGACUCGGUUUUGUUCGAGCCCCCUUUAAUCUUUUUCAUGUUCCCUCCGCUUUUUGGCUUGUGCUCUCGCUCGCCGGACAGCCGCUCUGCGGUCUGUGGCUGAGAGUGGGCCGCGAAGUGGAGUGUACAGUACUCAGAGUCUGGGAGCAGAUUCGACCGAGCAGAUACUUGUAAAGGAAACGACCGGGUCGCCCGAUCUGUUUUUCUUCCCGAACGUUUUUCGCGUGGGUGGCCUCCAGCGUUCACUCUUGCUAGUCGGACAGCCGCUCUGCGGUCUGUGACUAAGAGUGGGCCUUUGGUACCGUGCAUGGUACUAAGCUGUCUGCGGGAUCUAACGUCUCAGGCCAAGCGGCCAGCCCCCGGGCCAACUCCAGCUGGCGCCGGGGCAAACAGUGAUGCUACUGUAAUAAAACGCGGAGACAGCCCCCGAGCUUCGCUCGGGGUUAUCCGUGCUUGCGUGGUGCAAAAAAUAUGCGGGUGAGGAGCUCACAUUGAUUUUCGUGUAGUCGCGAUCGUUGUCGAAGACAGGCGGCACGGCUCGGCGCUCGCGGAGCGCGCCGGCGUACCCGUUGGGUGUAGCCUUUGAGCCUCCGGGUGCUCGAAGGGGGGGGGGGUCCCGGCCGGUCAGGCUCGACCGGCCAGGCGGCGAGGCAUCUUGCAGCGCCCUUUUUCUUCUUUUUCUCUUCUGCCGGCUGCUGGCAACCGGAACAAACUCUUCUCUUGUGUGCAAUCUUCCGUGGGGGCGCACCAGCGCACCCACUUGGUGUAGCCCCGAGAUUUGGGCCGACUGCUGAGCAGUCGGGCCGGAUCUUCUGGCAGCUACUUUGUCUUCUUUUUCACGGGGGCGCGUUAGCGCACCCGCUAGGUGUAGCCCCCGAGAUUCGGGCCGACUGCUGAGAAGUCGGGCCGGGUCUUCCGGUGACUACUUUGUCUUCUUCUUUUUGUCUGCCAGUACAGCCAGACAUACACUUCUUCUUCUGCUUCGUUUCUCGGAUGCCUACUUUUUUUUCCAGUCAGCCAGCUGGGCACCCGAUGUGACUUUUCUCUCUUCAGCCGGCUAGCGGCUUUGACUUUUCUUUUAUCUUCUUCACAUUGGCUCAACAGUCGGCAGGAGCGGGCAGGGAGCCGGCAGCCGGCCAGGCCGGCCGGGUGGUGGGUGAAGCCGGGUGGCGGGCGGAGCCGGCCUUCCGGGUGGCGGGAGCCGGCUGCGCAGGCGCGGACGGGGAGUCGGCGACCGGGUGGCGGGACUUGGGCGUCUUGGCGCAGUGUGGACGGCGGCUGGCGCGCCUGAGGCAGCAAGCGCGCGGGAGGCGGCCGGCCCGGCAUGGUGGCGGAGCAGCCGGCCAGGCGCAGGCGGCAUGGUGGAGCGGCCUCNNNNNNNNNNNNNNNNNNNNNNNNNNNNNNNNNNNNNNNNNNNNNNNNNNNNNNNNNNNNNNNNNNNNNNNNNNNNNNNNNNNNNNNNNNNNNNNNNNNNNNNNNNNNNNNNNNNNNNNNNNNNNNNNNNNNNNNNNNNNNNNNNNNNNNNNNNNNNNNNNNNNNNNNNNNNNNNNNNNNNNNNNNNNNNNNNNNNNNNNNNNNNNNNNNNNNNNNNNNNNNNNNNNNNNNNNNNNNNNNNNNNNNNNNNNNNNNNNNNNNNNNNNNNNNNNNNNNNNNNNNNNNNNNNNNNNNNNNNNNNNNNNNNNNNNNNNNNNNNNNNNNNNNNNNNNNNNNNNNNNNNNNNNNNNNNNNNNNNNNNNNNNNNNNNNNNNNNNNNNNNNNNNNNNNNNNNNNNNNNNNNNNNNNNNNNNNNNNNNNNNNNNNNNNNNNNNNNNNNNNNNNNNNNNNNNNNNNNNNNNNNNNNNNNNNNNNNNNNNNNNNNNNNNNNNNNNNNNNNNNNNNNNNNNNNNNNNNNNNNNNNNGCCACGGGGUGGGCGGGAGCCGGCCGGGCCUGCCGCAGCCGGUGCGGGAGCAGGCGGCCGCGCAGCAGCCGGCGCGGGAGCUAGCCGGGCCCGGCCAGGCGCGGGGCGCCGUCGGGGAGCCGGAUGAUGGAGGGAGGCGGUCGGGCCGGCUUGCCGUAUAUAAAUCUUUGCCUCCGGACCAUUCCGGAACUCCUCGUGACGUCCGGGAUCUCAUCCGGGACUCCGAACAACUUUCGGGUUACCGCAUACUAAUAUCUCUAUAACCCUAGCGUCACCGAACCUUAAGUGUGUAGACCCUACGGGUUCGGGAGACACGUAGACAUGACUGAGACGACUCUCCGGCCAAUAACCAACAGCGGGAUCUGGAUACCCAUGUUGGCUCCCACAUGCUCCUCGAUGAUCUCAUCGGAUGAACCACGAUGUCGAGGAUUCAAUCAAUCCCGCAUACAAUUCCCUUUGUCUAUCGGUAUGUUACUUGCCCGAGAUUCGAUCGUCGGUAUCCCGAUACCUUGUUCAAUCUCGUUACCGGCAAGUCUCUUUACUCGCUCCGUAACACAUCAUCCCAUGAUCAACUCCUUGAUCACAUUGUGCACAUUAUGAUGAUGUCCUACCGAGUGGGCCCAGAGAUACCUCUCCGUUUACACGGAGUGACAAAUCCCAGUCUCGAUUCGUGCCAACCCAACAGACACUUUCAGAGAUACCCGUAGUGCACCUUUAUAGUCACCCAGUUACGUUGUGACGUUUGGCACACCCAAAGCACUCCUACGGUAUCCGGGAGUUGCACAAUCUCAUGGUCUAAGGAAAUGAUACUUGACAUUAGAAAAGCUUUAGCAUACGAACUACAUGAUCUUUGUGCUAGGCUUAGGAUUGGGUCUUGUCCAUCACAUCAUUCUUCUAAUGAUGUGAUCCCGUUAUCAAUGACAUUCAAUGUCCAUGGUCAGGAAACCGUAACCAUCUAUUGAUCAACGAGCUAGUCAACUAGAGGCUUACUAGGGACAUGGUGUUGUCUAUGUAUCCACGCAUGUAUCUGAGUUUCCUAUCAAUACAAUUCUCUCAUGGACAAUAAACGAUUAUCAUGAACAAGGAAAUAUAAUAAUAACCAAUUUAUUAUUGCCUCUAGGGCAUAUUUCCAACAGUCUCCCACUUGCACUAGAGUCAAUAAUCCAGUUCACAUCGAUAUGUGAUUAACACUCAAGGUCACAUCCCCAUGUGACUAACACCCAAAGAGUCUACUAGAGUCAAUAAUCUAGUUCACAUUACCAUGUGAUUAACACUCGAUGAGUUCUGGGUUUGAUCAUGUUAUGCUUGUGAGAGAUGUUAUAGUCAACGGAUCUGAACCUUUUAGACCCGUGUGUGCAUUACAAAUCUCUAUGUCAUUUCCUAGAUGUAGCUACCACGUUCUAUUUGGAGCUAUUCCAAACAAUUGUUCUACUAUACGAAUCCAGUUUACUACUCAGAAUAAUCUGGAUUAGUGUCAAAGUUUGCAUCGGCAUAACCCUUUACGACGAACUCUUUUACCACCUCCAUAAUCGAGAAAAUUCCUUAGUCCACUAGUUACUAAGGAUAACUUUGACCGCUGUCCUGUGAUCCAUUCUUGGAUCACUCUUGUACCCCUUGACUGACUCAUGGCAAGGCACACUUCAGGUGCAGUACGCAGCAUAGCAUACUGUAGAGAGCCUAUGAUAAAAGCAUAGGGGACGACCUUCGUCCUUCCUCUUUCUUCUGCCGUGGUCGAGCUUUAAGUCUUAACUUCAUACCUUACAACUCAGGCAAGAACUCCUUCUUUGACUGAUCCAUCUUGAACACCUUCAAUAUCAUGUCAAGGUAUGUGCUCAUUUGAAAGUACCAUUAAGAAUUUUGAUCUAUCCUUAUAGAUCUUGAUGCUCAAUGUUCAAGUAGCUUAAUCCAGGCUAUCCAUUGAAAAACACUUUCCAAAUAACCCUAUAUGGUUUCCAGAAAUUCUACGUCAUUUCUGAUCAACAAUAUGUUAACAACAUAUAUUUAUCAGAAAUUCUAUAGUGCUCCCACUCACUUCUUUGGAAAUACAAGUUUCUCAUAAACUUUGUAUACACCCAAAACUUUGAUCAUCUUAUCAAAGCAUACAUUCCAACUCCGAGAUGCUUACUCCAGUCCUUAGAAGGAUUGCUGGAGCUUUGCAUACUUAUUAGCAUCUUUCAGGAUUGACAAAACCUUUCGGUUGUAUCACAUACAACCUUUCCUCAAGAAAAUCGUUGAGAAAACAAUGUUUUUGACAUCCUAUCUACAAGAUUUCACAAACAAUGCAGUAAUCGCUAAUAUAAUUCCAACAGACUCUUAGCAUCGCUACGAGUGAGAAAGUCUCAUCGUAGUCAACUCCUUGAACUUGUCGGAAAACAUCUUAACGACAAGUCGAGCUUUCUUAAUGGUGAUACCUACCAUCAUUGUCCGUCUUCCUUUUAAAAUCCAUAUGUACCUAACAGCCUUACGACCAUCAAGUAGUUCUCCCAAAGUCUACACUUUGUUUUCAUAUAUGGAUCCUCUCUCGGAUUAUAUGGCCUUGAGCCAUUUUGGAAUCUAGGCCCACCAUCGCUUCUCCAUAGUUCGUAGGUUCAUUCUUGUCUAGCAACAUGACUUCCAAGAUAGGAUUACGUACCACUCUGAAGUAGUACGCAUCCUUGUCAUCCCACGAGGUUUGGUAGUGACUUGAUCUGAAGUUUCAUGAUCACUAUCAUAAGCUUCCACUUCAAUUGGUGUAGGUGCCACAGGAACAACUCUUGUGCCCUGCCACACACUAGUUGAAGAGACGGGUCAACAACCUUAUCAAGUCUCCACCAUCCUCCCACUCAAUUCUUUCGAGAGAAACUUUUCCUCGAGAAAGGACCCGAUUCUAGAAACAAUCCCUUAUUGCUUUCGGAUCUGAGACAGGAGGUAUACCCAACUGUUUUGGGUGUCCUAUGAAGAUGCAUUUAUCCGCUUAGGGUUCGAGCUUAUCAGCCUGAAACUUUUCCACAUAAGCGUCGCAGCCCCAAACUUUUAAGAAAUGACAGCUUAGGUUUCUCUAAACCAUAGUUCAUACGGUGUCAUCUCAUCGGAAUUACGUGGUGCCCUAUUUAAAGUGAAUGUGGUUGUCUCUAAUGCCUAACCCAUAAACUAUCGUGGUAAUUCGAUAAGAGACAUCAUGGUAUGCAUCAUAUCCAAUAGGGUGCAGUUAUGAUGUUCGGACACACCAUCACACUAUGGUGUUCCAGGCUGUAUUAGUUGUGAAACAAUUUCCACAAUGUCUUAAUUCUGUGCCAAACUCGUAAUUCAGAUAUUCAUCUCUAUGAUCAUAUCAUAGAUAUUUUAUCCUCUUGUCACGACGAUCUUUCAACUUCACCCUAAAAUUACUUGAACCUUUCAAUAAUUCAAACUCGUGAUUCAUCAAGUAAAUAUACUCAACAUCUACUCAAAUCAUCUGUGAAGUAAGAACAUAACGAUAUCCACUACACGCCUCAGCACUCAUUGGACUACGCACAUCAAGAUGUAUUACUUCCAACAAGUUGCUUUCUUGUUCCAUUUUACUGAAAAUGAGGCUUUCGGUCAUCUUGCCCAUGUGGUAUGAUUUGCAUGUCUCAAGUGAUUCGAAAUCAAGUGAGUCCAAACGAUCCAUUUGUAUAGAGUUUCUUCAUGCAUAUCUACCAACAAACAUGGUUCGCAUGUCUCAAUCCUUUCAAAAAUGAGUGAGUCCAAAGAUCCAUCAACAUGGAGCUUCUUCAUGCGUUUUAUACCGAUAUGACUUAAGUGGCAGUGCCACAAGUAGGUGGUACUAUCAUUACUAUCCUAUAUCUUUUGGCAUGAACAUGUGUAUCACUACGAUCGAGAUUCAAUAAACCAUUCAUUUUAGGCGUAAGACCAUUGAAGGUAUUAUUCAAAUAAACAAAGUAACCAUUAUUCUCCUUAAAUGAAUAACCGUAUCGCGAUAGACAUAAUCCAAUCAUGUCUAUGCUCAACGCAAACAUCAAAUAACAAUUAUUUAGGUUUUAAUACCAAUCUCGAUGGUAGAGGGAGCGUGCGAUGCUUGAUCAUAUCAACCUUGGAAACAUUUCCAACACAUAUAGUCAGCUCACCUUUAGCUAGUCUCCGUUUAUUCCGUAGCUUGAGUUACUAACACUUAGCAACUGAACCGGUAUCUAAUACCCUGGUGCUACUAGGAGUACUAGUAACGUACACAUUAACAUAAUGUAUAUCCAAUAUACUUCUAUCGUCAGUCUUCUCAUCUACCAAGUAUCUAGGGUAAUUCUGCUCCAGUGGCUGUUCCCCUUUAUUACAGAAGCACUUAGUCUCGGGCUUGGGUUCAACUUUGGGUUUCUUCACUUGAGCAGCAGCUGACUUGUCGUUUCAUGAAGUAUCCCUUUCUUGCCCUUGCCCUUCUUGAAACUAGUGGUUUCACCAACCGUCAACAAUUGAUGCUCCUUCUUGAUUUCUACUUUUGUGGUGUCAAACAUCGCGAAUAUCUCAAGGAUCAUCAUAUAUGUCCCUGAUAUAUUAUAGUUCAUCACGAAGCUCUAGCAGCUUGGUGGUAAUGACUUCAGAGAAACAUCACUAUCUCAUCUGGAAGAUCAACUCCCACUCAAUUCAAAUGAUUGUUGUACUCAGACAAUCUGAGCACAAGCUCAACAAUUGAGCUUUUCUCCCUUAGUUUGCAGGCUAAGAAAAUCGUCGGAGGUCUUAUACCUCUUAACGUGGGCACGAGCCUGAAAUCCCAAUUUCAGCCCUCGAAACAUCUCAUAUGUUUCGCGACGUUUUAAAACGUCUUCGGUGCCUCAACUCUAAACCAUUUAACUGAACUAUCAUGUAGUUAUCAAAAUGUGUAUGUCAGAUGUUCGCAACAUCCAUAGACGACGUUCGAGGUUCAGCACACUGAGCGGUGCAUCAAGGACAUAAGCCUUUUACUGUCUGCAUAAUUGCUACUAUCAACUUUCAACUAAUUUUUCUCUAGGAACAUAUCUAAAUAGUGGAACUAAAGCGCGAGCUAUGACAUAAUUUGCAAAAACCCUUUUGACUAUGUUCAGGAUAAUUAAGUUCAUGAACUCCCACUCAGAUAGACAUCCCUCUAGUCAUCUAAGUGAUUACAUGAUCCAAGUCAACUAGGCCGUGUCCGAUCAUCACGUGAGAUGGACUAGUCAACAUCGGUGAACAUCUUCAUGUUGAUCAUAUCUAUCAUACGACUCAUGCUCGACCUUUCGGUCUCUUGUGUUCCGAGGCCAUGUCUGUACAUGCUAGGAUCGUCAAGUCAACCUAAGUGUUUUGCAUGUGUUCCGAGGCCAUGUCUGUACAUGCUAGGCUCGUCAACACCGUUGUAUUCGAACGUAAGAAUCUAUCACACCCGAUCAUCACGUGGUGCUUCAAAACGACGAACUUUCGCAACGGUGCACAAUUAGGGGGAACACUUUCUUGGAAAUUUUAAUGAGGGAUCAUCUUAUUUACUACUGUCGUUCUAAGCAAAUAAGAUGUAUAAACAUGAUAAACAUCACAUGCAAUCAAAUAGUGACAUGAUAUGGCCAUCAUCACUUUGCUCCUUUUGAUCUCCAUCUUCGGGGCUCCAUGAUCAUCAUCGUCACCGGCAUGACACCAUGAUCUCCAUCAUCAUGAUCUCCAUCAUCGUGUCUUCAUGAAGUUGUCUCGCCAACUAUUACUUCUACUACUACAGCUAACGGUUAGCAAUAAAGUAAAGUAAUUACAUGGCGUUGUUCAAUGACACGCAGGUCAUAUAAUAAAUAAAGACAAUUCCUAUGGCUCCUGCCGGUUGUCAUACUCAUCGACAUGCAAGUCGUGAUUCCUAUUACAAGAACAUGAUCAAUCUCAUACAUCACAUAUCAUUCAUCACAAUCUUCUUGGCCAUAUCACAUCACAUAGAAUACCCUGCAAAAACAAGUUAGGCGUCCUCUAAUUGUUGUUUGCAUGUUUUAUGUGGCUGCUAUGGGUUUCUAGCAAGAACGUUUCUUACCUACGCAAAAACCACAACGUGAUAUGCCAAUUGCUAUUUACCCUUCAUAAGAACCCUUUUCAUUGAAUCCGAUCCGACUAAAGUGGGAGAGACAGACACCCGCUAGCCACCUUGUGCAACUAGUGCAUGUCAGUCGGUGGAACCAGUCUCAUGUAAGAGUACGUGUAAGGUCGGUCUGGGCCGCUUCAUCCCACAAUGCUGCCGAAUCAAGAUUGGACUAGUAACGGUAAGCAUAUUGAACAAAAUCAAUGCCCACAACUACUUUGUGUUCUACUCGUGCAUAGUAACUAUGCAUAGACCUAGCUCAUGAUGCCACUAUUGGGGAACGUAGCAUAAAUUCAAAAUUUUCCUACGUGUCACCAAGAUCUAUCUAUGGAGUCAUCUAGCAACGAGGGAGGAGUGGAUCUACAUACCCUUGUAGAUCGCACGCGGAAGCGUUCAAGAGAACGGGGUUGAUGGAGUCGUACUCGUCGUGAUCCAAAUCACCGAUGAUCCUAGCGCCGAACGGACGGCACCUCCGCGUUCAACACACGUACGGAGCAGCGACGUCUCCUCCUUCUUGAUCCAGCAAGGGGGAAGGAGAGGUUGAUGGAGAUCCAGCAGCACGAUGGCGUGGUGGUGGAAGUAGCGGGAUUCCAACAGGGCUUCGCCAAGCGCUGCGGGAGGAGGGAGAUGUGUCAUGGGAGGGAGAGGGAGGCGCCAGGGCUUAGGUGCGGCUGCCCUCCCUUCCCCCCACUAUAUAUAGGGCCAAGGGAGAGGGGGGGAGGGCGCAGCCUUGGCCCUUCCUCCAAGGAAGGGUGCGGCCAGGGAGGAGUCCAUCCUCCCCAAGGCACCUAGGAGGUGCCUUCCCCCUUUAGGACUCUUCCUUUCCCUUAUCUCUUGGCGCAUGGGCCUCUUGGGGCUGGUUCCCUUGGCCCAUAUAGGACAAGGCACACAACCCUAUAGCCCAUGUGGCCACCAGGGGCAGGUGGACCCCCUUGGUGGACCCCCGGACCCCUUUCGGCACUCCCGGUACAAUACCGAUAAUGCGCGAAACUUUUUCGGUGACCAAAACAAGACUUCUCGUAUAUAAAUCUUUACCUCCAGACCAUUCUGGAACUCCCCGUGACGUCCGGGAUCUCAUCCGGGACUCCGAACAACUUUCGGGUUACCACAUACUAAUAUCUCUAUAACCGUAGCGUCACCGAACCUUAAGUGUGUAGACCCUACGGGUUCGGGAGACACGUAGACAUGACCGAGACGACUCUCCGGCCAAUAACCAACAGCGAGAUUUGGAUACCCAUGUUGGCCCCCACAUGCUCCUCGAUGAUCUCAUCGGAUGAACCACGAUGUCGAGGAUUCAAUCAAUCCCGCAUACAAUUCCCUUUGUCUAUCGGUAUGUUACUUGCCCGAGAUUCGAUCGUCGGUAUCCCGAUACCUUGUUCAAUCUCGUUACAGGCAACUCUCUUUACUCGUUCCGUAACACAUCAUCCCGUGAUCAACUCCUUGAUCACAUUGUGCACAUUAUGAUGAUGUCCUACCGAGUGGGCCCAGAGAUACCUCUCCGUUUACACGGAGUGACAAAUCCCAGUCUCGAUUCGUGCCAACCCAACAGACACUUUCGGAGAUACCCGUAGUGCACCUUUAUAGUCACCCAGUUACUUGUGACGUUUGGCACACCCAAAGCACUCCUACGGUAUCCGGGAGUUACACAAUCUCAUGGUCUAAGGAAAUGAUACUUGACAUUAGAAAAGCUUUAGCAUACGAACUACAUGAUCUUUGUGCUAGGCUUAGGAUUGGGUCUUGUCCAUCACAUCAUUCUUCUAAUGAUGUGAUCCCGUUAUCAAUGACAUUCAAUGUCCAUGGUCAGGAAACUGUAACCAUUUAUUGAUCAACGAGCUAGUCAACUAGAGGCUUACUAGGGACAUGGUGUUGUCUAUGUAUCCACACAUGUAUCUGAGUUUCCUAUCAAUACAAUUCUAGCAUGGACAAUAAACGAUUAUCAUGAACAAGGAAAUAUAAUAAUAACCAAUUUAUUAUUGCCUCUAGGGCAUAUUUCCAACAAUAUUCACAGGUGCUUAUUUUCUUAGGAUAACUCAUAAUAACUGUCCCUAAGAAACUUGGCUACUAGAACUGGCAUACAAAUAACAUGUCAUGAUGAUAGCAAUGGAGGAGUGACGCACCAUAGCACACUGUAUAGGCUCACCGCUGCCUCUCCUUUUUUUGCGACGUUCCAUGAAAUUGCCACAUACAUCUUGUACUUUUUCAUUGUGUAACCCUAUCUGCAAGUUGACACGGCUAAUUUCAGACAUCUCUACAUGAUACAACAUUGCAUAUCCCUUGCGCAUAUUUAAACCACCAAUUAACGAUUGUGUGCGUACCAUAAACUAGCCAUGACUCUGUAUGCUGGACUAGUAGGCACUCUAAGGGAGCCUAAUGUAGUGCACUGGAAUUCCUACAUGCCACCUAUGAUUUUGUGUAAUGUACUGCCCCUGUUCCUAAAUGUAUGUCUUUGUAGAGAUUCCAGUAUGGACCACAUACAGAUGUAUAUAGAUGCAUUUUCGAGUGUAGAUUCACUCAUUUUGCUCCGUAUGUAGCCUAUAGUGGAAUCUCUAGAAAGACUUAUAUUUAGGAAUGGAGGUACGAGGUAGUAUCAUGUAUGACAUCUACAUAUCUAAUUUAGCAGCCAAUAGUAGAAAUCAUUGUCUGCACAUAGGGAUUACUGGUCGAAAAUCCUAGCAAAGCCGCUGGCAGGCAUAGAACAAUACAAGAGAGAGAGAGAGACGCGCUUACAAGAUCAUAGCAAUGCCUCAGUCCAGGAUCUUGGUUGGCCAAGCUGUUAGAUCCAGAAGAAACAUCGUCCUUGUAGUUUUUGCCAGCUGCAUAACAGGUAACAGCGACCGGUUAGUAUAUUUGAAGUACAUCGGGAAGGUGAUGCUGGACAGGUUUAAAGGUGACAAGUACCUAGGCCGUGGCGGGUGCUUGGAAUCUCUCCAGAUGGUGGGAAUCAGGUUGGAAACAUUGAGGGUGAUGACGCUGCGCUGGCUGUCGGGGUCUGGUAAGGAGAUCUAGAACCGUCGAGUAGGGUGUUUGUGGAGUGGCUCCGGUAGGGUGGACUAUGGUGUGGGCGAAGCGGAUCUGUGGCCGUGGACGAGGGCGUAGGUGAAGCUGCUCCAGUGGUUGGGUUAAGGAUGGUGUCAACGACGCGGAUCUACGGCCGUGGACGGGGCGUUAGAAGCUGCUCCGGUGGUUGGGUUAAGGGUGGUGUCGACGAUGCGGAUCUGCGGCCGUGGACGGGGCGUCAGAAGCUGCUCCGGUAGGUUGGAUGAGGGUGCAAGGAAGCAGAUCUGAGGCCGUGGACUUGUGAGUUGGCAAAGCAGCCCCCGAUAGGGUUGAGAAUGGUAUAAGUGAAGCUACUCCGGUAGGGUUGACGAUGGCGUUGGCGAAGUGGCUCCGGUAGGGUUGAGGACGGUGUCGGCGAAGCGGCUCCGGUAGGGUUGAGGAAGGUGUCGGCGAAGAGGAUCAGAGGCCGUUGACGGGGGCGUCGGUGGGGCGGCUCUAGGGGGUGUGGAUGAAGCGUCUCCGGUGGGGAGUACGAAUGAGCCGCUGCAGAUGCGCGGCGGUUGACGAGAGUACCGGCGAAGCAGAUCCGGCGCCGUGGACAAGGCCGACACUGAAUGGGCUGUGGUACAGUGGUGGAUGAGCGGUCUACUUGUUUCUAGGGGAGGUGGGAGGGGUAGAUGCGGCCAGAGAAGCAGAUCCGGCGAGGUGGACGCCGCUGGCAGUGAAUGGGCUAUGGUACGCCGGUGGAUGAGCAGUCUAGGGUUUCGAGAGGGGAGGGGAGAAAGGGCGAUGAAGUACGUACGGCGUGAUGUAAGAUGCUCUGGUGCUGUGGAGUUAGUCGUUUUUGCGGGAGGGGGAGAGGAAAUGGGGGUGCCGUGUAGUGAGGGAACCGGAAGUUACCAAAGCAGCCCCAAACUAUCAUGUAGAUGAGGGCGGUAUCAUAACUGUUGGUCUCCGUGCACCAAGGACAAAAAGGGGAUUUCACAUGCUAAAGACCAAGGUGGCGGAAAUUUUAGAAGGAGGCGGGAUAUUUUGCCGCCCGUGGGAUCGUUCGUAUCCAGUUUCAACUAAUUUUGGACCGUGCUAGCGGGAAGGUCAUGCUAGACUGUGUACACAGGGCACACAUCAGCAGUUAAUAACUGGUGUGAUGUCCACCCCAGAAAAAAGAUGAUAACUCGGGAUGAUGCGUCGAUAACUUGGAUGUUCACACGGGCGCGGCCAAUCGUACGGGUGUAGUGGCGCAUUCACAAAAAAGGGAUCAAACGCUCAGCCUAUGUAUUUCUCGUGUAAAUAGAUAAUUUAGUGCCAUUGGUUAUUUACUUUAAACAUAAUGCAUUGACGUGUUAGUGUAGAGGCGCACAAAAAGAAAUGGAUAUUGUAGUCAGCUACUUAAAAGUGUUACCUCAUAUGAUUACAUAGCCUCCAUUUCAUAAAUUGCGUACCUGUUGAAUUCAUAUAUGAAUAUUACAUAUAUUACUUCAAAAUAGAAACUUAAAUCAUCCAAGACUAAUGAAUUUGAAUGCAAGAGUAACAAUGGUGCAUGUACAUGAUAGCUACAUUGGUUGUUUGAAGAAACAUCACUGUAACUUUGGCAUGCACAACUGAAAAGGUUUAUUUAAAUAGAAAAAAUGUGAUAUGUGAGUGUCCAAUCUUUAUAGCUUUGAAUCAAUAUUGUACCUUUGGCCACGAUACGAAGUAGAUAUUGACUUAUGUUCAAGCGAUGCACGUCCAUGAUCGCUAGAUAGUGAUACGUGAAUGAAUUGUGCAAUCUCUCUCACACGCAUACAUGUCUUAUUUCCCUGUGGGCAGCAGAAUCACACACGCGCACUUCGUGUAUUUCUCUCCCUCCGCCAGGGUUAAAUUCGUCUUUCUACCCUGUCCUACAAGUCUCUAACACAGAAACACACACGCUCUCUAUGUCUAACAUGCCCACCCAUUUAAUUCCGCCCACCCACAACCACUAAUGUCUCAAAGUAUAAUAAUGUCUCUCACACAUAUGCUAUCUACCUAUCCCUUAAUAUAGCUAGAUAUGUGUCACACAAACUCCUUCUCCGUACUAGCAAGAUGCCCAUGUGUUGCACGGAACAUCAAGAUGCAUUUGUAUGAGAAGUUUAUCUUGUGGGAGAAAAGGAUGAACGAGGGAAUGCCUUAUUUGCAAAUGCGGAGAGGGGUGUGGGUAUCUUUUUGCAAAAUUGCCAUAGUUUCCUUCCUGUCCGUCAGAUAUAAAUCGGAUGGCCUAUAUUGCAGGAUGGCAGGAACACCAUCAUCACCAACUAUGUUUUUAUAAGAGUAGAGAUAUGUGAGUGUCACUGCCCCCCCCACACACACCCACACUUCCCAACACCGAAGGAGUAGGGUGACAUCUCGAUCUUGAUACUAAUCUAUCGACUGGCUUCUCUCUCAAACAUACACACACACUACCUGGCACCGAAGGAGUAGGGUGGCACAUCGAUCUUGAUAAUAAUCUAUCUACUCCUCUUUCAAACACACACACACACACUCACUAGGUUUGCCUCUGUGCCUACCGCGCACACUCUCGAUACGUCUUUCUCUCCCUCCCCCCAACAAUGACAACAGAAGGGUGACAAAUCGAUCUGAUCAUAAUCUGUCAAUUGGUUUCUCUCUCAAACAUUGUGUCUCGGUGCCUCGCUCGGUAGCCCCCUCGAUAUCUAGACUUCUUGCGCGGGCACAGCUGUGGUGACGAUGACGCUGAACCCAGUGUGCCUUGUUUACCGGCCUCAUGCGAUAGUUUUCACCCUAUUUUCUGUUAAUUAACAAGGCAACCUUUUCUUUGUUACUACUAGUGAAUCUGAAAUCAUUCGGGGCAGACAUAAAAUAUAUCACUUCAACCCAAUUAUCGCAGCAACUAUUUUAAAAGAAAUAAGCUAGCUGCCCGUGCGUUGCACGGAACAUCAAGAUGCAUUUGUAUGAGUAGUUUAUCUUGUGAGAGAAAAGGUUGAAUGAGGGAAGGCCUUAUUUGCGAACGUGGAGAGAAGUGUGGGUAUAUUUUUGCAAAAUUGCCAUAGUUUCUUUCCUAUCCAUUAGAUAUAAAUCCGACAGCCUAUAUUGCAGGAUGGCACGCACACCAUCAUGACCAACUCUGUUUUCUACUCCCUCCGCCCGAAAAUACUUGUCAUCAAAAUGGAUAAAAAGAGAUGUAUCUAAAACUAAAAUACGUCUAAAUACAUUUCCUUUUAUCCAUUUUGAUGACAAGUAUUUCCGGAUGGAGGGAGUAUUUGUCUUUUUAGAGAUUUCAACAAGUGACUAUGACCGGACAUUACCAACAUACUCAAAAAAGCAGUCCAUAAUUUUGAUGUUACCAUAUUUUCUUGGCGGUGCAGUGCCAUCUGGAUACCUCAUAAAUAAAUAAAGUACUACAUGAUACUAAUAUAUGAUACAUGGCGCAGGAGUACUAAGUAUUAUUAAUACAGUUUUGCUAGAACUCAUCUAGAUGAGAUAUAAUUUGGUCUCAUUCAUCUUUUAUAGCCAUUGGAUGUGAUGCUAUAUAAGAUGCGUGUGUGCUGACGUGGGUUGUAUUUGUUCUUGUGCAACGAACUGACCACUGCAUGUCAUGUUUGAUAGUCUCAAGUCAUUAUAAGCAUACAAGCCCCACAUCUCUUCUUGGUUGAUUCCUCUAUUUAUGUCAAAAAAUAAGAAACAACAUGAGAGUUAAUGCACCACGCCUAUGUGUUUACUAUUUGGUUUUCGUAAGAUGACUUAAUACUCACCUAGACGGAGGGAGUAUUCGAUUUGACAGCGGGCGGUGCAGUUCCUUAUACGGCUUUAAUGCAGACGAGGGAGGGAGUAGCAGUUCCCGAUAUGUUGAACGGCCAAUGCAUCCACCUUCAAUUAAUGCAUGAGGGAAGUAAUGGGAGGAGGUCCGGGAAAAGAGGCUGCACGAUGUGAAUGCAACGCAGUUUGCCCUCAUUGCCCUCAUAUAAAGGCGCCCCUCCAUUCCAAUGCAUCUACCACAUUGUACGCACCUAAGCAUUUGCCUAAGCACCUACACUAAGCGCAAAAGAGCUCACUCCAGGCCCAUGGCGGCGAUGCUCGUGAGCGGCCAGCGGCUGCGCCAGAUGGUCCACGAUGCCGGCCUGCGGCAUGGCGCCGAGGAUCGUCUCCAGACGGUGUUGGAGACUGGCUGGUGGAUGGCCGCCUUCGAUGCCAACUAUGACUCUCAGUUGGACCAGAUGAUCGUUGUCACCAGCAACAAGUUCACCGUCCUCAAGAAGCUCGCGGACGACAUCGCCGUACUCCUCCAGCCCGCGCACCCGGGCUCCUCAUUGCCUGCCACCCUAAUCGGCCUCCAUGGCCGGAACCUCUUUCAAGCACUGGUAGCCCUGCGACUGCCCGCCGACGCCACGAAGAAUGUCCACCUGGAGGUCGCGCUCGCCGCGAGGUGCCUCGCCCUGCAAGAAUUCAUCGACCUACACAUCCACAUGUACGAGGAAAUCGUGUACAUAGGUAUCUACAAGGCUAGUGAGGAUGCUACGACAUUGGCCUUCCUCAACCGGCUGGAAGCCUUGGAUGCCUUUGCUAAGAAGCACCUCGACCUCGCCACAAAAGCCGCCACUCCUUAGCCGCCGGUCGGUGGCCUGGCGCACUAAGUUGAGGAGGAGGAGGAGGUCGUACAUUCGUGGAUCCAUCUUUCUUCUUGCCUUCUGUAACCACCAUUGCGAUCGCGUCAUCGUGGCCUUAAUUCUUAUUGUGUUGUUGCAUUCUCGUUCCAGUAAAUACCGACAUGUGCGAUCCCUUUGCUUAAUUAUAUGCAUCACUGUAACUAGUACUCCAUCCGUCAAUUUAUAAGUUGUGCUUACCUUUUACAUCAACUUCGUGCAAUGCGCAGGCAUCUUGCUAGAAACACUACACUACAAAAAAAUACACUUCCGUGAUGAUACGUGUUUGUCACAGUAGGUCGCGUUUUUUGUCAUGUAUGUAUAUCCAUGAUGAUUUUAUGACAGAAUCAAGAUAGUCAUACUUGUGCUGUCGUAGAAGUGUUCCAUGAUAUUACCAAAAUUAUCAUCAUGGAAGUGUGCACUUCCAUGACGAUAAAUCGCGCGUCACAGAAGUGCUUUCGUCAAGGGUGACCGACACGUGGCAUCCACCGUAACGGAACGCUGUUAAGCUAUCGGGUCGGGUUUUGGAUCCGAUAACCCGUUAACAGCCCUGACCAAUGGGGAUUUUCCACGUGUAAAAUCAUCAUUGGCUGGAGGAAACACGUGUCGGCUCAUCGUUGGGAUAGAUGUCAUCCACUCAUUGGAUAGAAGGCGCCUAUGACACGUCGACACGUGGCACGGCCCAACAGAGGCCCAUUCCUGUGAAAAGGCCGGCCCGUUUGACUUGGUAAAAAGGUGCCUGGCCGGCCCAUGGAAAGCCUGUUAACGGCAUGUUCGCAUAUAGCCCAUUUACAGCCCGCUAACCCAAGGCCCAUUACGCCCUAUCCGAAUUAGGCCCAGUAGCGUCAUCUGGGCCAUCCAAUAUGAUUCCAGCCCAUUUUCACUUCUGGCCCAUGUAUGGCCCAUGACGUAUUUCGGCCCACAUGAGGCCCUAUGUAACUCUUGGCCUAUUAACGGCCCGUGGUGAAACUGGCCCGUAAUGAACAGUGUAUCACUUUACACCCAUUCACGGCCCAUGGUGAAACUGGCCCGUAAUGAACAGUGUAUCACUUUAUACCCAUUAACGGCCCGUUAUUCCGUUGGGCCGUUUCUAGCCCAUGUUAUCUUUCGGCCUUCUCAGAGCCCACUUAUUCUUGGGCUCAUUUCCAGCAUUCGUUUACUUACGGCCCGUUACUAUCAUUUUCUGCUUGUGGGCCAAAUUCAGCCCGUGGUUACAGUCGACCCGUUUGUGGUCCGUUAAUACGUUGGGCUGUUUUCAUAGCGUCAUCAAAUACGGCCUAUUAACAAUGGCCUGUUAUGGUCGGCCCAUGAACGAACGAUUCCAACUCUAGCCGUUUACAGCCAUAAUGCGGCCUGUUAUUGGCCCAUGUUUGGCCAAUCGAUCAUACGACCCGUAUAAGGCCCAUUGAUGAUACAGCCUGUAGAAGGCCCAUUGUUUCUACGCCGCGUAGAAAGCCCAUUGUUUCUACGGCCCGUAGAAGGCCUACUGUUUCUACAACCCAUCGAAGGCCCACUAUUUCUACGGCCCGUAGGAGGCCUAGUGUCACUCCAGUAAAUAUUAGCCCAUGGUUAUUGUGGCCUAUUUUUAAAAAACAGGUUAUUACAGCCACUAGCAAACCGCAGAAAAAGAACUGCACUGACUACAAGAAAACAAAUAAACAAGACAACAAGGAAAUUAAUAAGCAAGCAACUUAUGCUAGGCUAUCACGGCUAUUACACAUAUUACAUCCACUGGGCAUCAAAGUUUGCCACCAGUGCAAAUAUAGGGAACAAAGCAGCAUAUAAACGCCGCAGCAAAACAAGUCCAGAACUGAAACCACUUCAGAAGAGUUCAAGAAAUAAUAUUCUGGGUACCCAUAAUGCUGGCAAGAUGCUUAGCAAGCUUAUUAACUUUCUCUUGUUUGGCGCUUAAAUCCUCCAGCGCUUGCUGUUGCACAAGUAAGUACGCAUCUGAAUUCUGCAGGGCCUUCCUCAGUCCUUCGGCUUCUUGCCGCAGCACAGCUGAUUGAUGCCUUUCAUCUUGUAGCUGAGACUGAAGAACCCGAAGUGAUUCAGGCAGCGAGUUCGAAGAGCUUGUGCCAGCGGUACUGGCCAGUAACUCGAACACUACAUCAACGCAUAACUGUGGGGUUUUCUCACUGUCUACAAGAUCGUUUUUAUCACCUUUCUUGGAGACCAACAGGGAUGUCUCACUAUCUUGAACCUUAUUUACAUUAAUUUCUCUACCAUUGCAUAGUGGGGUGCUCUUCUCCAAUAUUCUGUUUGCGUACUACAAGAGAAACAAGCAGACACAUCACAUGUUUAGCUUGUAGUAUACGAAACUCAUUUUGGUAAACCGGUUCAGUAGUAAGGUGGACAGGAUAACAACAUGAAACAAACAUAUAUCUAUGUACUAUGGUCAUUGUAUUGUCCAUAUCAUUCUAGUUUAUGUUCCCUAAUCAAGAUAAAGACACAAUUCAACUCAUAUAUUUUUAAGACACAUCAACAUAGACAGAAUAUAAGUGUGAGAAACUACACAACAUUGGCAGCACUUGUAAUGCGCAUCACAUGAGAACAUAACUGUUUAUACAACUUAAACUGAAAUCAACAUAGAGCAAGAAGUUAGAACAGCAAUCCAGUUAAAGAAAUAGGUUUAAAACAUACCUGUUGCACCAUUGGAGUUUCAAUUGGAUCCUUCAAAUUCGAAAGUAGUUGGUAUGAGUAAAUACAAUGAUGCAACAGCAAAGGAGUAUGGACCACAGCUAUGGAAUCUGACCUGAGAACAAUUGCUCUUCUGCUUUAAACGUGGAGUUUGGGUUAGCUGUGGUGGUCUUCGUGCUUUGGGCACUGCAGUAGCUUUACAAACUGCUCGUGUGGGGGUACUCUGUGGUGGACAUGGUGCUUUGUCAACUAUAAGUGGGUUACUAUCCGCUGGGGUUGCGGUUAGAUGGGUUGUAGCUGGUUCUCUGCCCAACGGUGUAAGUGUGCAAUUUGGAAGAGUCUCGAUUAUGUGUGGUGGGGAUAGUUUGUGGGCCAGUACAACCAUGGUUCUAUCUGCAUCGACGGGUAGCAUCGUCUUUUGUGAAGAACGGGUUUUUGCUCCCUUAGAUACUGCCAUCACCCCCUCCAAUUCAAAUGGCUGAUAAACAAGAAAAGAAAUUGAACGUACAGACAUUGUAUGAUAGACAGAUGUGGUAAUUCACACAUAUGUUGUCUAACCAAACAGGACAGCAUGACACAGUUUCACAUAUAUGAUGCCUAACUAAAUAGGAUAGCAUGACACAGUUUCAGAUAUAUGAUGGAUAACUUAACAGGAUAUAAUGGCAUAAUUCAACAUAUGAUGAGUACCUAAACAGGAUGACAUGACAAAACUAUAUGAUGUCUUUCUAAAAUAGGUUGGGAUGAAAUAAUUCACAUACAUGUUGUCUAAGUAUACAGGAUGGCAUGAUAUAAUUGACAUAAUUGAUUCAUAUACUAAGCAACUGGCACUCGCAUGUAUGAUCUCUAAACUAAGAAGAUAGAAUUCAAUAUUGUGCAUAUGAUGUCUAAACUAAGCAAUGCAAGACACCAUAUGCAUCAUAUGAGAAAUAUAAACAUUGCAACUUAGAGCAUACACCUCAGGUGGGAUAUAGGACUGGUCAUCUGUCUCUGAAUCCUCCUCUGAGGAGCUCCCUAUAACCAUCGAGAUAUAUGCUUCAACAGGUACCAUUGCCUGCUCUGAAGACCUUGUUUUCAUUCCAGAUUUUUCCAUAACCGGCUCAAAUGGCUGAUACACAUGAAGAGUAGUUCAAUAUACACAGAUUGUCGACAAAUGGAAUACAUAAUGAAAAAAAAGAUGGCAUGAGAUAAUUCACAUAUAUGAUGCCUGGCUCCAUGGUGGUGCAUAAUUCACAUAUAUGAUAACUGGCUGAAAAACAUGGCAUUGCAUAAUUCACAUAUCUAAGAUAGAAAGCAAACAGGAGGCAUUCACACAAAGCAUGUCUAAUCUAAGCAGAUGACAUGGCAACGCAAGACACCAUAUGCAUGAUAUGAGCAAUAUAACCCAGCCAAGUUAGAGCAUGCACCUCGGGGGGGGGAUACGACUGGUCAUCUCUCUCUCUGAAUCCUCCUCUGAGGAGCUAUCUGUAACCAGCAAGAAAUCUGCAUCGACAGGUAGCACUGACUGCUCAGAAGACCUUGUUUUCACUCCGGAUUUUCCCAUGACCAACUCAAAUGGCUGAUGCAUGAGAAGAGUAGAUGAAUGUAUAAACAUUGUUGACAAAUAGAAUACAUUAUGGAAAAAAUAUGGCACGAUACAAUUCACAUAUACGAUGACUGGCUAAAUAGGAUGGCAUUGCAUGAUUCACGUAGAUGAUGCCUGGCUAAAGAAGAUGGCAUUGCAUAAUUCCCAUAUACUCCCUCCGUUCCUAAAUAUUUGUCUUUUUAGAGAUUUCAAAUGGACUACCACAUACGGAUGUAUAUAGACACAUUUUAGAGUGUAGAUUCACUCAUUUUGUUCCGUAUGUAGUCACUUGUUGAAAUCACUAAAAAGACAAAUAUUUAGGAAUGGUGGGAGUAUGAUAUAGAAACCAAACAGGUGGCAUUCACACAAAGCAAAUCUAAACUAAGCUGAUGACAUAUAAGAUGUAUAAUGUAAGCAAUGCAAGGCGCCAUAUGCAUGAUAUGACCAACAUCAGCAUGCCAGGUUAGAGCAAACACCUCAGGUGGUAAACAGGCGUGGUCGGCUCCUUCUAAAUCUCCAUCUGAACAGUUAUCUUCCUCUGGAAUACAAUCUGGAAAUGCAGGAGGGGGGGGGACCACUUCGCCCACCAUGGAGCAACGUCUGCAUGACAUUAUAUUCGCAUGCAAUAGUCUUCUCUUUUUCUCUACAUGUUCAGUACAAUUGUGUACAAUAUCUAACAUGCAUAAUAAAAAAAUAGUUAGAUUUUGUAAGGCCUAAGGGGUGCAUGCAAAAAUCAAGACUGAUGGUAGCAAACGAGUGGAUGGAUCCAAAACUAAUGAUAGCAGGUAGAUUAUAGCUUCAGUUUAAAAAGAUAGACAAUGGAUCAUUUAUUGUUUGUUGCCCACCCAACAUGAACCACAUAGAAGACCCCAGAUGAACCAGAUAGUAGACAUAUACUAUUCAUUGCUGGCUCGAUAUGAGACCCAUGGGCAAUUCAAAACUCAAUAUUGAACGAUAAAGUAGUAGGUAAUAAUAACCGAUGUAUAACGUAAGCAAACAGGAAAGACUGCAACCUCUCUUCCGAAACUUUGUAGUCCUCAGGUUCAUCUGCUCAAUCGAUGAUGGUAAUGCAGUUGGCGUGGCUGCCGGCAACGGGGAAGAUGAUUUGAGGCGGCGAAAGGAAGUCUGCAGGGGGAUCUCUGCUGCAGUGAACGCUUCUGUCGAUGGUGCACCUCAGGUGGGGUGGAUGACGACACGGCAGGAGCAUGACAUAACAUAUCGAGUUUUCUUUGACGCCUAUCUGAAAAUGAAGUAAAUCUGUAAGGGCUCCUUAGAAUUAGAGGAUUCUAUAAACGCAGGGAUAGGAAAAACACAGGAAUGUGAUAAGAAUGCACGUGCAAAACAGAGCAUUUGGAAACAUAGGAUUUUAGUCAACCUGGGUGUUCGGCUCACAUGAAUUGGAAGAACAGAGGAAUGGAGAAACAAAGUGAUGCGAUGAGUGUACAACCUCUUUGGCAUAGCCUUGUGGACCUCAGCAUCUUUGGGUUGGAGGUGGAGGAUGGUGAUGAUGCUGGUGUGACUGUCGGAGGCGGGGAAGAAGAUCCGAGGCCUCUAGAAACGGCGCUGAGGGUACUGCUCCGCUGUGAUGGACGGUUCCGUCGUUGGAGCAGCUCCACUAAGGUGUACGGCGACGAGGCUGAAGCAUGACAAGACAGACAACGUUAAUCUGAAGUGGGACCCUAAUAUCAUCUGCAAUAGAUGAUGUAAAAUACAUCACCAAAAAGUGCUAGAUGUAAAACGCAUCAGCCGCGCCACGGCCGCUCCGACGGAUGCUGUAAGUACUGUUCACUCUGAACUUAAAUGAAGAAAAUGAACUUCACAGUCAAAACUGAAUUUUACUAUCGAAACCGAUUGAACUAGUAACAGAGCAUUGCAAUAGAUGUUUAGGGCGUUUGACCACUAGUAGCAGAGAAGCAGUGAUCUAAAUCAGCAGAUGCUCAAGCAAGGAAUGCACUAGCAGAGAGCAAGUCAUGCAGUAGCACCGCGAGCGAGUGCUAAAGCAGCAACUCCUGUAGCUGCCGGAGGUCGUGCAGCAGAAGCAGCAGUAGCGCAAGCGAGAGCAAGAGCAGAGCAGCAGCACGAACGAAAGCAGGAGCAGUGCAGCAGCGCGAUUGACAGCAAGAACAGAGCCGCAAUGUGAGCGAGAGCCGGAGCAACUGCAACUAGUGUCGUUGUGGAAGUCGCCGCCGAGGAAGCAACGACAUGGGGGAGAGACGCCGUGGAUGAUGUGGCCGGCGACGGGGCCGUCGAUGGAGACACGCCAUGUCUGCUCGGUAUCGAGCACCGGCAGCCCCGUGAGAUCGAAUAAAAGAUAAAAUGCAGUGGUGAGUGUAGAACCUCCUUGGUGGCACCGAGUUGGCCUCGGCUUCAUCGGAGGAAUUGCUGAGGGUGUUGCGGUUCCGGUGGGGCAGGUCAAGACGACGCUGUGGGGAUUGAGGUGGCGCGAUAGACGAGGCGAACAUCGAGGCAGCUCCUUGGAGGUGGAGGACGGGGCGGCUGAUCCGGCGGGAUGACGAGAUCGACAAUGGAUCCUCAUCCAGUGCGGUGGAUGAGGGACGACGAGCUGUUGCGGUGGACGACAUAGUCGGGGAAGAGUCUCUGGCUGGGCGACGAUCGGGAGGCCUACGGAGGAGCGUGGGGUUUCGCGGGUUUUGACGGCCUCGGUGUACGNNNNNNNNNNNNNNNNNNNNNNNNNNNNNNNNNNNNNNNNNNNNNNNNNNNNNNNNNNNNNNNNNNNNNNNNNNNNNNNNNNNNNNNNNNNNNNNNNNNNNNNNNNNNNNNNNNNNNNNNNNNNNNNNNNNNNNNNNNNNNNNNNNNNNNNNNNNNNNNNNNNNNNNNNNNNNNNNNNNNNNNNNNNNNNNNNNNNNNNNNNNNNNNNNNNNNNNNNNNNNNNNNNNNNNNNNNNNNNNNNNNNNNNNNNNNNNNNNNNNNNNNNNNNNNNNNNNNNNNNNNNNNNNNNNNNNNNNNNNNNNNNNNNNNNNNNNNNNNNNNNNNNNNNNNNNNNNNNNNNNNNNNNNNNNNNNNNNNNNNNNNNNNNNNNNNNNNNNNNNNNNNNNNNNNNNNNNNNNNNNNNGGUAAUGGGGGGCCGAAGGGGGAGGGGGGAGCCAAGCUUAGGGACGCGCUUGUCCGAAAUGUAGGGUAAGUUACCAGCAUACCCCCAUCGAUUUUGACACCGUGACGUGGAGCUUCAUUUUCGGCUGAGGGGUAGAAGGGGGAUUUCGCGUGCCUAGGCUGCCGGAGCGAUUUUGGAUGAGGAGGGAGUUCUCGCGCACGUCCAAAUUUCGGGAUAACAAGGCGCGGCGCGGGUUGAAGAAGCGGGAGUUUCAAAGCAGGUGAGACAAAAGAUACUCGAGCUUGAAAAUUUCGGGAUAACAAGGUGCGGAUUCCUUGUUCGGCAGAACAAACUUAACGUGUAAAAAAAAUUCAUACAAGACAUAAGAGAGUCAUGUCCCCUUUUACUAUAUUGCUAUAGAUGCCAUUGAAAAAACUACAAGAAAAAUGUAAAAAAAAUCAGGAGAACAAGAUUACCCUGCACAGUACCAAAUCGAUUCGCACUUCCCUCAACAACAACAAAAAAUAAAUCAAUUCCCACCAAAGAAAGAGUAAUGUCCCUUUUUAUAUGAUUAUAGAUGCCAUGAUCUCGAAUUUCAAUUUUUGAAUCCAUGUUAUGUUGAAUUCGAAUAUAUCGUUAGGUGACCUUGCGGUUUAUAAUUGAUGUAGUCGUACAUUUUGAUCUUCCAUCAUAUAUGAACAUUUUACUCCACCAUGUGAACAUAUAUAUUGUCGUCUACCAUGUGGACUAAAUUUGAAUCAAUUUUCCUUAUUUGAAUACGAUUGUUGUCAAGUUAUACAAUAAUUUAAAUAUUAUCUUGAUAACAAAAAACAUACAUAUAGAAGUAAUCAUAUUUCACUAUGAACUACAUGUACCAUACACUCUCCAAUUCAAAUAUUUGUAUCCAUUUUAUGUUGAAUUCAAAUCAUAGUACAUUAUUGGUCUAGGUAGCGAGAUGUUUGGGAUAAUCUAAACCCUGUUUUCAUACGUAUAAUUUUUGGCUGAAUUGGGACAAGUUUUGGUAUAAGCCUCUUGUAAAACCAGAUAUUCUCUCAACAAGCCUCGUGGUUCCGAGAGGGAACGUGUCACCUUCGUGUGCGAAAUGAUAUACGCUGCCUCCCCCCUGAUUUUAUUAACAGAGGCAACAUAGAACUAUAUAAGUGCCUUGUUAAAUUUUGGAAUUAUUUCGGGUUCAUUUGACCUUUUUAUACAUUAAUUGAGUUUCUGGACUUUUAAUGUGCAUAAUCUAAAUAUGAAUUGCAUGCACAUGCUCCGGUGCACCAAAGUGGGUUGAAAAGUCACAUGUGUGUCCUUGGUUGAAUUUCUAGGUCCCAUGGAAGAAAUGAGAUUGAAAUUCAAACAUUUGGGCGUCAUGACUCGGCCGAGAACAUCGAGAAACUUUGAUUUUAAAUUCAUGUAAAUCCAAAACUCGCCUGGAAAUCAUGAAACUUGGCAUGGUGUCAUGUCAUGGCACUAACAUGUUGUUGUAAAAAAUUGGGCUGAUUUGGAAGCUCGUGGUUCUAAGAGGGAACGUGCCACCUUUGAGUGUGAAACGAUAUACGCUGCCCCCCUUGAGCUUCUUAACAAAGGCAACAUAGAACUACAUUAGUGCCCUAUUAAAUUUUGGAAUUAUUCCGGGUUCGUUUGUCGUUUUUUAAACAUUAAUUGAGUUUCUGGUCAUUUAAUGUGCAUAAGUCAAAUUUGAACUACAAGCACAUGCUCUCGUGCACCAAAGUUGGUUGAAAAAUCACAUUUGUGUCCUCGGGUGAAUUUCUAGGUCCCAUGCAAGAAAUGAGAAUAAAAUUAAAACAUCUCGGCAUCGUGGCUCGGCCGAGAACAUUGAGAAACUUGGUUUUAAAAUUCUUGUAAAUCCAAAACACGUCUGAAAAUCAUGAAACUUGGCAUGGAUGCAUGUCAUGGUACUACCAUGCUGUGGUAAAAAAAUUGGCCGAAUAGGAACAGAUUUUGGUCUAAGCUUUUGCAAACCGAAGCUUCUCUCAAGAAGGCUCGUGGUUCUAAGAGGGAACGUGCCACCUUUGAGUGCGAAACGAUAUACAUUGUCCCCCUUGAGUUUAUUUACAAAUGCAACAUAGAACUACAUGAGUGCCCUAUUAAAAUUUGGAAUUAUUCUGGCUUCGUUUGGCCUUAUUUACACAUUAAUUGAGUUUUUGGUCAUUUAAUGUGCAUAAUUCAAAUUUGAACUACAAGCACAUGCUCCCGUGCACCAAAGUUGGUUGAAAAAUCACAUUUGCGUCCUCGGGUGAAUUUCUACUCCCUCCUUCCAUCUAUAUAGGUCCUAAUGCGUUUUUCGAGGCUAACUUUGACCAAAUGUUAGAGCAAUAAUAUAUGACAUGCAACUUACACAAAGCAUACCUUCAAUUUUGUAUGUCAAAGGAGCUUCCAAUAAUAUAAUUUUCAUAGUAUACAUCUCAUGUGCUAUUAAUCUUGUCAAUAGUCAAAGGCUAUCUUGAAAAACACAUUAGGCCCUAUAUAGAUGGAAGGAGGGAGUAGGUCCCAUGCAAAAAAUGAGAAUAAAAUUCAAACAUCUGGGCAUCGUGGCUCGGUCAAGAACAUUGAGAAACUUGGUUUUAAAAUCAUGAAACUUGGCAUGGUGUCAUGUCAUGGUAGUACCAUGCCGUGGUCAAAAAAUUGGCCGAAUAGGAACAAAUUUUGGUAUAAGCUUCUUGCAAAUUGGAGCUUCUCUCAAGAAGGCUCGUGGUUCUGGGAGGGAACGUCUCACCUUUGUGUGCAUAAUUCAAAUUUGAAAUACAAGCACAUGUUCCAGUGCACCAAAGUUGGUUGAAAAAUCACAUGUGUGUCCUCGGGUAAAUUUUGAGGUUCCAUGCAAGAAAUGGGAAUGAAAUUCAAAAUUCUGGGCGUCGUGGCUGGGUUGGAAACAUUGAGAAACUUAGUUUUUUAAUUCCUGUAAAUCCAAAACACGCAUGAAAAUAAUGAAACUUGGCUUGGUGCCAUGACAUGGCACCAACAUGCUGUGGUAAAUUUGCAGUCCGAUUUGCAAAGGCGCACACAUUAACAAUCAACAAAGUCAUUUUGGAACAAGUGUUGUCAUGUUACAAUCGGAAACACAAGUAUUAUUGAAACCGUGGGCGUUCUACUUACUAGUACCAUUUACGUGCCGCCACGCGUCCCCAUUUUUAUUAGCUAGGAGGCGCCGUGUAGGGUAGCUAUUUGAUUACGAGAGGCGUGCGAUCAGACCCCUGCGCAUGCUUAUCGGGAGGAGAGCCCUUUGACCUCCAUCUGCCGUCCACCUCUCUCCCAAGGUCUCCAUUAACGGUGCCCGAGCCUCUGUUUAAUGGCGUGGCUACGUCUCACUCGACUGAGAUUCAAGAGAGAAAAAAGAAAAUCUGAAAGCAUGGAUCUUGAUGUAAGAUCCGACGGACCUAUAUAGCAUCUACUGCGACUUAUAGCAAGACUGAUGAAUAUAUAAUGAUGAUUAAUUUUUUUUGAUCAAAGAAGGGCUUGACCCUUCCGAUUUUCACUACCGAAAACCACCACAAUUCACAAGAAGUUCAGCACAACUCCAGCCUAACACGAAGGACUAAAAGCUACCAGGUUGAAAUCGCAACAUCCCAAGAGGCCAACAAAGGCCAAACAUCCGCGCUAGAACCCAAUAUUUCACAACCAACGACACAAUCCACAUCCUAAACCGAUUAUUACAUCAAAAGAAACCAGGAAACUAGUCUCCGCGGAGAGCGGCGAUGAGCUCUUUCGUGUCCUCACACUACAAGAAAUUGUUGGGGAAUGUAGCAAUAAUUCAAAAUUUUCCUACGUGUCACCAAGAUCAAUCUAGGAGAUUCUAGCAACGAGAGAGAGAGUGCAUCUUCAUACCCUUGAAGAUCGCUAAGCGGAAGCGUUCAAGAGAACGAGGUUGAUGGAGUCGUACUCGUCGUGAUCCAAAUCACCGAUGAUCCUAGUGCCGAACGGACGACACCUCCGCGUUCAACACAUGUACGGAAUGGAGGGAUGUCUCCUCCUUCUUGAUCCAGCAAGGGGAGAGGAGAGGUUGAUGGAGAUCCAGCAGCACGACGGCGUGGUGGUGGAAGUAGCAGGAUCCCGGCAGGGCUUCGCCAAGCACAAACGGGGAGGAAGAGGUUACACGGGAGGGAGGGAGGCGCCAGGGCUUCAGGUGUGGCUGCCCUCCCUCCCCUCCACUAUAUAUAGGGGCCUAGGGGGGGCGCCGGCCCCUUGUAGAUCCUAUCUAGGGAGGGGGCGGCAGCCCUAGGGGUGGCUUGGCCUCCAAGCCAAGUGGUGGCGCCCCCACCCCUUAGGGUUUCCAACCCUAGGCGCAUGGGAGGCCCAAGGGGGGCGCACUAGCUUACCAGGGGCUGGUUCCGACGUCCCUUCAGCCCAUGGGGCCCUCCGGGAUAGGUGGCCCCACCCGAUGGACCCCCGGGACCCUUUCGGUGGUCCCGGUACAAUACCGAUGACCCGCGAAACUUUCCCGGUGGCCGAAACUAGACUUCCUAUAUACAAAUUUUUAUCUCCGGACCAUUCAGGAACUGCUCCUGACGUCCGGGAUCUCAUCCGGGACUCCGAACAACUUUCGGUUUACCGCAUACUAAUAUCUCUACAACCCUAGCGUCACCGAACCUUAAGUGUGUAGACCCUACGGGUUCGGGAACCAUGCAGACAUGACCGAGACAACUCUCCGGUUAAUAACCAAUAGCAGGAUCUAGAUACCCAUGUUGGAUCCCACAUGCUCCACGAUGAUCUCAUCGGAUGAACCACGAUGUCAAGGAUUCAAUCAAUCCCGUAUACAAUUCCCUUUUUCUAUCGGUACGAUACUUGCCUGAGAUUCGAUCGUCGGUAUCCCGAUACCUCGUUCAAUCUCGUUACCGGCAAGUCUCUUUACUCGUUCCGUAACACAUCAUCCCGUGAUCAACUCCUUGGUCACAUUGUGCACAUUAUGAUGAUGUCCUACCGAGUGGGCCCAGAGAUACCUCUCCGUUACAUGGAGUGACAAAUCCCAGUCUCGAUUCGUGCCAACCCAACAGAAACUUUCGGAGAUACCCGUAGUGCACCUUUAUAGCCACCCAGUUACGUUGUGACAUUUGGUACACCCAAAGCAUUCCUACGGUAUCCGGGAGUUGCACAAUCUCAUGGUCUAAGGAAAUGAUACUUGACAUUAGAAAAGCUUUAGCAUACGAACUACACGAUCUUGUGCUAGGCUUAGGAUUGGGUCUUGUCCAUCACCUCAUUCUCCUAAUGAUGUGAUCCCGUCAUCAACGACAUCCAAUGUCCAUGGUCAGGAAACCGUAACCAUCUAUUGAUCAACGAGCUAGUCAACUAGAGGCUUACUAGGGACAUGGUGUUGUCUAUGUAUCCACACAUGUAUCUGAGUUUCCUAUCAAUACAAUUCUAGCAUGGAUAAUAAAAGAUUAUCAUGAACAAGGAAAUAUAAUAAUAACUAAUUUAUUAUUGCCUCUAGGGCAUAUUUCCAACAGUCUCCCACUUGCACUAGAGUCAAUAAUCCAGUUCACGUCGCUAUGUGAUUAACACUCAAGGUCACAUCCCCAUGUGACUGACACCCAAGGAGUUUACUAGAGUCAAUAAUCUAGUUCACAUUACCAUGUGAUUAACACUCAAUGAGUUUUGGGUUUGAUCAUGUUAUGCUUGUGAGAGAUGUUAUAGUCAACGGGUCUGAACCUUUCAGAUCCGUGUGUGCUUUACAAAUCUCUAUGUCAUCUUGUAGAUGCAGCUACCACGCUCUAUUUGGAGCUAUUCCAAAUAACUGUUCUACUAUAUGAAUCUGGUUUACUACUCAGAAUGAUCCAGAUUAGUGUCAAAGAUUGCAUCGACGUAACCCUUUACGACGAACUCUUUUACCACCUCCAUAAUCGAGAAAAUUCCUUAGUCCACUAGUUACUAAGGAUAACCUUGACCGUUGUCCUAUGAUCCAUUCCUAGAUCACACUUGUACCCCUUGACUGACUCAUGGCUUGGCACACUUUAGGUGUGGUACACAACAUAGCAUACUUUAGAGCCUACGUCUAAAGCAUAGGGGAUGACCUUCGUCCUUUCUCUCUAUUCUGCCGUGGUCAGGUCUUGAGUUUUACUCAAUACUCAUACCUUAUAACACAACCAAGAACUCCUUCUUUGCUGAUCUAUUUUUGAACUCCUUCAAAAUUUUGUCAUGAAAGUACUAUUAAGCGAUUUUGAUCUAUCCUUAUAGAUCUUGAUGCUCAAUGUUCAAGUAGCUUAAUCCAGGUUUUCCAUUGAAAAACACUUUUCAAAUAACCCUAUGUGCUUUCCAGAAACUCUACAUCAUUUUUGAUCAACAACAUAUACUCAUCAGAAAUUCUAUAGUGCUCCCACUCACUUCUUUGGAAAUACAAGUUUCUCAUAAACUUUGUAUAAACCCAAAAUCUUUGAUCAUCUCAUCAAAGCGUACAUUCCAACUCCGAGAUGCUUACUCCAGUCCUUAGAAGGGUUGCUGGAGCUUUGCAUACUUGUUAGCAUCUUUCAGGAUUGACAAAACCUUCUGGAUGUAUCACAUACAACCUUUCCUCAAGAAAAACAUCGAGGAAACAAUGUUUUGACAUCCUAUCUGCAAGAUUUCAUAAAUAAUGCAGUAACUGCUAACACAAUUCCAACAGACUCUUAGCAUCGCUACGAGUGAGAAAGUCUCAUCGUAGUCAACUCCUUGAACUUGUCGGGAAACAUCUUAACGACAAGUUGAGCUUUCUUAAUGGUGACACUUAUCAUCAUUGCCCGUCUUCCUUUUAAAAUCCAUCUGCACCCAACAACCUUACGACCAUCAAGUAGUUAUUUCAAAGUCUAUACUUUGUUUUAUACAUGGAUCCUUUCUCGGAUUUUAUGGCCUCGAGCCAUUCGUCGGAAUCUGGGCCCACCAUCGCUUCUCCAUAGCUCGUAGGUUCAUUGUUUUCUAGCAACAUGACUUCCAAGACAGGAUUACGUACCACUCUGAAGUUAUACACAUCCUUGUCGACCUAUGAGGUUUGGUAGUGACUUGAUCUGAAGUUUCAUGAUUACUAUCAUAAGCUUCCACUUCAAUUGGUGUAGGUGCCACAGGAACAACUUCAUGUGCCCUGCUACACACUAGUUGAAGUGACGGUUCAAUAACCUCAUCAAGUCUCCACCAUCCUCCCACUCAAUUCUUUUGAGAGAAACUUUUCCUCGAGAAAGGACUCAUUUCUAGAAACAAUCACUCUUGCUUCCAGAUCUGAAAUAGGAGGUACACCCAACUAUUUUUGGGUAUUCUAUGAAGAUGCAUUUAUCCGCUUUGGCUUCGAGUUUAUGAGCCUGAAACCUUUUCACAUAAGCGUCGCAGCCCCAAACUUUUAAGAAACGAUAGCUUAGGUUUUUCUAAACCAUAGUUCAUACGGUGUCAUCUCAACGGAAUUGUGUGGUGCCCUAUUUAAAGUGAAUGUGGUUGUCUCUAAUGCCUAACCCAUAAACGAUAGUGGUAAUUCGAUAAGAGACAUCAUGGUAUGCACCAUAUCCAAUGGGGUGCAGUUACGAUGUUCGGACACACCAUCACACUAUGGUGUUCCAUGUGGUAUUAGUUGUGAAACAAUUUCCACAAUGUCUUAAUUAUGUGCCAAACUCGUAACUCAGAUAUUCAUCGCUAUGAUCAUAUCAUAGACAUUUCAUCAUCUUGUCACGACGAUCUUCAACUUCACUCUGAAAUUACUUGAACCUUUCAAUAAUUCAGACUUGUGUUUCAUCAAGUAAAUAUACUUAGCAUCUACUCAAAUCAUCUAUGAAGUAAGAACAUAACGAUAUCCACUGCGUGCCUCAGCACUCAUUGGACUGCACACAUCAAAAUGUAUUACUUCCAACAAGUUGCUUUCUUGUUCCAUCUUACUAAAAACGAGGCCUUUCAGUCAUCUUGCCCAUGUGGUAUGAUUUGCAUGUCUCAAGUGAUUCAAAAUCAAGUGAGUCCAAACGAUCCAUCUGUAUGGAGUUUCUUCAUGCAUAUCUACCAAUAGACAUGGUUCACAUGUCUCAAUCUUUUCAAAAACGAGUGAGUCCAAAGAUCCAUCAACGUGGAGCUUCUUCAUGCGUUUUAUACCAUCAUGACUCAAAUGGCAGUGCCACAAGUAUGUGGUACUAUCAUUACUAUCUUAUAUCUUUUGGCAUGAACAUGUGUAUCACUAUGAUCGAGAUUCAAUAAGCCAUUUAUUUUAGGUGCAAGACCAUUGAAGGUAUUAUUCAAGUAAAUAGAGUAACCAUUAUUCUCCUUAAAUGAAUAACCGUAUGGCGAUAAACAUAAUCCAAUCAUGUCUAUGCUCAACGCAAACACCAAAUAACAAUUAUUUAGGUUUAACACCAAUCUCGAUGGUAGAGGGAGCGUGUGAUGUUUGAUCACAUCAACCUUGGAAACACUUCCAACAUAUCGUCAUCUCACCUUUAGCUAGUCUCUGUAGCCUUUUAUUUCGAGUUACUAACACUUAGCAUCCGAACCGAUAUUUAUUACCCUGGUGCUACUAGGAGUACUAGUAAAGUACACAAUAAUAUAAUGUAUAUUCAAAAUACUUCUAUCGACCUUGCCAGCCUUCUCAUCUACCAAGUAUCUAGGGUAGUUCUGCUUCAGUGACCGUUCCCCUCAUUAUAGAAGCACUUAGUCUCGGGUUUGGUUCAACCUUGGGUUUCUUCACUAGAGCAGCAACUGUUUUGCCGUCUCAUGAAGUAUCCCUUCUUCCCCUUGCCCUUCUUGAAACUAGUGGUUUUACUAAACAUCAACAAUUGAUGCUCCUACUUGAUUUCUACUUUCACGGUGUCAAACAUCGCGAAUUGCUCAAGGAUCAUCAUGUCUAUCCCUGAUAUGUUAUAGUUCAUCACUAAGCUCUAAUAGCUUGGUGGCAGUGACUAUGGAGAACUAUCACUAUCUCAUCUGGAAGAUUAACUCCCACUCGAUUCAAGCGAUUGUAGUACUCAGACAAUCUGAGCAUAGGCUCAACGAUUGAGCUUUACUCCCUGUUUGAAGGCUUAAGAAACUUGUCAGAGGUCUCAUACCUCUUGACGUGGGCAUUAGUCUGAAAUCCCAAUUUCAGUCUUUGGAACAUCUCAUAUGUUCUACGACGUUUGAAAAUGUCUUUGGUGCCACAAUUCUAAACUGUUAGUAUUACGCACCGAACUAUCACGUAGUCAUCAAAACGUGUAUGUCAGAUGUUUCCCAACAUCUACAGACGAUGCUCGAGGUUCAACACACUGAGCGGUGCAUUAAGGACAUAGCUAGCCCUUCUGUGCAGCAAUGAGGACAAUCCUCAGUUCACGGACCCAGUCCGCAUAAUUGCUACUGUCAACUGUCAACUAAAUUUUCUCUAGGAACAUAUCUAAAAUAGUAGAACCAAAGCGUGAGCUACGACAUAAUUUGCAAAGACCUUUUGACUAUGUUCAUGAUAAUUAAGUUCAUCUAAUCAAAUUAUUCAAUGAACUCCCACUUAGAUAGACAUCCCUCUAGUCAUCUAAGUGAUACAUGAUCCGAGUCAACUAGGCCUUGUCCGAUCAUCACGUGAGACAUACUAGUCAUCAUCGGUGAACAUCUUCAUGUUGAUCGUAUCCACUAUAUGACUCAUGUUCGACCUUUCGGUCUUCCGUGUUCCGAGGCCAUGUCUGUACAUGCUAGGCUCGUCAAGUUAACCUAAGUGUAUUGCAUGUGUAAAUCUGGCUUACACCCGUUGUAUGCGAACGUUAGAACCUAUCACACCCAAUCAUCACGUGGUGCUUCGGAACAACGGACCUUAGCAAUGGUGCAUAGUUAGGGGGAACACAAUCCUUGAUAUUUUAAUGAGGGAUCAUCUUAUUUAUGCUACCGUUGUUCUAAGCAAAUAAGAUGUAAAAACAUGACAAACAUCACAUGCAAAUCAUAAAGUGACAUGAUAUGGCCAAUAUCAUCUUGCGCCUUUGAUCUCCAUCUUCGAGGCGCGGCAUGAUCACCUUCGUCACCAGCAUGACACCAUGAUCUCCAUCAUUGUGUCUUCAUGAAGUUGCCUCGUCAACUAUUACUUCUACUACUAUGGCUAACGGUUAGCAAUAAAGUAAAUUAAUUACAUGACGUUUAUGUUGACACGCAGGUCAUAAAUAAAUUAAGACAACUCCUAUGGCUCCUGCCGGUUGUCAUACUCAUCGACAUGCAAGUCGUGAUUCCUAUUACAAGAACAUGAUCAAUCUCAUACAUCACAUAUAUCAUUCAUCACAUCCUUUUGGCCAUAUCACAUCACAAAGGAAACCCUGUAAAAACAAGUUAGACAUCCUCUAAUUGUUGUUGCAUGUUUUACGUGGCUGGUAUGGGUUUCUAGAAAGAACGUUUCUUACCUACGCAAAACCACAACGGUGAUAUGCCAAUUGCUAUUUACCCUUCAUAAGGACCCUUUUCAUCAAAUCCGAUCCGACUAAAGUGGGAGAGACAGACACCCGCCAGCCACCUUAUGCAUCAAGUGCAUGUCAGUCGGUGGAACCAGUCUCACGUAAGUGUACGUGUAAGAUCGGUCCGGGCCGCUUCAUCCCACAAUGCCGCUGAAUCAAGAUAAUACUAGUAACGACAAGCAAAUUGAACAAAUCAUCGCCCACAACUACUUUGUGUUCUACUCGUGCAUAGAAUCUACGCAUAGACCUAGCUCUGAUACCAUUGUUGGGGAACGUAGCAAUAAUUCAAGAUUUUCCUAUGUGUCACCAAGAUCAAUCUAGGAGAUACUAGCAACGAGAGAGAGAGAGAGUGCAUCUUCAUACCCUUGAAGAUCGCUAAGCGGAAGCGUUGAAGAGAACGGGGUUGAUGGAGUCGUACUCGUCGUGAUCCAAAUCACCGAUGAUCCUAGUGCCGAACGGACGACACCUACGCGUUCAACACACGUACGGAACGGAGAGACGUCUCCUCCUUCUUGAUCCAGCAAGGGGAGAGGAGAGGUUGAUGGAGAUCCAGCAGCACGACAGCGUGGUGGUGGAAGUAGCGGGAUCCCGGCAGGGCUUCGCCAAGCACAAGCGGGGAGGAAGAGGUGUCACAGGAGGGAGGGAGGCGCCAGGGCUUCAGGUGUGGCUGCCCUCCCUCCCAUCCACUUUUUAUAUAGGGGCCUAGGGGGGUGGGGGCGCCGGCCCCUUGUAGAUCCCAUCUAGGGAGGGGGGCGACAGCCCUAGGGGUGGCUUGGCCUCCAAGCCAAGUGGAGGCGCCCCCACCCCUUAGGGUUUCCAACCCUAGGCGCAUGGGAGGCCCAAGGGGGGCGCACCAGCCCACCAGGGGCUGGUUCCCACGUCCCUUCAGCCCAUGGGGCCCUCCGGGAUAGGUGGCCCCACCCGAUGGACCCCCGGGACCCUUCCGGUGGUCCCGGUACAAUACCGAUGUCCCCGAAACUUUCCCAGUGGCCGAAACUGGACUUCCUAUAUACAAAUAUUUACCUCCGGACCAUUCCGGAACUCCUCGUGACGUCCGGGAUCUCAUCCGGGACUCCGAACAACUUUCCGUUUACCGCAUACUAAUAUCUCUACGGGUUCGGGAACCAUGCAGACAUGAUCGAGACAACUCUCCGGUCAAUAACCAACAGCGGGAUCUAGAUACCCAUGUUGGCUCCCACAUGCUCCACGAUGAUCUCAUCGGAUGAACCACGAUGUCAAGGAUUCAAUCAAUCCCGUAUACAAUUCCCUUUGUCUAUCGGUAUGAUACUUGCCCGAGAUUCGAUCGUCGGUAUCCCGAUACCUCGUUCAAUCUCGUUACCGGCAAGUCUCUUUACUCGUUCCGUAACACAUCAUCCCGUGAUCAACUCCUUGGUCACAUUGUGCACAUUAUGAUGAUGUCCUACCGAGUGGGCCCAAAGAUACCUCUCCAUUACACGGAGUGACAAAUCCCAGUCUCCAUUCAUGCCAACCCAACAGAAACUUUCGGAGAUACCCACAGUGCACCUUUAUAGCCACCCAGUUAUGUUGUGACGUUUGGUACACCCAAAGCAUUCCUAUGGUAUCCGGGAGUUGCACAAUCUCAUGGUCUAAGGAAAUGAUACUUGACAUUAGAAAAGCUUUAGCAUACGAACUACAUGAUCUUGUGCUAGGCUUAGCAUUGGGUCUUGUCCAUCACAUCAUUCUCCUAAUGAUGUGAUCCCAUCAUCAACGACAUCCAAUGUCCAUGGUCAGGAAACCGUAACCAUCUAUUGAUCAACGAGCUAGUCAACUAGAGGCUUACUACGGACAUGGUGUUGUCUAUGUAUCCACACAUGUAUCUGAGUUUCCUAUCAAUACAAUUCUAGCAUGGAUAAUAAACGAUUAUCAUGAACAAGGAAAUAUAAUAAUAACUAAUUUAUUAUUGCCUCUAGGGCAUAUUUCCAACAGAAAUAUGUCAACUAGUGACCUUCUGUCAGUGACCCUGGAAGAAUUGGUCAUAGAUCUAUGACCAUUUUAGACCAAUUGGUCAAAAGCUGUUCGGGGGGCUCCAAACCCUAAACUAUAACAACCAUUUUGUCAGAAAGGUCGUAAUUUCCUUACACGAAAUGGUCAUAAAGCAGAUAGCACUGGUCUGCUGCCUUAUUUCUAGCUGAUCAUGACCAAUAUAGAUGGUCAUAACCUUGUAAAUUGUGGUGGGUUGCUAUGACUAGGCGCCACCUCAUCAGUUUUGCUUAUGUGUCAUGUCCAUGUGGCAGUUUUUGCCCUAGGUUGUGAAGCAACCUAUAUUUCUGUCAUUCCCAAAAUUCCCAAAAAAAUCUCAUAAAUUCUUUGGGUCAUAUCUUCGUCAAAUAUGUAAAAGACCUUCUUGCCUAGUUCAAAAAUAAUUCAAAAAUAUUCAUUUUCCUACUCUAUUCAGAACAACAGUUUGUGAAGGAAGUACCACUUUGGCAUGUCCAAAUAGUAUCCAUUUUAUAUAGUUCUUUCCUAUGCCCAAAUAACCAUCCUCCACCAAAUGCAAGCUCAAUCCAUUCAUUAUUUUGAGCUGAGCUUCAACAUUCGUAUUUAUGUCCAGUGUGGUAGUUUGCAAAGCAAGUACCACCUAGGCUCCUCCUUUUGAGCUGAAAUUUUUUGAAGACGGUCUUCUUAGUAACUGAUCAUCCUCAGCCAAAACUCACGCCCAUUAGCCAUGUGCAUUUCCCGUACCGCUAAUCAAACACUUGGCUGCUUAUUCAUGUUUGAGCAUUGAUCGGUCUCCUCGUGAGAAUUUUAUGUUGUGAUUUUAUUCCUAGCACCUACCUGUGGAGCGCCCAACCCACUAGACAUGCCUAGGCCGCCCAGAACACAUGGCAACGCCACGGUCACGCGGUGACCACGCGGCGGGCAUGCGAGUUUACGCGCUCUAGAGUUGGGGCCCUCAGCCACCAUCCAAACCUCGAUGUAUCGCCACCAAACCAUGUAUUUAUGAUUAAAUAGGUACUUAUAUAACUAGAAAUGAUUUUUGGAAAAAAUAAAUAGCAAACUAUGAGGCAGCUGCAGUUCAAAUUUGACCCGCUUCCUACUAAAUCGGCGGGAAUUUGUCUUUUUCACCAGAGGUGGAUCAAAACUUUUCACACCCAACCAUUUUGUCAAUUGUGAAUUAAAUAUGGCCUAGUAUUUUAGAAAAUUGAUUUGGUCCAAUUUUGCAACAAAUAUAUGGUAGGUCCUUCACAAAAAAACUCAUUUCGGGCACUCAGAAAAUGGAAAAAGAAUUUUCCGUGCACAGAAAAUGAAAACUCCCUUAGGCAACAUUGUUUGGAAUUCCAAGAUGCACCCUUGUGCACAAUAUGAUAUCAUUUGAACAAACUAUGCCAUGAAUGUGGCCAUAAGAUUGAUCAUUUGGCUUGAAAGCCAUGAAUCUUCACGCAUGACAGCUCAUUUCUAAGAACACUUUUUUAAAAUAAUUUCCAUAUUACAAGUUUAUUAUUUUUCCUGGAAACUUGGUCAUAUAUAAUGACACAAUACGAAGGUUUUCCAAUUUUUUGAAUUUUUUUUGAAAUUCUUAUGCCUGUUUCAAAAUGCGGUCAGAACGGCGGGCUUGACUGUUCCUAGCUAGUGGUUGAAUCUUGGAAAACUUUUGAUGUUUCUCUGAUUAAAUAGAUACUUAUGUACCUAGAAAUGAUUUUUGGAAAAAAUAAAGAGGAAACUAUGAGGCAGCCACAGUUCAAAUUUGACUCGCUUCCUACUGAAUCAGCGGUAAUUUGUCUUUUUCACCAGAGGUGGAUCAAAACUUUUGACACCCAAGCAUUUUGUCAAUUGUGCAUUAAAUAUGGCCUAGUAUUUUAGAAAAUUGAUUUGGUCCAAUUUUGCCACAAAUAUAUGAUAGGUCCUUCACAAAAAAAACCCAUUUCGGGCACUCGGAAAAUGGAAAAUGAAUUUUCCGUGCAAAGAAAAUGAAAACACCCUUAGGCAACAUUGUUUGGAAUUCAAAGAUGCACCCUUGCGCACAAUAUGAGAUUAUUUGAAAAAACUAUGCCAUGAAUGUGGCCAUAAGAUUGAUCAUUUGGCUUGAAAGCAAUGAAUCUUCACGCAUGACAGCUCAUUUCUGAGAACACUUUUUUAAAAUAAUUUCCAUAUUACAAGUUUAUUAUUUUUCCUGGAAACUUGGUCACAUAUAAUGACACAAUGCGAAGGUUUUCCAAAUUUUUGAAUUUUUUUGAAUUUUUUAUGCUCGUUUCAAAAUGUGGUCAAAACGGCGGGCUUCACAGUUCCUAGCUAGUUGUUGAAUCUUGGAAAACUUUUGAUGUUUCUCUGAUUGAAUAGAUACUUAUGUACCUAGAAAUAAUUUUUGGAAAAAAUAAAGAGGAAACAAUGAGGCAGCCACAGUUCAAAUUUGACCCGCUUCCUGCUGAAUCGACGGUAAUUUAUCUUUUUCACCAGAGGUGGAUCAAAACUUUUGACACCCAACCAUUUUGUCAAUUGUGCAUUAAAUAUGGCCUAGUAUUUUAGAAAAUUGAUUUGGUCCAAUUUUGCAACAAAUAUAUGGUAGGCCUUUCACAACAAAAACUCAUUUCGGGCACUCGGAAAAUGGAAAAUGAAUUUUCCGUGCACAGAAAAUGAAAACUCCCUUAGGCAACAUUGUUUGGAAUUCCAAGAUGCACCCUUGUGCACAAUAUGAGAUCAUUUGAACAAACUAUGCGAUGAAUGUGGCCAUAAGAUUGAUCAUUUGGCUUGAAAGCCAUGAAUCUUCACGCAUGACAGCUCAUUUCUGAGAACACUUUUUAAAAUAAUUUCCAUAUUACAAGUUUAUUAUUUUUCCUGGAAACUUGGUCACAUAUAAUGACACAAUGCGAAGGUUUUCCAGUUUUUUGAAUUUCUUUGAAUUUUUUAUGCCCGUUUCAAAAUGCGGUCAAAACGGUGGGCUUGACCGUUCCUAGCUAGUGGUUGAAUCUUGGAAAACUUUUGAUGUUUCUCUGAUUAAAUAGAUACUUAUGUACCUAGAAAUUAUUUUUGGAAAAAAUAAAGAGGAAACUAUGAGGCAGCCACAGUUCAAAUUUGACCCGCUUCCUGCUGAAUCGACGGUAAUUUGUCUUUUUCACUAGAGGUGGAUCAAAACUUUUGACACCCAACCAUUUUGUCAAUUGUGCAUUAAAUAUGGCCUAGUAUUUUAGAAAAUUUAUUUGGUCCAAUUUUGCAACAAAUAUAUGGUAGGCCCUUCAUAAAAAAACUCAUUUCUGGCACUCGGAAAUGGAAAAUGAAUUUUCCACGCACAGAAAAUGAAAACUCCCUUAGGCAACAUUGUUUGUAAUUCCAAGAUGCACCCUUGUGCACAAUAUGAGAUCAUUUGAACAAACUAUGCCAUGAAUGUGGCCAUAAGAUUGAUCAUUUGGCUUGAAAGCCAUGAAUCUUCACGCAUGACAGCUCAUUUCUGAGAACACUUUUUAAAAUAAUUUCCAUAUUACAAGUUUAUUAUUUUGCCUGGAAACUUGGUCACAUAUAAUGACACAAUGCGAAGGUUUUCCAGUUUUUUGAAUUUCUUUGAAUUUUUUAUGCCCGUUUCAAAAUGCGGUCAAAACGGUGGGCUUGACCGUUCCUAGUUAGUGGUUGAAUCUUGGAAAACUUUUGAUGUUUCUCUGAUUAAAUAGAUACUUAUGUACCUAGAAAUUAUUUUUGGAAAAAAUAAAGAGGAAACUAUGAGGCAGCCACAGUUCAAAUUUGACCCGUUUCCUGCUGAAUCGACGGUAAUUUGUCUUUUUCACUAGAGGUGGAUCAAAACUUUUAACACCCAACCAUUUUCUCAAUUGUGCAUUAAAUAUGGCCUAGUAUUUUAGAAAAUUGAUUUGGUCCAAUUUUGCAACAAAUAUAUGGUAGGCCCUUCAUAAAAAAACUCAUUUCUGGCACUCGGAAAUGGAAAAUGAAUUUUCCGCGCACAGAAAAUGAAAACUCCCUUAGGCAACAUUGUUUGGAAUUCCAAGAUGCACCCUUGUGCACAAUAUGAGAUCAUUUGAACAAACUGUGCCAUGAAUGUGGCCAUAAGAUUGAUCAUUUGGCUUGAAAGCCAUGAAUCUUCACGCAUGACAGCUCAUUUCUGAGAACACUUUUUAAAGUAAUUUCCAUAUUACAAGUUUAUUAUUUUUCCUGGAAACUUGGUCACAUAUAAUGACACAAUGCGAAGGUUUUCCUAUUUUUUGAAUUCUUUUGACUUUUUUUAUGCCCGUUUCAAAAUGCGGUCAAAACGGCGGGCUUGACCGUUCCUAGCUAGUGGUUGAAUCUUGGAAAACUUUUGAUGUUUCUCUGAUUAAAUAGAUACUUAUGUACCUAGAAAUUAUUUUUGGAAAAAAUAAAUAGGAAACUAUGAGGCAGCCAUUGUUCAAAUUUGACCCGCUUCAUACUGAAUCGACGGUAAUUUGUCUUUUUCACCAGAGGUGGAUAAAAGCUUUUGAAACCCAACCAUUUGAUCAAUUGUGCAUUAAAUAUGGCCUAGUAUUUUAGAAAAUUUAUUUGGUCCAAUUUUGCAACAAUUAUUUGGUAGGCCCUUCACAAUUAAACCCAUUUUGGGCACUCGAAAAAUGAAAAAUUGAGUCUUCAUCUAAAGAAAAUGAAAACUUUCUUAGGCAACAUUGUUUGGCAUUUGAAGAUGAACUCCUGUGCACAAUAUGAGAUCAAUAUUUGUUUUUUUCAUGUGAAAAUGUAGAAGAAAAACAAAAGAAAAAACACAAUCAUAUGUGCUCUAUUCCCAUUGGUGGAAUUCGUUGUCACACAGAUCGAUGACAUGGCGCCCAUCCAUCCAUCCAUCUCUCCAUACCACAUCCAUCCAUCCAUCCAUCCAUUUAUGUAAAGAAAAAAAACAAAAUGAAAAAGAAAACCCCACCCGCAUCCACCUACCCAAACCCUACCCAGAUCCCAUCGAUCCCCUCCUCCCAUCGCACCCCUCCUCCCGCAUCUCCUUACCGCCGCCAUCGACGACGCUCCCCACCGCCGCCAUCGAUCCCUCCCACCGCCGUCUCCCUCCCUCAAAUCGAGCUCCCCCUCCCCUCUCCCUCCCACCUCUCGAAGCUCUCGCGUCCCACCCCCGCGCACUGUGCUCCUCUGCAGCUUCUGCGGCAACGCAGCCGCCGCUGACUACCACGCCACCUCCUCCUUCCAGAUCGCGGCCGCCACCUCUAAGGGAGUCCUGGAUUAGGGGGUGUUUGGAUAGCCGAACUAUACCUUCAGCCGGACUCCUGGACUAUGAAGGUACAAGAUUGAAGACUCCGUCUCGUGUCCAGAAGGGAUUUUCCUUGGCGUGGAAGGCAAGCUCGGCGAUACGGAUGUUCAGAUCUCCUACCAUUGUAACCGACUCUAUGUAACCCUAACCCUAUCCGGUGUCUAUAUAAACCGGAGGGUUCUAGUCCGUAGGACAACAUACACAUCUACAAUCAUACCAUAGGCUAGCUUCUAGGGUUUAGCCUCUCUGAUCUCGUGGUAGAUCAACUCUUGUGUUACCCAUAUCAUCAAUAUUAAUCAAGCAGGACGUAGGGUUUUACCUCCAUCGAGAGGGCCCGAACCUGGGUAAAACUUCGUGUCCCCUGCCUCUUGUUACCAUCCGGCCUAGACGCACAGUUCGGGACCCCCUACCCAAGAUCCGCCGGUUUUGACACCGACGUUGGUGCUUUCAUUGAGAGUUCCUCUGUGCCGUCGCCGUCAGGCCCGUUGGCUCCUACAAUCAUCAAUGGGGAUGCAGUCCAGGGUGAGACCUUCCUCCCCGGACAGAUCUUCGUCUUUGGCGGCUUCGCACUACGGGCCGAUUCACUUGGCCAUCUAGAGCAGAUCGAAAGCUACGCCCCUGGCCGUCAGGUCAGAUCCGGAAGUUUAAACUAUACAGCCGAUAUCCGCGGGGACUUGAUCUUCGACGGAUUCGAACCACUGCCGAGCGCACUGCUCUGUCACGACGAGCAUGAUCUAGCUCUGCCGCCGAACAGUGCCCUGGAGGCCACACCCGCAUCGGCUCCGACCCUUAGUUCGGAGCCGACCGCGCCGAUCGAGGAUGGGCGGUUGGACGCCACCUCGGGGGCUGCGAUCCCAACGGCGGUUGAGCCGAACACCAGCCCCGUACUCAUCAAACUCAUGACUCCAUGGAGCGGGAUUCUUCUCCGGACUCCGAACUCUCCGCGCCCCUGCCGAGCGAAUCCGAUUGGGCGCCGAUCAUGGAGUUCACGGCCGCGGACGUCUUUCAGCACUCGCCUUUCGGUGAUAUCCUGAAGUCACUGAAGUCUCUCUCUUUAUCAGGAGAACCCUGGCCGGACUACGGUCAGCAAGGUUGGGAUUCGGAUGAUGAAGAAAUUCAAAACCCGCCCACCACCCACUUGGUAGCCACUGUCGACGAUUUAACCGACAUGCUCGACUUCAACUCCGACGACAUUAAUGGUAUGGACGCCGAUGAAGGAGACGAUGAAGAAUCAGCGCCUAUCGAGCCUUGGAACGCCACCUCGUCACAUGACGUAUACAUGGUGGACACACCCAAAGAUGACGGCGCGGAGCAGAAGAAUGCACCGAAGGAUUGUUCCCUCGGAAAGCAGUCAAAGCGGCGAUGCAAGCGCCGCCCCAAAUCCCGCCUCGACAGAAAUAGCGAUCAUACUGAUCCAGUGCUGGAGCAGGGCGAACCGCUGCCAGACAAUGGCAAUUCAGAUAAUCAAACUGAACAAACAAAUCCUAUCAAUGAUAAUGGUCCGGACGACAUAACGCCGGACAGGCACUCAGAGCAGCAGAACGCCCGUAAAAGGCUCGUUGCCACCGCAAGGAGCCUCAAAAAGCAGAAGCGGAGGCUCAAGGCCGCGCAAAACAUGCUCCAAUUCAGAUGGAGCAAAAUACUCAACACUGUAGCAAGGUACAGCGACAAUCGCCCCUCCAAGAGCUACCCAAAGCGGAAGCUGCUACCCGAAUUCAAUGAGGAGGCCUCAGACCCCCCACAACCAAAUAUCAAAGCAGCCACCUGGUCGGAUAGACGACCCCUCUACCACCACAGAACGACAUUCAAUGCCGCUCACAAUGCAACACGCGACCCAUGCGAGGGCUCGCACCCAAAGUACGGUGCAACAAGAUCCAUCUAUGGACCACGCAAGCGCGCCCCAGCAUACAAUGCAACACAAAAAACAUCCGAACAAUGCGGCACACCCAGCUACAGGGGUGCCGCACACCCCCUAUGUGUCACUGAUGAGGUGCUGGACCACGAAUUUCCAGAGGGAUUCAAGCCCGUAAACAUAGAGGCAUACGACGGAACAACAGACCCUGGGGUCUGGAUUGAGGACUAUAUCCUUCAUAUACAUAUGUCUAGAGGGGAUGAUCUCUAGGCCAUCAAGUACUUACCUCUCAAACUCAAAGGGCCAGCUCGUCACUGGCUCAAAGGGCUCCCCGAAAGCUCCAUCGGAAGUUGGGAAGAGCUCGAAGACGCCUUUCGGACAAACUUUCAAGGGACUUAUGUCCAACCUCCGGAUGCGGACGACCUGAGUCACAUAACUCAACAGGCCGGAGAGUCAGCCCGAAAGCUUUGGAAUAGGUUUCUUACUAAAAAGAACCAGAUUGUCGACUGCCCGGAUGCCGAAUCCUUAGCGUCUUUCAAGCACAGCGUCCGCGACGAAUGGCUCGCCAGACACCUCGGCCAAAACAAACCGAGAACGAUGGCCGCAUUAACAAACCUCAUGACCUGCUUUUGCGCGGGUGAGGACAACUGGCUAGCCAGAUGCAGCACCAGCGACCCCAGUACAUCUGAAGUUAGAGAUGGAAACGGGAAAUCACGGCGCAACAGCAAUAACAAACGCCGGAAUAAAGAAGACAGCAUGAAGGGCACAGCAGUAAAUGCCGGAUUCAAAGUCCCUCGGCCAAACCAAAAGCCGCGUUCCAAAGGCACCAGGGAUGAACUGUCCAGCCUCAACAAAAUUCUGGACCAAGUAUGUCAGAUCCAUAGUACCCCUAGCAAACCUGCUAAUCAUACCCACAGAGAAUGUUGGGUCUUCAAGCAGUCCGGCAAGCUUAACGCCAUACACAAGUGGGAGGAUACACCAAGUGAAGACGAGGACGAACCUCCCAAACAAGACAAGGGGGAACAAAAGAAAUUUCCACCCGAAGUCAAAACAAUAAACGUGUUACACGUGAUCAAGAGAAAACACAAUGCGGCACUCCCUGAAAAAUUUACCCAAGUGCCUGUCACCGCGAAGUCCCGCCACUGGUCGUCUCAACCGAUCACCUUCGACCAUCGUGAUUACGCAUCAAGUAUCCGGCACGCAGGAUGGGCUGCACUAGUAUUAGACCCAAUAAUUGGCGGAUACCACUUCACACGAGUCUUGAUGGAUGGCGGCAGUAGCCUAAACCUAAUAUAUCAGGAUACAAUCCGCGGGAUGGGGUUAGACCCAACACAAAUUCGCCAUAGCAAUACUACCUUUAAAGGAGUAAUGCCAGGCCCAGGGGCUCGUUGUACAGGCUCCCUCCUACUACAAGUUAUAUUCGGCUCCCCCGAUAACUUCCAUCGCGAGCAUUUAACUUUCCACAUCGCUCCGUUUAAAAGUGGCUAUCAAGCACUACUUGGACACGAAGCUUUCGCUCGCUUUAAUGCAAUACCGCACUAUGCCUCCCUAACACUCAAGAUGCCCGGUCCACGUGGCAUCAUUUCAGUGCACGGAAGUAUCAAGCGAUCUCUGCACGCCGAAGAGAGUGAGGCUGCCUUGGCAGCCGCACACUAAAGGCGCCCGGACCAGCAAAAGCAUCCAAUAGGUCGUCAAGACCUCAGACACAACUAAUCAAGUCCGGCGCCGCUACUCAUAUCGAAUAAACGGUCACACCCCUAUCUUUCAAAAGUACAAGGGGCUCAACGCACGCAGACGAGUGGCGAUUUCUUCUUAUCUUGAAUUAUACAUGGUUUCUUUAGAAAACUAUCCUUUUGCACGACCCUUUUUACCUAAAUUCCUCUCUUUUACAGAUGAUCAUCGUGCUACACCCGUCCAGGAUACGACACGACGGAGACACAGGCGCAGACGUGCAGCAGGGACCCGACCCAAGGAUUCUUUUUAGAUUAAGACCCUGCGAAACCUUUUUUACUGUCUCUUGUUGAUACAUAUCCACCAUUAGGAAGGAUGCUGACGUCUUGGCAUGUGGCCACGCCAGAACAAUGUACGUACCUAGACACAAGGGGCUUCUUACAAAGGCCAUUCUUCAGGCCCAGUUUAUACCACAAAGACCGAAUACCCUAGGGAGUGUUCGGCGUCACGAGUUUGGCCCUAUAUGCAUCAGCUCCAAAUCAUUGUCUUUGGUCAAAUGUUGGGUUUGCCCGGCUCCUAUGUUUUGGUGCCUUAUGUUCCGCUUUACCGGCUAAGGUAGCACCAGGAGAACUACUGCGAUUGUGCCCUGGUUCAUCCGGACGGGCACCUCAGUAGAGAAAGCUAAAAACUGACUGUCAUGAUCUAGCGUGAGACUGGUCAACCACUCGAUGACCCAUAGGAAUGUUAGAAUUCCUCUGCCUUAACGAAGGGCCACUUUUCGGCCAGGCAUAUAUGCACCCCAGGACCGGGAGAGUGCGGAGCCACCAGGGGCUAUCUAGUAGCCCCACUGUCAAACUCCUAUGACUAAGUUGAAGUGUUAAAGCAUUAUAGUCCGAUUUCCUCGCUCGCUCCGCUAUCACCUCCUUAAUAGGACCAAGACGUUGGGUUAAGUGUGAGCGCGUGUUUUUGCGAACACCUCCGCAUUAUAUGCGUGGGGGUUGAAGCCGACGACUGCAAUCUUUCAGGUUAUACACAUGUAUACAUAAAUGGCCGCCCAGGAGACAUCACAUUACUUUCAGGCAAAAGUAUAAAAGUAGCCUCAUAAAAAUCUAAAAAACAUUUCGCUUACAAUGAGAUUACAUGUCAUUCAAACAUAAUAUUUUUUGAGCACUGGGUCUCUAUCAAACGAGCACCCUCAAGAACUUCCUCAAAGUAGUGCUCAGCAGCCCUUCGACCUAUGGACGAAUCCUGCGGCGCAACAGUGGUAGCAUCCAUCUCUGCCCAGUAUGCUUUAGCACGGGCAAAGGCCAUCCAUGCACCUUCUAUGCACGCCACCUCUUCAUCGCAUUUAUGCGCGGUACCACAUCGAGGACCUGCUGCACCAAGCUGAAAUAGCUACUCGGUUUUGAUCUUCCCGGCCAUAGUUGAUCCACAACCGACCUCAUGGAGAGUCCGGACAACCUAUUUAGUUUGGCCCAUUCAGCUAAUUGGUCCGUCAACGAAAGCGGAUGCUCGGGAGAAAGGAAUUGCUUCCAAAAUAGCUGGUCUACUUCAUGGUCCGUCUGACUCCGGAAGUACUUGGCCGCAUCGGCAGCGCUCGCCGCCAGAUCCAUAUACACAUCCUCCGAACUCCACAGCCGAUCUAGAGGGGCAUAACAUGGAUCUCCGUACUUCCUCUGCAGCAUAAAGGACUUCCCGGCUACAAUAUCCCCAGCUUCCCGCAGCUCCUCCUUCUUUGCCCUCAUAGCAGAGCGGAGGUCUUUUCCUGUUACAGCAGCCUUCUCAAGGUCCGAUGCCUUCGCGUGGUUCUCCUUUUCAAGAGCCCGACAACGGUCUACGGCGGCUUUUAAUUCUAUGGCCAUAUUGGCCAUCUUCUUCCGGCUCUCGCCAUGUGCGGCCUUCUCGGCUCGCAACUCUUCGACCACCUUCAAAGCAGCUGCAUUACCAAAUCUUGCUUGUUCCUUGUCUCGGGCAAGUUCUGCCCGCAAGGCUUCAACAGUGGCAACUCCAUCUGCAGUCAUAACAUGUUAAAAACACUGGCAUCAUACUCUUCCUAUGUGGCGUUUACCAGACAAGGAUACUUACCAUGCGCCUCGUCAAGCCUUCUGUUAACAAGCUCGAUGUCAGCAUCUGCCGCAUCCAACUGCCGUUCUAAACGGGCAAACUGGCUAGUCCAGCUGGCCACCGGAGUUUCCAUCUCCUGCACAUAAAGGCAGUAUGGUUAUUACCUGGGAGUAUGAUCCUCCGUUUGUCAUCGUUUCCGACGACAACCAGAGUCUCAGGGGCUACUAUCUACACAGGGCACACCUAACAUGUGCAGGACUAUUACACAUUCCUUUUUACGUACCUCAAAGCCUGUCAGUAGACUCAUAAAAGCUUCAUGCAAUCUGCUUUCGACGGACGAUAUCCUCUCCAUCACCAUAUUCAUUAGCACACGGUGAUCAUCUGAGAUGGCCACUCGCCCCACCAACCCCCUCAGAACAUCCGAUCGCACACUAGUCGGCGCCGGACUCUUUUGUCUGCUCUCUUCGGGAGCCGGACACUGGGAGCCUCGAGGAUCAAUUGGAUCACCUUCUAGCCUCUCCGCACUCGGAGAGGCCCUCCGCGACGACACUUCAGGGUCGCCCGCUUCCGGAGCGGAGGAGUCCGGAGGAGGCGUCUCGCUCUCCAUCAUCUCUGGAAGAAGAUCUCCCGAAGACGAGCUCAUUUGAGAGGGGCUAAGGCCCGAACUGCACAAAUAUAUGCGGUGGUUAUUUUCUCAGAAGAAAAGGAUGGCAUAUUUGUACUAUUAAAGUUUUCGGGUCACUUACGACUCCCGGGAGAAUUGAUCCCCCCGCGGACUUUGUGCGGCGGCAGCGCCCCCCAAGGUAGGGACCUCGGUGGAAGAUUUCUUCUCCCGUUUGGAAACUUCGGCUUCCGAAUUCGCUGGCGCAGUCCUUUCCUCUUCGGAUCGUCUUCCUUCACGGAGACGCUCGCUCCCUCGGUUAGAACAGGCAGCGUUGGGGGCCCGCAUCCUUCCUCAUUACCCUCCACAGUAUCUUCCUUCAAGGGAUCCGGGCAAUGUGCGGUCAGGAGCAUCUUUUCCAAUACCGGAUUCUCCAAACCCUCAGAGAGGGGGGCCGAACACCGAAUCAACUUCGCCUUUGUUAGCCAGUCCUGGUCGAAAAAGCAAACUCUCAGAAAUAACUUCCUAACGAAGGAAAGAUAAUAUGUUCGGCCGGACAAUUCCUUACCUAUUCAGCGGCGCGGUUACUGCUCAGGCCCACGUCCUCGGUGAUUUCCGGACACUCUACUUGAGGUCCGAAGAAUGACUUAUACAUAUCCUCGUGCGUCAGGCCGAGAAAAUUUUGAAUUGCGCUCGGACCCUCGGGAUUGAACUCCAACAAGCGAAGGGGCCGACGUUUGCAAGGCUGGACUUGACGAACCAACAUAACUUGUAUUACCGCAACCAAACUGAGAUCGUCGUUAAAGAAAUCUCGAAUGCGGCUCUGCAGUAAAGGCACGUCCUUGGCUGGACCCCAGCUCAGUCCUCUGCUGAUCCAUGUCAUCAGUCGUGGUGGAGGGCCCGAGCGAAAAACAGGGGCGGCCGCGCACUUAGCGCUUCUAGGAGUCGUGAUGUAGAACCACUCCUGUUGCCACAAUGCAGACACCUCUGGGAUGGAACCUUUGGGCCAUGGAGCUCCUGUCAUCUUGCGUAUUGAGGCGCCUCCGCACUCUGCAUGUUGCCCUUCGAUCACCGUUGGCUUUACUUCAAAGGUCUUGAGCCAUAAGCCAAAGUGGGGGGUAACUCGGAGGAAGGCCUCGCAUACGACAACAAAGGUCGUGAUAUGCAAGAAGGAGUCCGGAGCUAGAUCAUGGAAAUCUAGCCCGUAAUAAAACAUCAAGCCCCUGACGAAAGGAUCCAGAGCAAAACCUAUACCUCAGAGGAAGUGGGAGACAAACACGAUGCUCUUGUUGGGUUUGGGAGAAGGGAUGGCCUGCCCCCGGGGAGGCAGCCUAUGUGACAUUUCGGCGGUCAGAUACCUGGCCUCCCUCAACUUUUUGAUGUCUUCUUCCGUGACAGAGGAGGGCAUCCAUCAGCCUUGAAGGCUGGAUCCGGACAUGACUGAAGGUUCGGAGCACCUGACUUGAGCUUUGGGCGUUUGAACUUGAGGCGGGGGAAGGAUUCGAUUAAGCACGGGAGGGAAAAGGUAAAAGCUUUGCCCCUUUAUAAAGAGGGUGGAUAUCAAGCGUCCUCCCCGUGUCCGUUUGGACUUUCCUAUGAUCUAGGAGUCCUAGAAGUGGUUGGGUUACCCACGCCCGUAUUGAUGAGAGUCCCGUAAUAAGGGGACACGAUCUCUGUUUUUACAAGACGUGCCACGGGAACCACCUCGCAUACCACGUUGAGGUGGGUAAUUAAACGACUCGGAUAAAGGCUCGGCCAUGGUGUGUCGCACCACGGGAUACGUCAGCAGAUUAGAUUUGUGUAAAUAUUAUUCUCUCUAUGGAAGUAUGUGGAAACUUAUUUUGCAGAGCCGGAUACUAUCUUUGUGUUUAAGAUCUUCUAUGAAGUACUUGGAGGAGGAACCCGCCUUGCAAUGCCGAAGACAAUUUGCGCGCCGGACCUGUCGUCAUUGAAGCCUGGUUCAGGGGCUACUGAGGGAGUCCUGGAUUAGGGGGUAUUCGGAUUGCCGAACUAUACCUUCAGCCGGACUCCUGGACUGUGAAGGUACAAGAUUGAAGACUCCGUCCCAUGUCCGGAAGGGAUUUUCCUUGGCGUGGAAGGCAAGCUCGGCGAUACGGAUGUUCAGAUCUCCUACCAUUGUAACCGACUCUAUGUAACCCUAACCCUAUCCGGUGUCUAUAUAAACCGGAGGGUUCUAGUCCGUAGGACAACAUACACAUCUACAAUCAUACCAUAGGCUAGCUUCUAGGGUUUAGCCUCUCUGAUCUCGUGGUGGAUCAACUCUUGUAUUACCCAUAUCAUCAAUAUUAAUCAAGUAGGACGUAGGGUUUUACCUCCAUCGAGAGGGCCCGAACCUGGGCAAAACUUCGUGUCCCCUGCCUCCUGUUACCAUCCGGCCUAGACGCACAGUUCGGGACCCCCUACCUGAGAUCCACCGGUUUUGACACCAACAACCUCCCUCCGGCGGAGCACGCCGCCGUCCAUGGCAUCCCCCACGCCCUACUCCUCUCGCCCUUCCCCUUCCCCCAUCCAACCAAACCAACCAUCCCACCCGGCACCCUUCCUCCUCCAAGAAAGUAAAGCCGCACCCUCUCCCCUCGGAUCCAUGGCGCUGCUCAGCGCCGGCGGCCGCGGGCUCUCUCCCAUCGGUGCACUGCUGCCGCCCCCACCUGCUGGAAAUAUGCCCUAGAGGCAAUAAUAAAUUGGUUAUUAUUAUAUUUCCUUGUUCAUGAUAAUCGUUUAUUGUCCAUGCUAGAAUUGUAUUGAUAGGAAACUCAGAUACAUGUGUGGAUACAUAGACAACACCAUGUCCCUAGUAAGCCUCUAGUUGACUAGCUCGUUGAUCAAUAGAUGGUUACGGUUUCCUGACCAUGGACAUUGGAUGUCGUUGAUAACGGGAUCAUAUCAUUAGGAGAAUGAUGUGAUGGACAAGACCCAAUCCUGAGCCUAGCACAAAGAUCGUGUAGUUCGUAUGCUAAAGCUUUUCUAGUGUCAAGUAUCAUUUCCUUAGACCAUGAGAUUGUGCAACUCCCGGAUACCGUAGGAAUACUUUGGGUGUGCCAAACGUCACAACGUAACUGGGUGAAUAUAAAGGUGCACUACGGGUAUCUGUUGGGUUGGCACGAAUCGACACUGGGAUUUGUCACUCCGUGUGACGGAGAGGUAUCUCUGGGCCCACUCGGUAGGACAUCAUCACAAUGUGCACAAUGUGAUCAAGGAGUUGAUCACGGGAUGAUGUGUUAUGGAACGAGUAAAGAGACUUGCCGGUAACGAGAUUGAACAAGGUAUCGGGAUACCGACGAUCAAAUCUCGGGCAAGUAUCGUACCGAUAGACAAAUGGAAUUGUAUACUGGAUUGAUUAAGUCCUUGACAUCAUGGUUCAUCUGAUGAGAUCAUCAUGGAGCAUGUGGGAGCCAACAUGGGUAUCCAGAUCCCGCUGUUGGUUAUUGACCGAAGAACGUCUCAGUCAUGUCUGCAUGGUUCCCGAACCCGUAGGGUCUACACACUUAAGGUUCGAUGACGCUAGGGUUAUAAAGGAAGUUUGUAUGUGGUUACCGAAUGUUUUUCGGAGUCCCGGAUGAGAUCCUGGACGUCACGAGGAGUUCCGGAAUGGUCCGGAGGUAAAGAUUUAUAUAUGGGAAGUCCUGUUUUGGUCACCGGAAAAGUUUCGGGUUUUAUCGGUAACGUACCGGGACCACCGGGAGGGUCCCGGGGGUCCACCAAGUGGGGCCACAAGCCCCGGAGGGCUGCAUGGGCCAAGUGUGGGAGGGGACCAGCCCCAGGUGGGCUGGUGCGCCCCCACCAAGGCCCAAGGCGCCUAAGGGGAGGAAGGGGGCAAACCCUAAGGGCAGAUGGGCCCUAAGGCCCAUGCUCCCUACGCCUCCCUCUCCUCCCCCCUUGGCCGCCUCCCUCAGAUGGGAUCUGGGCUGCCGCACCCCUUGGGGUGGGAACCCUAAAGGGGGCGCAGCCCCCUCCCCUUCCCCUAUAUAUACUUGAGGCCUAGGGGCUGCCAAACACACGCGAUUUGAUCUCUCCCUGUUGGUGCAGCCCUACCUCUCUUUCUCCUCAUAUCUUGCGGUGCUUGGCGAAGCCCUGCUGGAGUACCAUGCUCCUCCACAAUCACCACGCCGUUGUGCUGCUGCUGGAUGGAGUCUUCCUCAACCUCUACCUCUCUCCUUGCUGGAUCAAGGCAUGGGAGACGUCACCGGGUUGUACGUGUGUUGAACGCGGAGGUGCCGUCCGUUCGGCACUAGGAUCUCCAGUGAUUUGGAUCACGACGAGUACGACUCCUUCAACCCCGUUCUCUUGAACGCUUCCGCAUAGCGAUCUACAAGGGUAUGUAGAUGCACUCUCCUUCCCCUUUUUGUUGGUUUCUCCAUAGAUAGAUCUUGGUGAUAGGGCCGGCCCUAUGUUUCGGGAGGCCCUAGGCGAACUCGACGACAUGGGCCCUUUAAGUCCUAAGACCAUAUUUAUACAUAUGUGUUUGUGUGAUACAUAUAUAUAACUUCAUUUGCAUAAUACUAAAAGUAAACUUUCGACCACACAUCUUUAGUUUGAAAUUUGACUACAAUAGUUGUUGGACAAUGCAAAAUAAAACAAACAUGACAUGAUUGCCUUAAAUAGGAAACAAAUUUAUUUGCUUCUCUGUAUACUUUCACAAUCUUCAUUGACCUUAACAUCUGAAUUUUCAUGCUCGGGAUUAGUUCCUUGCCUAUGUUCUUCACUAACAUCAACAAUACUUGAAUAUGUAAAAUACUUUGUCAAGGAACCCUUCAGUGGUUGAAUUUUCAGAUGUAUUUCUUUUUUUUUCUUUUUUCAGCACCCAACAAAUGCUUCUUAGGCAACAUGGCAUGCUAAUGUCCUAAUAUUACGAAGCAAAGAGUAGGCAACGAAUUAAAAAUUUAUAGAUCGGAUGAUCAGAACCCUAGACAUGUACAUAGAAUGACAAAAAAUUAGGAUGGUUGAAUACAUACUAUGAAAGAUUGAAUUAGAAAAUUAUACAUCAAAAAAUAGAUACUUCAUGGGAUGAAUAGUUUAAUAUACGUACUAAAGAAACUACUGAAAUUCGGGAUGAACGAAUGGAUCAGGAACAUCCGAACAUGGAUAUUGGGUACGGACCUGCGUUCGCAUACAUGUGUAUUGCCGUAUUGCUGGAAGGCCGAGUUCUCAGAUUGCUGCGUGCCGUGGAGACAACGAGCGGCUGAGGCACCAAGCGAGGAAUGACAGAGCGACGGGCAGAUGAGACGACGAAGAAGAACCGACGAGCGACGAAUGGGAAAAGUCAGAUUAUUUUUUUAUUUUUGAGAAGAAAGGGAAAGCCAGACAUUCCGAUUGAUUUGUUUCACACGUACGUGUGCAUCGAGCGGCUGUGAUUUGCAUGUGCGACGCCUUGCUAUGCAUUACCAGGCGAUCCGAUGGGCCGAGCCCAUCUUGUUUUCUUCCUCUCAUAAUUUUUUCCUUGUCUAUUUUUUCUGGGCUAUACUAUAUGUGUACUACAUCAUGGGCCCCCCUUCGGCCUGGGCCCUGGGCCGUCGCCCCUCUGCCCAUGCCCCAGGGCCGGCCCUGCUUGGUGACACAUAGGAAAAUUUUCAAUUUUUGCUACGUUCCUCAAUAGUGGCAUCAUGAGCUAGGUCUAUUGCAUAGAUUCUAUGCACGAGUAGAACACAAAGUAGUUGUGGGCGUUGAUUUUGUUCAAUAUGCUUACCGUUACUAGUCCAAUCUUGAUUCGGCGGCAUUGUGGGAUGAAGCGGCCCGGACCAACCUUACACGUACGCUUACGUGAGACCGGUUCCACCAACAAACAUGCACUAGUUGUAUAAGGUGGCUGGCGGGUGUCUGUCUCACCCACUUUAGUCGGAUUGGAUUCGAUGAAAAGGGUCCUUAUGAAGGGUAAAUAGCAAUUGGCAUAUCAUGUUGUGGUUUUGCGUAGGUAAGAAACGUUCUUGCUAGAAACCCAUAGCAGCCACGUAAAACAUGCAAACAACAAUUAGAGGACGUCUAACUUGUUUUUGCAGGGUAUGCUAUGUGAUGUGAUAUGGCCAAGAAGAAUGUGAUGAAUGAUAUGUGAUGUAUGAGAUUGAUCAUGUUCUUGUAAUAGGAAUCACGACUUGCAUGUCAAUGAGUAUGACAACCGGCAGGAGCCAUAGGAGUUGUCUUUAUUUAUUGUAUGACCUGCGUGUCAUUGAACAACGCCAUGUAAUUACUUUACUUUAUUGCUAAUUGUUAGCUGUAGUAGUAGAAGUAAUAGUUGGCGAGACAACUUCAUGAAGACACGAUGAUGGAGAUCAUGAUGAUGGAGAUCAUGGUGUCAUGCCGGUGACGAUGAUGAUCAUGGAGCCCCGAAUAUGGAGAUCAAAAAGGAGCAAUAUGAUAUUGGCCAUAUCAUGUCACUAUUUGAUUGCAUGUGAUGUUUAUCAUGUUUAUACAUCUUAUUUGCUUAGAACGACGGUAGUAAAUAAGAUGAUCCCUCAUUAAAAUUUCAAGAAAGUGUUUCCCCUAAUUGUGCACCGUUGUGAAAGUUCGUCGUUUCGAAGCACCACGUGAUGAUCGGGUGUAUAGAUUCUUACGUUCGAAUACAACGGGUGUUGACGAGCCUAGCAUGUACAGACAUGGCCUCAGAACACAUGCAAAACACUUAGGUUGACUUGACGAGCCUAGCCUGUACAGACAUGGCCUCGGAACACAAGAGACCAAAAGGUCGAGCAUGAGUCGUAUGGUAGAUACGAUCAACAUGAAGAUGUUCACCGAUGUUGACUAGUCCGUCUCACGUGAUGAUCAGACACGGCCUAGUUGACUCGGAUCAUGUAAUCACUUAGAUGACUAGAGGGAUGUCUAUCUGAGUGGGAGUUCAUAGGAUGAACCUAAUUAUCCUGAACAUAGUCAAAAAGGUCUUCGCAAAUUAUGUCGUAGCUCGCGCUUCAGUUCUACUGUUUAGAUAUGUUCCUAGAGAAAAUUUAGUUGAAAGUUGAUAGUAGCAAUUAUGCGGACUAGGUCCGUAAACUGAGGAUUCUCCUCAUUGCUUCAUAGAAGGCUUAUGUCCUUAAUGCACCGCUCAGUGUGCUGAACCUCGAACGUUGUCUGUGGAUGUUGCGAACAUCUGACAUACACAUUUUGAUAACUACGUGAUAGUUCAGUUAAACGUUUAGAGUUGAGGCACCAAAGACGUUUUGAAACGUCGCGAAACAUAUGAGAUGUUUCGAGGGCUGAAAUUGGGAUUUCAGGCUCGUGCCCACGUCAAGAGGUAUAAGACCUCCGACGAUUUUCUUAGCCUGCAAACUAAGGGAGAAAAGCUCAAUUGUUGAACUUGUGCUUAGAUUGUCUGAGUACAACAAUCGCUUGAAUCGAGUGGGAGUUGAUCUUCCAGAUGAGAUAGUGAUGUUUCUCCGAAGUCAUUAUCACCAAGCUGCUAGAGCUUCGUGAUGAACUAUAAUAUAUCAGGGACAUAUAUGAUGAUCCUUGAGAUAUUCGUGAUGUUUGACACCACAAAAGUAGAAAUCAAGAAGGAGCAUCAAUUGUUGAUGGUUGGUGAAACCACUAGUUUCAAGAAGGGCAAGGGCAAGAAGGGAUACUUCAUGAAACGGCAAAUCAGCUGCUGCUCUAGUGAAGAAACCCAAGGUUGAACCCAAACCCAAGACUAAGUGCUUCUGUAAUAAGGGGAAUAGCCACUGGAGCAGAUUACCCUAGAUACUUGGUAGAUGAGAAGGCUGGCAAGGUCGAUAGAAGUAUAUUGGAUAUACAUUGUGUUAAUGUGUACUUUACUAGUACUCCUAGUAGCACCAGGGUAUUAGAUACUGGUUCGGUUGCUAAAUGUUGGUAACUCGAAAUAAAAGCUACGGAAUAAACGGAGACUAGCUAAAGAUGAGCUGACGAUAUGUGUUGGAAGUGUUUCCAAUGUUGAUAUGAUCAAGCAUCACACGCUCCCUCUACCAUCGAGAUUGGUGUUAAACCUAAAUAAUUGUUAUUUGGUGUUUGCGUUGAGCAUAGACAUGAUUGGAUUAUGUCUAUCGCAAUGCGGUUAUUCAUUUAAAGAGAAUAAUAGUUACUCUGUUUAUUUGAAUAAUACCUUCAAUGGUCUUGCACCUAAAAUGAAUGGUUUAUUGAAUCUCGAUCGUAGUGAUACACAUGUUCAUGCCAAAAGAUAUAAGAUAGUAAUGAUAGUACCACCUACUUGUGGCACUGCCACGUAAGUCAUAUCGGUAUAAAACGCAUGAAGAAGCUCCAUGUUGAUGGAUCUUUGGGCUCACUUGUUUUGAAAAGUUUGAGACAUGCGAACCAUGUCUAUUGGUGUAUAUGCAUGAAGAAACUCCAUGCAAAUGGACCGUUUGGACUCACUUGAUUUUGAAUCACUUGAGACAUGCAAAUCAUACCACAUGGGCAAGAUGACUGAAAGCCUCGUUUUCAGUAAAAUGGAACUAGAAAGAAACUUGUUGGAAGUAAUACAUUUUGAUGUGUGCAAUCCAAUGAGUGCUGAGGCGUGUAGUGGAUAUCGUUAUGUUCUUACUUCACAGAUGAUUUGAGUAGAUAUUGAGUAUAUUUACUUGAUGAAUCACGAGUCUGAAUUAUUGAAAGGUUCAAGUAAUUUCAGGGUGAAGUUGAAAGAUCGUCGUGACAAGAGGAUAAAAGAUCUAUGAUAUGAUCAUAGAGAUGAAUAUCUGAAUUACGAGUUUGGCACAUAAUUAAGACAUUGUGGAAAUAGUUUCACAACUAAUACAGCCUGGAACACCAUAGUGUGAUGGUGUGUCCGAACAUCAUAACUGCACCCUAUUGGAUAUGAUGCAUACCAUGAUGUCUCUUAUCAAAUUACCACAAUAGUUUAUGGGUUAGGCAUUAGAGACAGCCACAUUCACUUUAAAUAGGGCACCACGUAAUUCCGAUGAGAUGACACCGUAUGAACUAUGAGAAACCUAAUCUGUCAUUUCUUAAAAGUUUGGGGCUGCGACGCUUAUGUGAAAAGUUUCAAGCUGAUAAGCUCGAACCCAAAGCGGAUAAAUGCAUCUUCAUAGGACACCCAAAACAGUUGGGUAUACCUCCUGUCUCAGAUUCGAAAGCAAUAGGUGAUUCUUUCUAGAAUCGGGUCCUUUCUCGAGGAAAAGUUUCUCUCGAAAGAAUUGAGUGGGAGGAUGGUGGAGACUUGAUGAGGUUAUUGAACCGUCACUUCAACUAGUGUAUAGCAGGACACAAAGAGUUGUUCCUGUGGCACCUACACCAAUUGAAGUGGAAGCUUAUGAUAUUGAUCAUGAGACUUCGGAUCAAGUCACUCCCAAACCUCGUAGGAUGACAAGGAUGCGUACUACUUCAGAGUGGUACGUAAUCCUGUCUUGGAAGUCAUGUUGCUAGACAACAAUGAACCUACGAGCUAUGGAGAAGCGAUGGUGGGCCCGGAUUCCGAUAAAUGGCUCAAGGCCAUAAAAUCCGAGAGAGGAUCCAUGUAUGAAAACAAAGUGUAGACUUUGGCAGAACGGCUCGAUGGUCGUAAGGCUGUUGAGUACAGAUGGAUUUUAAAAGGAAGACGGACAAUGAUGGUAAAUGUCACCAUUAAGAAAGCUCGACUUGUUGUUAAGAUGUUUCCCGACAAGUUCAAGGAGUUGACUACGGUGAGACUUUCUCACUCGCAGCGAUGCUAAGAGUCUGUUGGAAUUAUAUUAGCAGUCACUGCAUUAUUUAUGAAAUCUUGCAGAUAGGAUGUCAAAAACCAUUGUUUCCUCACGAUUUUCUUGAGGAAAGGUUGUAUGUGAUACAACCAGAAGGUUUUAACAAUCCUGAAAGAUGCUAACAAGUAUGCAAAGCUCCAGCAAUCCUUCUAAGGACUGGAGUAAGCAUCUCGGAGUUGGAAUGUAUGCUUUGAUGAGAUGAUCAAAGGUUUUGGGUUUAUACAAACUUUAUGAGAAACUUGUAUUUCCAAAGAAGUGAGUGGGAGCACUAUAGAAUUUCUGAUAAGUAUAUGUUGUUGACAUACUGUGGAUCAGAAAUGACGUAGAAUUUCUGGAAAGCAUAUAGGGUUAUUUGGAAAGUGUUUUUCAAUGGAAAGCCUGGAUUAAGCUACUUGAACGUUGAGCAUCAAGAUCUAUAAGGAUAGAUCAAAACGCUUAAUGGUACUUUCAAAUGAGCACAUACCUUGACAUGAUCUUGAAGGUGUUCAAGAUGGAUCAGUCAAAGAAGGAGUUCUUGCCUGAGUUCUAAGGUAUGAAGUUAAGACUUAAAGCUCGACCACGGCAGAAGAAAGAGAAAGGACGAAUGUCGUCCCCUAUGCUUUUGUCAUAGGCUCUAUACGGUAUGCCAUGCUAAGUACCGCACCUGACAUGUGCCUUGCCACAUGUCUGGCAAGAGGGUACAUAGAUGAUCUAGGAGUAGAUCACCAGAUAGCGGUCAAAAGUAUCCUUAGAGGAAUAAGGAUAUGUUUCUCGGUUAUGGAGGUGAUAAAGAGUUCAGUGUAAAAGGUUACAUCGAUGCAAGCUUUAACACCUAUCCGAAUGACUCUGAGUAGCAAACCGGAUACGUAUAGUGGAGCAACCAUUUGGAAUAGCUCCAAGUGGAGCGUGGAAGUAGCAUUUAUAAUAUGACCUAGAGAUUUACGAAGUACAUACGGAUCUGAAUGUUGCAGACCCGUUGACUAAAACCUCUCUCACAAGCAAAACAUGAUCAAAACCCAGAACUCAUCGAGUGUUAAUCACAUCGUAAUGUGAACUAGAUUAUUGACUCUAGUAAACUCUUUGGGUGUUAGUCACAUGGGGAUGUGACCUUGAGUGUUAAUCACAUAUCGAUGUGAACUGGAUUAUUGACUCUAGUGCAAGUGGGAGACUGUUGGAAAUAUGCCCUAGAGGCAAUAAUAAAUUGGUUAUUAUUAUAUUUCCUUGUUCAUGAUAAUCGUUUAUUGUCCAUGCUAGAAUUGUAUUGAUAGGAAACUCAGAUACAUGUGUGGAUACAUAGACAACACCAUGUCCCUAGUAAGCCUCUAGUUGACUAGCUCGUUGAUCAAUAGAUGGUUACGGUUUCCUGACCAUGGACAUUGGAUGUCGUUGAUAACGGGAUCACAUCAUUAGGAGAAUGAUGUGAUGGACAAGACCCAAUCCUAAGCCUAGCACAAAGAUCGUGUAGUUCAUAUGCUAAAGCUUUUCUAAUGUCAAGUAUCAUUUCCUUAGACCAUGAGAUUGUGCAACUCCCGGAUACCAUAGGAAUACUUUGGGUGUGCCAAACGUCACAACGUAACUGGGUGACUAUAAAGGUGCACUAUGGGUAUCUCCGAAAGUGUCUGUUGGGUUGGCACGAAUCGAGACUGGGAUUUGUCACUCCGUGUGACGGAGAGGUAUCUCUGGGCCCACUCGGUAGGACAUCAUCAUAAUGUGCACAAUGUGAUCAAGGAGUUGAUCACGAGAUGAUGUGUUAUGGAACGAGUAAAGAGACUUGCCGGUAACGAGAUUGAACAAGGUAUCGGGAUACCGACGAUCGAAUCUCGGGCAAGUAUCGUACCGAUAGACAAAGGGAAUUGUAUACGGGAUUGAUUAAGUCCUUGACAUCGUGGUUCAUCCGAUGAGAUCAUCGUGGAGCAUGUGGGAGCCAACAUGGGUAUCCAGAUCCUGCUGUUGGUUAUUGACCGAAGAACAUCUCGGUCAUGUCUGCAUGGUUCCCGAACCCGUAGGGUAUACACACUUAAGGUUCGAUGACGCUAGGGUUAUAAAGGAAGUUUGUAUGUGGUUACCGAAUGUUGUUCGGAGUCCCGGAUGAGAUCCUGGAUGUCACGAGGAGUUCCGGAAUGGUCCGGAGGUAAAGAUUUAUAUAUGGGAAGUCCUGUUUUGGUCACCGGAAAAGUUUCGGGUUUUAUCGGUAACGUACCGGGACCACCGGGAGGGUCCCGGGGGUCCACCAAGUGGGGCCACAAGCCCCGGAGGGCUGCAUGGGCCAAGUGUGGGAGGGGACCAGCCCCAAGUGGGCUGGUGCGCCCCCCCCCACCAAGGCCCAAGGCGCCUAAGGGGAGGAAGGGGGCAAACCCUAAGGGCAGAUGGGCCCUAAGGCCCAUGCUCCCUGCGCCUCCCUCUCCUCCCCCCUUGGCCACCUCCCUCAGAUGGGAUCUGGGGCUGCCGCACCCCUUGGGGUGGGAACCCUAAAGGGGGCGCAGCCCCCUCCCCUUCCCCUAUAUAUACUUGAGGCCUAGGGGCUGCCCAACACACGCGAUUUGAUCUCUCCCUGUUGGUGCAGCCCUACCUCUCUUUCUCCUAAUAUCUUGCGGUGCUUGGCGAAGCCCUGCUGGAGUACCACGCUCCUCCACCAUCACCACGCCGUUGUGCUGCUGCUGGAUGGAGUCUUCCUCAACCUCUCCCUCUCUCCUUGCUAGAUCAAGGCAUGGGAGACGUCACCGGGUUGUACGUGUGUUGAACGCGGAGGUGCCGUCCGUUCGGCACUAGGAUCUCCGGUGAUUUGGAUCACGACGAGUACGACUCCUUCAACCCCGUUCUCUUGAACGCUUCCGCAUAGCGAUCUACAAGGGUAUGUAGAUGCACUCUACUUCCCCUCAUUGCUGGUUUCUCCAUAGAUAGAUCUUGGUGACACGGAGGAAAAUUGUGAAUUUCUGCUACGUUCCCCAACACCACCCUCUCCCCUUCCCGAGCUGCUCAGGCGGCGCCCAAAUCUGGCUCAGCGGCGGCCAGGACUUGCUCCACGGCGUGCGGCUCAGAUCCUCUCCCGACUCCCAGAUCCAACUUGCCAUCGUAGAAAGAGGAGAUCGCGGCCAGGAUCUUCAAGACGCAAUGGUCGUCGACGUGGUCCGCUCCUCCGCUGACUCGAUCAAGUUCCCCGGUGCUAAGGUACCCCAAGGAGUACGCGCGGUAGUUCGAGCUCCUCGGGCCGGUCCGGUUCGGGAUGGAGGUGGUGAGCAUCCGCCGCAGCAGGGACGGCGAUGCAGGCUGGAGGCUGAGACUCGCCUGUGCUAGCAGCGAGCUGGAGGAGCUGGCAGCAACUAGUUUGUGCUUGUCUCUGCUCCCUCGGCCUCCUCUGCUUCCACUCCAAGAUCGCCGACGCCCUCCUCUCUGUCGAAGGUCGCCGGAACCAUGAUGGCCAGCACGCCCGUGCGCGAGGAGAUGAUGAAGACCCCGACAAGCCCUCCAAGGCCAGGAAGAAGGCCGCCGCCAAGGGUGACCGCCGCCCCAGCACUAGCAGCAGCAGUACCUCCAAGGUAUCGCGCACGUGCGCCCCCCGAUCCCACCACCUCUGUACAUUGCUUGGUCCCGAUCUCGGCCAUCUUGUUGAUUGCCUGUGAACCUGAAUGAAUAUCCUUGGCUCGUUCAGUUUUGUAAUCACUAGUAUGUUCAGCCUUGACAUUGAAUCUGAAUUAACAGCCUUGUUGUUUUAUUCUGUAAUUCCUUUUGAUCCCUGUGACUGCUGCACUAAGCUCUCACCUGUACCAUGGUGCUAAACAACUGGUAAAUUAGGAUAUAUACAAGAGAUGUUUCUAUUUCGCACUGCUCAUACUGUACAUAUUGUCUUUGAGGGAGUCCUGGAUUAGGGGGUGUCCGGAUAGCUGGACUAUACCUUCGGCCGGACUCCUGGACUAUGAAGAUACAAGAUUGAAGACUUCGUCCCGUGUCCGGAAGGGACUUUCCUUGGCGUGGAAGGCAAGCUUGGCGAUACGGAUAUGUAGAUCUCCUACCAUUGUAACUGACUCUGUGUAACCCUAGCCCUCUCCGGUGUCUAUAUAAACUGGAGGGUUUUAGUCCGUAGGACAAUAACAAUCAUACCAUAGGCUAGCUUCUAGGGUUUAGCCUCUCUGAUCUCGUGGUAGAUCUACUCUUGUACUACCCAUAUCAUCAAUAUUAAUCAAGCAGGACGUAGGGUUUUACCUCCAUCAAGAGGGCCCGAACCUGGGUAAAACAUCGUGUCCCCCUACCCGAGAUCCGCCGGUUUUGACACCGACAUUGGUGCUUUCAUUGAGAGUUCCUCUGUGUCGUCACUUUUAGGCCCGAUGGCUUCUCCGAUCAUCAACAGCGAUGCGAUCCAGGGUGAGACUUUUCUCCAUGGACAGAUCUUCGUAUUCGGCGGCUUUGCACUGCGGGACAAUUCGCUUGGUCAUCUGGAGCAGAUCGAAAGCUAUGCCCCUGGCCAUCAGGUCAGAUUUGUUGGUUGGAACUACAUGGCCAACAUCCGCGGAGACUUGAUCUUCGACGGAUUCGAGCCACAGCCGAGCGCGCCGCACUGUCACGGUGGGCAUGAUUUAGGUCUGCCGCCGAACAGUGCCCUGGAAGCCGCACCGGUGUCUGCUCCGACCCCUAGCUCAGAGCUGAUCACACCAAUCGAGGAUGUGUGGUUAGACACCGCCUCGGGGGCUGCAAUCUCUACGGUAAUCGAGCCGAACACCAGCCCUAUUCUCUGUGAGGCCCGUGACUCCAAGGAGCCGGACUCCUCUCCAGACUCCGAGCCCUCCGCACCCUGACCGAACCCGAUUGGGCGCCGAUCAUGGAGUUCACCGCCGCGGACAUCUUUCAGCACUCGCCCUUCGGCGAUAUUCUGAAUUCACUAAAGUCUCUCUCUUUGUCAGGAGAGCCCUGGCCGGACUAUGGUCAGCAAGGUUGGGAUGCGGAUGAUGAAGAAAUUCAAAGCCCACCCACCACCCACUUCGUAGCCACUGACGAUGACUUAACCGACAUGCUCGACUUCGACUCCAAAGACAUCGACGGUAUGGACGCCGAUGCAGGAGACGAUCAAGAACCAACGCCUAUAGGGCACUGGAAAGCCACCUCGUCGUAUGAUAUAUACAUGGUGGACACCCCAAAAGAAGGCAAUGGCGAUGGAACAUCAGAGGAUGACCCCUCCAAGAAGCAGCCUAAGCGCCAGCGUCAGCGGCACCGCUCUAAAUCCCGCCAAAACAAAAACGGUGAUUCCGGCACGGGAGAUAAUAACACCCCGGACAGUGCCGAAGACAACCACCUCCAGCAAGAUUCAGCACAGGAGGAUAGAGAAGCCAGCCCUCAUGAGAGAGCGGCAGACAGAGAGGUCGAGGACGAUAAUUAUAUGCCUCCCUCCGAAGACGAGGCAAGCCUCGACGACGACGAAUUUGUCGUGCCAGAGGAUCCCAUCGAACAAGAGCGUUUCAAACGCAGGCUUAUGGCCACGGCGAGCAGCCUCAAGAAAAAACAGCAACAGCUUAGAGCUGAUCAAGAUUUGCUAGCCAACAGAUGGACUGAAGUCCUUGCGGCCGAAGAGUAUGAACUCGAACGCCCCUCCAAGAGCUACCCAAAGCGCAGGUUGCUACCCCAAUUAGAGGAGGAAGCACCUAAAACUACAUCACCAGCACAUGAUGCGGCCGACCGGCCACCCCAUGGCCGCGACAGAGAGGCCUCUCGGCCCUCCACUCAAGCCGCACCCCGGUGCCGCUCAAAAAAUAUCAAGGCAUGGGAAAAUGCGCUAGACCCGCGAGACAUAUUGGAGGACAAGGCAAGGCAAACAAGAUCGAUCUACGGAUCACAUGGGCGCCCCACGGCACGAGACGGUACUCGUCACGCCGGAUACAGUAAAUCCGGCCGGGCCGAACACAGUAGACAAAGCUCGUUUGAGCUGCGUCGUGAUAUAGCCCAAUACAGAGGCGCCGCACACCCACUAUGCUUCACAGAUGAAGUAAUGGAUCAUCAAAUCUCCAAGGGUUUCAAACCCGUGAACAUCGAAUCAUACGAUGGCACAACAGAUCCUGCGGUAUGGAUCGAGGACUAUCUCCUUCAUAUCCACAUGGCCCGCGGUGAUGACCUACACACCAUCAAAUACCUCCCACUCAAGCUUAAAGGACUAGCUCGGCAUUGGCUUAACAGCUUGCCAGCAGAAUCAAUUGGUUGUUGGGAGGACCUGGAAGCCGCAUUCCUCGACAAUUUCCAGGGCACUUAUGUGCGACCACCAGACGCCGAUGACCUAAGCCACAUAAUUCAGCAGCCAGUGGAAUUGGCCAGACAAUUAUGCACACGGUUCCUAACCAAGAAAAAUCAAAUCGUCGACUGUCCGGACGCAGAGGCCCUAGCAGCCUUCAAGCAUAACAUCCGCGACGAGUGGCUUGCACGGCACCUAGGACAGGAAAAGCCGAAAUCCAUGGCAGCCCUCACGACACUUAUGACCCCCUUUUGCGUAGGAGAAGAUAGCUGGCUAGCUCGCAGCAAUAACAUGACCAAGAGCCCUGGUAAUUCGGAUACCAAGGACAGCAGUGGCAGGUCGCGUCGCAACAAGCAAAAGCGCCGCAUUAAUGGCGACAAUGCUGAGGAUACGGCAGUUAAUGCCGGAUUCAAAGGCUCUAAACCCGGUCAAAGGAAAAAGCCAUUCAAAAGAAAUACUCUGGGCCCGUCCAGUUUGGACCGAAUACUCAACCGCUCAUGCCAGAUACAUAGCACCCCCGAAAAACCAGCCAAUCGCACCAACAGGGAUUGUUGGGUGUUCAAGCAGGUAGGCAAGUUAAAUGCCGAAAGCAAAGACAAGGGGCUGCAUAGCGAUGAUGAGGAGGAGCCCCGGCCGCCGAACAACAGUGGACAGAAAGGUUUUCCCCCACAAGUGCGGACGGUGAACAUGAUAUACGCAACCCAUGUCCCCAAGAGGGAGCAGAAGCGUGCGCUAAGGGACGUAUACGCGAUGGAGCCAGUCACCCCAAAGUUCAACCCAUGGUCUUCCUGCCCGAUCACUUUUGAUCGAAGGGACCACCCCACUAGAAUCCGUCAUGGCGGAUUCGCCGCAUUGGUUCUAGACCCAAUUAUUGAUGGAUUUCACCUCACUAGAGUCCUUAUGGACGGCGGCAGCAGCCUGAAUCUGCUUUACCAGGAUACAGUGCGGAAAAUGGGCAUUGAUCCCUCGAGGAUUAAACCCACUAGAACGACCUUUAAAGGCGUCAUACCAGGUGUAGAGGCCAAUUGUACAUGCUCAGUUACACUUGAAGUGGUCUUCGGAUCUCCGGAUAAUUUCUGAAGCGAGGAGUUAAUCUUCGACACAGUCCCGUUCCACAGUGGCUAUCACGCACUGCUCGGGCGAACCGCAUUUUCUAAGUUCAAUGCGGUGCCGCACUACGCAUACCUCAAGCUCAAGAUGCCAGGCCCUCGAGGCGUCAUCACGAUCAAUGGAAACACCGAACGCUCUCUCCGAAUGGAGGAGCAUACGGCAGCUAUCGCAGCGGAAGUACAAAGCAGCCUCUCAAGGCAAUUCUCUAGUCCGGCCAUUAAACGUCUAGACACCGUCAAGCGCGCCCGGAGUAACCUACACCAAGACCGCCCGACACGUUCAGAGCAAGCGUAACAAUGCGGCCCCAACCCCAGCCCUCGCAAACUUGUGAAACCAGUGCUGCGCGUACAUAACUACGCUGUGGAAAUACCAUGGGCACAGGGGGAGGGGCACCAUCAUGGCAUGCCCGAAACACGUCUUAAACCGCACUAGGGGUUGCCAAUUUCUUAAUUUUCUCUUAUUUUAAGGACUCCAUUCUUCGGAAGGCUUGUCCGGCAGUACAAUUGCCGCACAAACGAUACAACCAGGGAAGCAGAAAGCUACGCCGCACUACGGAACUCUAAGGUGGUCUCUAUAACGAGUAGUAUACCUGUUUCGCAUAACAUUCCGCAGCUCGCCCCUGGAAAGGACAUAUUUGAUAGUCCCAUCUUUUGCUUAUCGCACUAUUUGUAUCGUCCUGCUUUGAUCGCAGCCCCUUUUUAAAUAAACAAUGCAUAGCUUCCGUCUAUUAUUGCAUUACUCUUUUUUACGAAUAUAUGUUCAUUAAUGACAUGUUGCACCCGUACACUUUGGUACGGCCAAUACGCCAAGGGCUUAAGUACCCCACAACAUGGUGUGAGAAGUCCGAACACUUUCACAAGUGCGGCACCCCGAACUUAUAGCAUUAUAUGCAUCGGCUCUGAAUCAUGUCUUGGGUCAAUAGUUGGGUUUGCCCGGCUCCUAUGUUUUGGUACCUUACGUUUCGUUAUAUCGGCUAAGGUAGCACUAGGAGAACUACUGCGAUUGUGCCCCAGCUGAGCUGGGCUAAGCACCUUAGUAGAGAAAGCUAAAACUGACCGUCAUGAUGAGGCGAGAGCUGGUCGCUGUUCGAGAGGUUUUCGAGUCCCUAAAGACUUAUGCCGCUUAGAGCGAGGAGUCGGCUUUGUCCGGCCUAGGCGUGGAUAGCGCCCCGAACUCGGUCUUCCGAACACUAGGGGCUUCACCGAAAUUUAAAAUUAUAGAAUUCUAUGGCUAAGUGAGAGUGUUCAAGCAUUAUAGUCCAAUUGCCUUGUUCGUUGUGUUGAGCGCCUCCCUCGAAGGACCCAAGAAUGGGAAAAAGAGCGCUCAUGUUUAUCCCGAACACCCCAGCACUCGUGCCAUGGGGGCAGAAGCCGAUGACUCGCCAUUUCUCAAAUUUGAUAAACAGCCGCACAGAAGGUAAUAUUUUAAAUUCAAAAAGCAUUGCUUAGCGCACAUGAACAAGUUUUCAGCGCACAGGACAAAACGAGCGAGUUUACUGAAAAAUUACAUUCAUGGAACAUUCAUCCGCCACAAGGCGGGCACCCUUCAGAACGCCCUCAUAAUACAUCUCGGGCUUGCGAUGCUCCUUGCCCGGUGGUGGCCCUUCCUUCACAAGCUUCUCAGCAUCCAUCUUGCCCCAGUGCACCUUCACACAGGCAAGCGCCCUACGGGCACCCUCGAUGCAUACGGAGCGCUUGAUGACUUCGAGCCUUGGACAGGCCUCCACCAGCCGCCUCACCAGCCUGAAGUAGCUCCCAGGCAUGGCCUCUCCAGGCCACAGCCGGACUAUGAGGCCCUUCAUGGCCUGUUCGGCCACCUUAUGGAGCUCGACCAGCUGUUUCAGCUGGUCGCUUAAGGGCACCGGGUGUUCGGCCUCAGCAUACUGAGACCAGAACACCUUCUCCGUCGAGCUUCCCUCCUUGGCUCGGUAGAAGGCGGCGGCAUCCGACAUGCUACCGGGCAAGUCUGCAAAUGCUCCUGGAGAGCUCCGGAUUCGGGUAAGUGACAAGUAAUUCACUUUUACGUGCUUGCUCUGCAUAAAGAAUGCCUUACCCGCCGCUAUAUUUUUUAUUGCCUCAACCUCCUGGAGGGCCUUCUCGGCUUCGGCCUUGGCAGACUUGGCAUCUUUAAUGGCCGCCGCGAGCUCAGACUCUCGCGUCUUUGAGUCAAGCUCAAAACUCUCAUGUUUUUUCAUGAGAGCCUGGAGCUCUUGCCGCACCUCACCAACCUGCAUAUCAUGCUUCUCCCGCUCGGUGUGCUCCGUGGCCGCCCUCUUUUCGGCCUUGGACAGCGCUUGCUUAAGGGUCGCCACCUCAGUUGUGGCCCCUACAAUAGCCGCGUUAAUCCUGUCACUUUUUGCAAUUGCACCUUUCACAUAUUUCAAUAAGGUAUUUCUUACCUUCCUUCUCCUCAAGCUGCUGCUUGGCUAGGCCGGGCUCUUGCUCGGACCGCUCGAGGUUCUGCUUCAGCGUAUCCACCUCCGCAGCCAGUGCGGCGGAGGCCAGCAGCAAAGCCUGCAUAUGCAUAUUGACUUGAUUAUGUUAGACUCCUGCAAAUGUUAUUAUAUCCUCUAUUCGGCUUUUCUUUCCGAACAUCGAACAGAGCAUCAGGGGCUACUAUCUAUGCGGUAAUAUUUUUACAUAUUCUUUACUUACCUCAAAGCCUGUUAGAAGGCUGGCACAGGCUUCAGUCAGUCCGCUCUUGGCGGACUGAACCUUCUGGAUCACCGCACUCAUAAUAGUGCGGUGCUCCUCGUCGAUGGAGGCGCCGUUAAGCACCUCCAGCAAAUUGUCUGGUGCCUCCGGUUGAACGGAGGUCACCGGCUCGGUAGGCUUGCUCCUCUUGGAAGGAGGCUGCCUACCGGAGUCCGGAACCGUUGAAGGUUCCGGUGCGGUGUCCGGCUCAAGGCCGGACUCGGAGCCCUUGGGGGUAUUAUCCCCUUUGCGCCUGGAGUCCGGGAGGUCACCUUGCGGCGCCUCCAGGACCACCUCCUCCUGGCUUGGAACCUAUUGGGACAGCACCUCGGCGUCGUCCGUAGGGUGGGGGGAGGUAGCCGUCGGAAGCAAAUUCACAUCCGACGAAUCCAGGGAACCGCUCGACGACACGUCGAGCUGGUCUUUGGGUGGACUGCAUAAACAUGUUCGACAUAAGGAAAAGCUGUGCAAAUGGAGGAAUACUAUGAAUCACUCUGGUAUCCGGACACUUACGAUCUCGCCAGGGGCUUGGUCCUGUGCGGCCACUCCUCUUCGCCGUCGUCGGCGUUGGUGGAGCCGUCCGAAGGAAGGGUUUUCCCCUUCUUGGACCCUUCGGCCUCCCCAGUUGGGGCGGCCUUCCUUUUCUUCUCUCCCCCCGCUGGAGGGGGAGAGGUCUCUUCUUCCUCCUCCUCGUCUUCACGGGAGGAGUGCGUCUUGGAGUCGUCAGAUGAUGAAUCCGACACCCCCAGGCGCCGGGCACUCUUUCGAGUCCCCAUGGCCUUCUUCUUGGCCUUCUUCUCCGGCACCACAUAGGGUGCCGGAACCAGCAGCCUUGCCAAGCGAGCGUCUGCUGGGCCUUCGGGCAAAGGAGCUGGACAGUUGAUCUGUUCGGACGUCUCCUGCCAAUCCUGUCAAAGGUAAGGGAGCUUAGAUCCCGCAUAGAGUCAAACUAUGAAAAACUAAUACCCUGUAAAAGGUAAAAACAGUUUACCGCAUGAGCGCGAUGCUGCGUGCUAAAUCCGCCAUCCUCGGUAGCGGAUGCGGGGGCCUCGGCGCCCUUGAAAAGCACCUUCCAGGCAUCUUCGUACGUCAUGUCGAAGAGCCUGCUCAGAGUUCGGUGUUGCGCCGGGUCGAACUCCCUCAGGUUGAAAGCCCGUUAUUGACAUGGGAGGAUCCAGCGGAUGAGCAUAACCUGGACUACGUUGACAAGUUUGAGCUUCUUGUCCACCAGGGUUUGGACGCAUGUUUGAAGUCCGGUUAGCUCUCCUUCUUUACCCCAUGAUAGGCCCGUCUCUUUCCAGGAGGUGAGCCGCGUAGGGGGUCUGGAUCGGAACUUGGGGGCUGCGACCCAUUCAGGGUCGCACGGCUCGGUGAUGUAAAACCACCCCGAUUGCCACCCCUUUAGGAACUCCACGAAGGAGCCCUCGGGCCAUAGGACGUUGGGCAUCUUGCCCACCAUGGCGCCUCCGCACUCCGCCUGGGUGCCGCACACCACCUUCGGCUUGACAUUGAAAGUCUUGAGCCAUAGGCCGAAAUGGGGGAGGAUGCAGAAGAAAGCCUCGCACACGAUGAUAAACAUUGAGAUAUUGAGGACAAAGUUCGGGGCCAGAUCGUGGAAGUCCAGGCCAUAGUAGAACAUGAGCCCCUGGACAAAUGGGUGGAGAGGGAAGCCCAGUCCGCGGAGGAAAUGGGGGAGGAACACCACCCUCUCAUGGGGCCUAGGGGUGGGGAUGAGCUGCCCCUCUUCGGGAAGCCGGUGCGCAAUGUCGUUAGACAAGUAUCCGGCCUUCCUCAGUCUUUUGAUGUGUCCCUCCGUGACGGAGGAGACCAUCCACUUGCCUCCCGCUCCGGACAUGGCUGGAGAAGGUUGAGGUGGGGUGUGCGGACUUGGGCGCUGGAGCUCGAGUGCGCGGAAAUGGAUAGGCAAAGGAGGAAGAAGGCGUGGAUGAAAAGGUGGAUCCUUAUCCCCUUAUAUGGGCGGACGCGACUAUGCGCCCCCACCAGCCUGGUAAAACUCGCUUAUCUCCCAAGCACCGUAGUCAAUGGCGCGGUUGGGUUACCCACACCCGUAUUGAUGAGAAUCCCGGAAUAAGGGGACACGAUCUCUGCUUUAACAAGACGUGCCAAGGAAACCGCCUCGCUAAACGCGCUGAGGUGGGACAGUAAAACGAUUCGAAUAAAGACCUGGCCGUGGUGUGAUGUCACGCUACGGAAUACGUCAGCAGAUUAGAUUUGUGUGAAUAUUAUUCUCUCUAUGGCAACAUGUGGAAACUUAUUUUGCAGAGCCGGACACUACCUUUGUGUUCAAAAUCUUCUAUGAAGUACUUGGAGGAGGAACCCGCCUUGCAAUAUCGAAGACAAUCUGCGCGCCGGACUUGUCGUCAUUGAAGCCUGGUUCAGGGGCUACUGAGGGAGUCCUGGAUUAGGGGGUGUCCGGAUAGCCGGACUAUACCUUUGGCCGGACUCCUGGACUAUGAAGAUACAAGAUUGAAGACUUCGUCCCAUGUCCGGAAGGGACUUUCCUUGGCGUGGAAGGCAAGCUUGGCGAUACGGAUAUGUAGAUCUCCUACCAUUGUAACCGACUCUGUGUAACCCUAGCCCUCUCCGAUGUCUAUAUAAACCGGAGGGUUUUAGUCCGUAGGACAACAACAAUCAUACCAUAGGCUAGCUUCUAGGGUUUAGCCUCUCUGAUCUCGUGGUAGAUCUACUCUUGUACUACCCAUAUCAUCAAUAUUAAUCAAGCAGGACGUAGGGUUUUACCUCCAUCAAGAGGGCCCGAACCUGGGUAAAACAUCAUGUCCCCUGCCUCCUGUUACCAUCCGGCCUAGACGCACAGUUCGGGACCCCUUACCCGAGAUCCGCCGGUUUUGACACCGACAGUCUUCAAUAAAAAUUGUAUCAAAUUUUGUGGUGCAUGCCAUGAUCCAUCUGAUGGAUUUCUUGCACCUGCAAACCUUGAUGUAUAAUUACAGACUUUGAUAAAUCCAAUACCUUAUUACAAAUCCAUUUGGCCAGUUAGAUCUUAAGCCUUUGCAAGCUCGGCUGAUAUGAUCUAUUAUGUGAGCAUUUUACUAAAUCCUUCUACUACUUCCAUUUGUGUUUUAUGAUAAACUGAUGUGUAACAUUUUGCAUAGAAGCAAUUAUCUUUCUCUGUAUUCAACAGUGAUUUAUAUAACUAAGAUAUAUUUUGGCAGGCCAAUGCUGCUAAUGAACGAAUGAUAAUUCAUGUGUUUCUUUGCAGGUUGCUCCGAUCUGGUUGUGUGAAGGAACAUGCAAGGUCUGCUACUACUUUUGUGCUCCCUUGAACAAUCUGGUGAAGGACAAUUUGGUCCAUAGGUUGUCCCCCCAUGCUAUCUCUCUCUGCUGCAUAGUUAGGUUCAGUUUUUUUUGUUCCCUUUCUAGUUUAAGCGUAAGUAGAUUCUAGUAGGUCUCUAUGUAUGUGGAUCAUGAGUUAGAACAUCUAAUCUAACUACGGAUGGCAGACUUGCUAUGUCAUGAUCAAACUUGCUUGCAUUCAGUUCAGAAAAUUUCUGAAUUCUCUGGUGUUUGCUUUCACUCAAUGAUUGUGGUACUAGUAGUCAAAUUAGAUGCCUCCUUUGCUGUAAUUCACUCAUUUCCCUGUCAUGAUUUAUCUUGAAUUUUGGUAGUGUGACAAACACAUUAGCAAAUCUAAAUAACUUUGACAUAUUUGCUCUAUUAUCUUGCACUGGAUUGGCACCUUUCAUUACCCUAUACAAAUAUAUCCCAAUUCCGCUAACACUGAUCCGUGUGUAUGGUCUUAACCCUUUUGGUUGCAUGAUACUUCUAUAACUGUAGCCUUUAAUGAAUUCAAUGUAUGAUUGUGAUGAGAAUUAUAUGAUACCUACCUGUUUUUUCCUUGAUCAGUAUCAUUUAUGGUCUCUGUUCUUAUUACUUGCUGUAUGUUUAGUGCCUAUACAUCGUUUUUUUGUGGGUCUAGUCCUUCACUGUUAUAGUUUGAAACCACUUCAUAACUCAUAAUUUGUUUUUUCAUGAUUCAGUGCUUAUGAAAAUUAUUACAAAUAUGUUGAAAAUUUCAUAGAAGAAUUUUGUGCCAUCUCUGCAACUGUGCUAGAUGUGAUGUUCCUGAAACUUAUUAUGGUAUCUGUACUGUCCUUAUGUUGCAACACUACGGUUAUUGUUUCUCAUCCUUACGCAGACAAGAAAGCUAACUUUGCUCUAGCCUUCUCAUCCAAGAAUAGAAAUAAAUAAAGGUCGACACAUCUUUAAAAUGACAUGUCAAACUUAGUUUUUGAGGCUAUGUUGCAUUUGUAGUUCUUGCUCUAUUAAAUUUGAGGCUACGUUGCAUUUGUAGUUCUUGCUUUGUUAAAUCUGAGAUUGAUGAAAAUGGUAUAUAGAAAACAAAAAAUUGUAGCCAUAUAAUGAUGUUGUAUGGUACCCCCAGCAAGUAAUAUGCUUGAAUCAAUUUGAUUUUUCCUGAUUAUAAUUAUCUUAUAGUAUCGUGAUGUUGGCAGGUAUAUGCGAGUCCGGUAGUGCGGUGGCAGUCCCCGUGGAACGAGCGCUGGACUACUCCCUUGGAUAGGCGUACCUGUGCAAGCACGAAUGGAGCGAAGACUUACUGUUGGUGUUGCCCGCCAAGUUCUCCAGCUUGUGGUGAACCAGGGCUAUCUCAAGUGCUUCGUUGAUAGGGUUGCGUUCUUUGCUGCUGGUCUCAUGAAUGGGGUACAUUUCUGAAACUGAACUAGCUUGAGUGCCUAUGUUCUUCUUAAGUUGUCAUUUUACCAAACAUUUGUUGAUUGUCGAAAUGUUAUAUUUAGUUCCUGAUUAAUGAUUUUCAUCAAUAAAUUGUUGGUCACACGAGCCAAGCUUGUGCUCAUAUUUAGCUAGUUUUGGAUGUAUGUUGAUCCAAAUGUCCAGAAAAAUAGAAGCUAACCAUGUCAAAAGUUAGAGCACUCUUGAUUGCUAUAUUAGGGCAGCGCUGACCAUGUGUUGUUUUUCUUGAAGGAAGGGCAAGGAGGAGGCAACACGUUGGAAGCUGGAGGACCCAGGGAUGGAUAAUAUGUGUUGGUCUCGCCGUCUACCUGGCCCUUUUGUUGAUAAAUCCAUUGCGCAAUGGUAAGCUUCCUGUGGCUCCGCUUUGAACUAGUGAGACAUGUUGUAUCUGCAUGAAUUUGGUCCAUCUUAAUAGUAUGGAAUGCCUUUACAACAAUAUAUGUGAUCGUUGACUAGUUAGUUUCUAGAAUGCUAGUCUGUAUGGAAUCUUUUAUAUAUAUUUUUUAAUGCAAGUCAGCACCAAUCCUUGAAAGGGAGACCAUGGAAGGGAUGGAAAUUCAUAUUGUUGUUUGUAAUGAAGGUCACAGCCUAAUUCUGACUAUGGUCGUCUAGUGAGUAUGGCAUAUGGUUCAUAUGGCAGGAGCAUGUGCCCAGUUUGUGAUCGCUAAUGAUAGGAGCUCCAUUCUGAAGAAGAUUGAAGACAAUUGUGGAGUUGUAUAUUACUGUAGCCAGCUAUCACACUUGUAGAGCUUAUAAUAUUGUGAUUCCAAUUGUAUUACGUGUUAUUGGUAGAGCAAGAGCUCCAUACUGAUUCUGGCUAUUGUUAUUUGAAGUAUUACAUGUGUUUUCUGUCUGUUUGAAUUUAAAUAUUUUUUAUUUAUUCACUGGCAUAUUGAAAUCUGAAGAACAUGACCUUGACAUGAGGGACCCACAAGACAGAACCUGACAUUUCGGACCCACUUACCAGAAUCUGAAAAAACAAGAAAACAAAGGCCAUGGCCCAAAAAUAAAAAGGAUAAAAUGUUGGGCUAUGCCCAUGUGGCUGAUGAAAACUGAUAUAUAAAAUAUAAAUAUGUUGAAUUGAUGGGUUUGGCCCAUGCAGCUCAUGAAAAUUAACAAAAAACAUAAAUGGGUUGAAUUAAUGGGCUCGGCCCAUGUAAAACACCGAAUUGGACCGGGCUGAUUCUUGUGCCACAUCAGAUUGCCACGUCGGAUGCCUACGUGGCCUGGGGAGGCUGCUAGUGACCAAAACAAAAUAGUAGGCAUAUUUUGGUCGUAAACAUCUAUGACCUUCUCACAGAGAAGGUCGUUAAUUUCAGUUUACGACCGCCAGCUUUUGACCUUCUGUUUUUGGUCACAAAAAGGUCACAAAUGAAAAACAAUGACCUUUCAGUGACCAAUAGUCAAGGUCACAAGUUGACAUAUUUCUUGUAGUGUCAAGACGCUGCUUGAGAACAUCCACGGAUUCCUCCACCAGCCUUUGGCGCUUGUUGUGGAGCAUGUCAUUCUCGUCCAUAAGUUUCUUCAACAAGGCACUAGUCUCCUCCUGCAGGUCUGCACUUCGGACGAUCUUUGAAGGAAAUAUGACCUAGAGGCAAUAAUAAAGUUAUUAUUUAUUUCCUUAUAUCAUGAUAAAUGUUUAUUAUUCAUGCUAGAAUUGUAUUAACCGGAAACACAAUACAUGUGUGAAUACAUAGACAAACAGAGUGCCACUAGUAUGCCUCUACUUGACUAGCUCAUUGAUCAAAGAUGGUUAUGUUUCCUAACCAUAGACAUGAGUUGUCAUUUGAUUAACGGGAUCACAUCAUUAGGAGAAUGAUGUGAUUGACUUAACCCAUUCCGUUAGCUUAGCACUCGAUCGUUUAGUAUGUUGCUAUUGCUUUCUUCAUGACUUAUACAUGUUCCUAUGACUAUGAGAUUAUGCAACUCCCGUUUACUGGAGGAACACUUUGUGUGCUACCAAACGUCACAACGUAACUGGGUGAUCAUAAAGGUGCUCUAUAGGUGUCUCCGAAGGUACUUGUUGGGUUGUCAUAUUUCGAGAUUAGGAUUUGUCACUCCGAUUGUCGGAGAGGUAUCUCUGGGCCCACUUGGUAAUACACAUCACUUAAGCCUUGCAAGCAUUGCAACUAAUGAGUUAGUUGUGGGAUGAGGUAUUAUGGAAUGAGUAAAGAGAGUUGCCGGUAACGAGAUUGAACUAGGUAUUGAGAUACCAACGAUCGAAUCUCGGGCAAGUAACAUACCAAUGACAAAGGGAACAACGUAUGUUGUUAUGCGGUUUGACCGAUAAAGAUCUUCGUAGAAUAUGUGGGAGCCAAUAUGAGAAUCCAGGUUCCGCUAUUGGUUAUUGACCGGAGACGUGUCUCGAUCAUGUCUACAUAGUUCUCGAACCCGUAGGGUCCGCACGCUUAAAGUUCGAUAAUGGUUAUAUUAUGAGUUUAUGUGUUUUGAUGUACCGAAGGAGUUCGGAGUCCCGGAUAAAACCACGGACAUGACAAGGAGUCUUGAAAUGGUCGAGACAUGAAGAUUGAUAUAUUGGACGACUAUAUUCGGACAUCGGAAUGGUUCCGGGGGUUAUCGGAUAUAUACCGGAGUACCGAGGGGUUACCGGAACCCCCCCGGGGGUUAUUGGGCCUCAUGGGCCCAAAGUGGUGGAAGAGGAGAGGCAGCAGGAGGUGGCGCGCAGCCCCCCUUGCCCCAAUCCGAAUUGGGAAAGGGAAGGGGGCGCCCCCCCCCUACUCCUUCCUUCUCUCCGCCUCCUCCUUCCUCCUUCUCCUAGUUGGAAUAGGAAAGGGGGCAAAACCUACUUGGAGUAGGAUUGCCCCCCUUGGGCGCGCCUCCUCCUCCUGGCCAGCCCCCUCCUCCUCCACUCCUUUAUAUACGUGGCCAGGGGGCACCCCAUGGACACAACAAUUGAUCUCUUGAUCUCGUAGCCGUGUGCGGUGCCCCCUUCCACCAUAAUCCACCUCGAUCAUAUUGUAGUGGUGCUUAGGCGAAGCCCUGCGACGGUAGAACAUCAUCAUCGUCACCACGCCAUCAUGCUGACGGAACUCUCCCGUGAAGCUCUACUGGAUUGCAGUUCACGGGACGUCAUCGAGCUGAACGUGUGCUGAACUCGGAGGUGCCGUGCGUUCGUUACUUGGAUCGGUCGGAUCGUGAAGACGUACGACUACAUCAACCGCGUUGUGCUAACGCUUCCGCUUUCGGUCUACGAGGGUACGUAGACAUCACUCUCCCCUCUCGUUGCUAUGCAUCACCAUGAUCUUGCGUGUGCGUAUGAUUUUUUUUGAAAUUACUACGUUCCCCAACAGUGGCAUCCGAGCCACGUUUUAUGCGUUGAUGUUAUUUGCACGAGUAGAACACAAGUGAGUUGUGGGCGAUAUAAGUCAUACUGCUUACCAGCAUGUCAUACUUUUGUUCGGUGGUAUUGUUGGAUGAAGCGGCCCGGACCGACAUUACGCGUAUGCUUACGCGAGACUGGUUUUACCGCCGUGCUAUGCACACAGGUGACUAGCGGGUGUCAGUUUCUCCAACUUUAGUUGAACCGAGUGUGGCUACGCCCGGUCCUUGCGAAGGUUAAAACAACACCAACUUGACAAACUAUCGUUGUGGUUUUGAUGCAUAGGUAAAAACGGUUCUUGCUAAGCCCGUAGCAGCCACGUAAAAUUUGCAACAACAAAGUAGAGGACGUCUAACUUGUUUUUGCAGGGCAUGUUGUAAUGUGAUAUGGUCAAGACAUGAUGCUAAAUUUUAUUGUAUGAGAUGAUCAUGUUUUGUAACCGAGUUAUCGGCAACUGGCAGGAGCCAUAUGGUUGUCGCUUUAUUGUAUGCAAUGCAAUCGCCCUGUAAUGCUUUACUUUAUCACUAAGCGGUAGCGAUAGUCAUGGAAGCAUAACAUAGGCGAGACGACAACGAUGCUACGAUGGAGAUCAAGGUGUCGAGCCAGUGACAAUGGUGAUCAUGAAGGUGCUUUGGAGAUGGAUAUCACAAACACAAGAUGAUGAUGGCCAUAUCAUAUCACUUAUAUUGAUUGCAUGUGAUGUUUAUCUUUUCUGCAUCUUAUCUUGCUUUGAUUGACGGUAGCAUUAUAAGAUGAUCUCUCACUAAAUUUCAAGAUAAAAGUGUUCUCCCUGAGUAUGCACCAUUGCCAAAGUUCAUCAUGCCCAAACACCACGUGAUGAUCGGGUGUUAUAAGCUCUAUGUCCAUCUACAACGGGUGCAAGCCAGUUUUUGCACAUGCAGAAUACUUCGGUUAAAAUUGACGAGCCUAGCAUAUAACAGAUAUGGCCUCGGAACACGGAGACCGAAAGGUCGAGCGUGAAUCAUAUAGUAGAUAUGAUCAACAUAGUGACGUUCACCAUUGAAACUACUCCAUCUCACGUGAUGAUCGGACAUGGUUUAGUUGAUUUGGAUCACGUGGUCACUUAGAGGAUUAGAGGGAUGUCUAUCUAAGUGGGAGUUCUUAAGUAAUAUGAUUAAUUGAACUUUAAUUUAUCAUGAACUUAGUCCUCGUAGUAUUAGCAUAUCUAUGUUGUAGAUCAAUUGCUCACGAUAUUGCUCCCCGUUUAAUUGUUUAUAUUCCUAGAGAAAACUAUGUUGAAAAAUGUUAGUAGCAAUGAUGCGGAUUGGAUCCCUGAUCUGAGGAUUAACCUCAUUACUGCACAGAAGAAUUAUGUCCUUGAUGCACCGCUAGGUGACAGACCUAUUGCAGGAGCAGAUGCAGACGUUAUGAACGUUUGGCUAGCUCAAUAUGAUGACUACUUGAUAGUUUAGUGCACCAUGCUUAACGGCUUAGAAUCGGGACUUAAAAGAUGUUUUGAAUGUCAUGGAGUAUAAGAGAUGUUCCAGGAGUUGAAGUUAAUAUUUCAAGCAAAUACCUGAGUUGAGAGAUACGAAGUCUCCAACAAGUUCUAUAGCUAAAAAGAUGGAGGAGAAUAGCUCAAGCAGUGAGCAUGUGCUCAGAUUGUCUGGGUAUUACAAUCGCUUGAAUCAAGUGGGAGUUAACCUUCCAGAUAAGAUAGUGAUUGACAGAAUUCUCUAGUCACCAUCACCAAGUUAGUAUAACUUCGUGAUGAACUAUGAUAUGCAAGGGAUAACGGAAACGAUUCCCAAGCUCUUCGUAAUGCUGAAAUCAACAAAGGUAGAAAUCAAGAAAAAUAUCAAGGUUGAUGGUAUACAAGACCACUAGUUUCAAGAAAAGGGCAAAGGGAAAAGGAGAACUUCAAGAAGAACAACAAGCAAGUUGCUGCUCAAGUGAAGAAGCCCAAGUCUGGUCCUAAGCCUGAGACUAAGUGCUUCUACUGCAAAGGGACUGGUCACUGGAAGCGGAACUGCCCAAGUAUUUGGCGGAUAAGAAGGAUGGCAAAGUGAACAAAGGUGUAUUUGAUAUACAGAUUAUUGAUGUGUAUUUUACUAGUGUUCGUAGCAACCCCUCGGUAUUUGAUACUGGUUCAGUUGCUAAGAGUAGUAACUCGAAACGGGAGUUGCAGAAUGAAGAGAGACUAGUUAAGGGUGAAGUGACGAUGUGUGUUGGAAGUGGUUCCAAGAUUGAUAUGAUCAUCAUCGCACACUCCCUAUACUUUCGGGAUUAGUGUUGAACCUAAAUAAGUGUUAUUUGGUGUUUGCGUUGAGCAUGAAUAUGAUUUGAUCAUGUUUAUUGCAAUACGGUUAUUCAUUUAAGUAAGAGAAUAAAUUGUUGUUCUGUAUACAUGAAUAAAACCUUAUAUGGUUACACACCCAAUGAAAAUGGUUCGUUGGAUCUCGAUCGUAGUGAUACACAUAUUCAUAAUAUUGAAACCAAAAUAUGCAAAGUUAAUAAUGAUAGUGCAACUUAUUUGUGGCACUGCCGUUUAGGUCAUAUCGGUGUAAAGCGCAUGAAGAAACUCCAUGCUGAUGAACUUUUGGAAUCACUUGAUUGUGAAUCACUUGAUGCUUGCGAACCAUGACUCAUGGGCAAGAUGACUAAGACUCCAUUCUCCGGAACAAUGGAGCGAGCAACUGACUUAUUGGAAAUAAUACAUACUGAUGUAUGCGGUCCGAUGAGUGUUAAGGCUCACGACAAGUAUCGUUAUUUUCUGACCUCCAUAGAUGAUUUGAGCAGAUAUGGGUAUAUCUACUUAAUGAAACACAAGUCUGAAACAUUUGAAAAGUUCAAAGAAUUUCAGAGUAAAGUGGAGAAUCAUCGUAACAAGAAAAUAAAAGUUUCUACGAUAUGAUCGGAGAGGUAAAAUAUUUGAGUUAAGAGUUUGGCCUUCAGUUAAAACAAUGUGAAAUAGUUUCACUACUCACGCCACAUGGAACACCACAGUGUAAUGGUGUGUCCGAACGUCAUAACCGUACUUUAUUAGAUAUGGUGCGAUCUAUGAUGUCUCUUACCGAUCUUUUUGGGGCUGUGCAUUAGAGACAACUGCAUUCACGUUAAAUAGGGCACCAUCUAAAUCCGUUGAGACGACACCGUAUGAACUAUGGUUUGGCAAGAAACUUAAGCUGUCGUUUCUUAAAGUUUGAGGUUGCAAUGCUUAUGUGAAAAAGUUUCAACCUGAUAAGCUCAAACCCAAAUCGGAGUAGUGUGUCUUCAUAGGAUACCCAAAAAGAAAAUGUGGGGUACACCUUCUAUCAUAGAUCCGAAGGCAAGAUAUUCGUUGCUGAGAAUGGAUCCUUUCUAGAGAAGGAGUUUCUCUUGAAAGAAGUGAGUGGGAGGAAAGUAGAACUUGAUGAGGUAACUGUACCUACUCCCUUAUUGGAAAGUAGUUCAUCACAGAAAUAUGUUCCUGUGACUACUACACCAAUUAGUGAGGAAGCUAAUGAUGAUGAUCAUGUAACUUCAGAUCAAGUUGCUACCGAACCUCAUAGGUAAACCAGAGUGAGAUCUGCACCAGAGUGGUACGGUAAUUCUGUUCUGGAGGUCAUGUUACUUGACCAUGAUGAGCCUACGAACUAUGAGGAAGCGAUGAUGAGCCCAGAUUCCGCGAAAUGGCUUGAGGCCAUGAAAUCUGAGAUGAGAUUCAUGUAUGAGAACAAAGUAUGGACUUUGAUUGACUUGCCCAUUGAUCAGUGAGCCAUUGAGAUUAAAUGGAUCUUCAAGAGGAAGAUGGACGCUGAUAGUAGUGUUACUAUCUACAUAGCUAGAAUUGUUGCAAAAAGGUUUUCGACAAGUUCAAGGUGUUGACUACGAUGAGAGUUUAUCACUCGUAUACAUGCUUAAGUCUGUCCGAAUCAUGUUAGCAAUUGCCGCAUUUUAUGAAAUCUGGCAAAUGGAUAAACAAAACUGCAUUCCUUAAUGGAUUUAUUAAAGAAGAGUUGUAUAUGAUGCAACCAGAAGGUUUUGUCAAUCCUAAAGGUACUAACAAAAUAUGCAAGCUCCAGCGAUCCAUCUAUGGACUGGUGCAAGCAUCUCGGAGUUGGAAUAUAUGCUUUGAUAAGUUGAUCAAAGCAUAUAGUUUUAUACAGACUUGCGGUGAAGCCUGUAUUUACAAGAAAGUGAGUGGGAGCACUACAGUAUUUCUGAUAAGUAUAUGUGAAUGACAUAUUGUUGAUGAGAGAUAAUGUAGAAUUAUUCUGCAAAGCAUAAAGGAAUGUUUGAAAGGAGUUUUUCAAAGAAAGACCUCGGUGAAGCUGCUUACAUAUUGAGCAUCAAGAUCUAUAGAGAUAGAUCAAGACGUUGAUAAGUUUUUUUCAAUGAGUACAUACCUUGACAAGAUUUUGAAGUAGUUCAAAAUGGAAUAGACAAAGAAGGAGUUCUUGCCUGUGUUACAAGGUGUGAAGUUGAGUAAGACUCAAAACCCGACCACGGCAGAAGAUAGAGAGAGAAUGAAAGUCAUUCCCUAUGCCUCAGCCAUAGGUUCUAUAAAGUAUGCCAUGCGGUGUACUAGACCUAUUGUAUACUCUACCCUGAGUUUGACAAGAGAGUACAAUAGUGAUCUAGGAGUAGAUCACUGGACAUUGGUCAAAAUUAUCCUUAGUGGAAUAAGGAUAUGUUUCUCGAUUAUGGAGGUGACAGAAGAUUCGUCGUAAAGGGUUAAGUCGAUGCAAGUUUUGACACUGAUCCAGAUGACUCAAAGUCUCAAUUAGGAUAAAUAUUAAAAGUGGGAGCUAUUAGCUAGAGUAGCUCCGUGCAGAGCAUUGUUGACAUAGAAAUUUGCAAAAUACUUACGGAUCUGAAUGUGGCAGACCCGUUGACUAAACUUCCCUCACAAGCAAAACAUGAUCACACCUUAGUACUCUUUGGGUAUUAAUCAUAUAGCGAUGUGAACUAGAUUAUUGACUCUAGUAAACCCUUUGGGUGUUGGUCACAUGACGAUGUGACCUAUGGGUGUUAAUCACAUGAUGAUGUGAACUAUUGGUAUUAAAUCACAUGGCGAUGUGAACUAGAUUAUUGACUCUAGUGCAAGUGGGAGACUGAAGGAAAUAUGCCCUAGAGGCAAUAAUAAAGUUAUUAUUUAUUUCCUUAUAUCAUGAUAAAUGUUUAUUAUUCAUGCUAGAAUUGUAUUUACCGGAAACAUAAUACAUGUGUGAAUACAUAGACAAACAGAGUGUCACAUAGACCAACAGAGUGUCACUAGUAUGCCUCUACUUGACUAGCUCGUUGAUCAAAGAUGGUUAUGUUUCCUAACCAUAGACAUGAGUUGUCAUUUGAUUAACGGGAUCACAUCAUUAGGAGAAUGAUGUGAUUGACUUGACGCAUUCCAUUAGCUUAGCACUCGAUCGUUUAGUAUGUUGCUAUUGCUUUCUUCAUGACUUAUACAUGUUCCUAUGACUAUGAGAUUAUGCAACUCCCGUUUACCGGAGGAACACUUUGUGUGCUACCAAACAUCACAACGUAACUAGGUGAUUAUAAAGGUGCUCUACAGGUGUCUCCGAAGGUACUUGUUGGGUUGGCAUAUUUCGAGAUUAGGAUUUGUCACUCCGAUUGUCGGAGAGGUAUCUCUGGGCCCACUUGGUAAUACACAUCACUUAAGCCUUGCAAGCAUUGCAACUAAUGAGUUAGUUGCGGGAUGAGGUAUUACGGAAUGAGUAAAGAGACUUGCCGGUAACGAGAUUGAACUAGGUAUUGAGAUACUGACGAUCGACCGGGCAAGUAACAUACGAAUGACAAAGGGAACAACGUAUGUUGUUAUGCGGUUUGACCGAUAAAGAUCUUCGUAGAAUAUGUGGGAGCCAAUAUGAGCAUCCAGGUUCCGCUAUUAGUUAUUGACCGGAGACGUGUCUCGGUCAUGUCUACAUAGUUCUCGAACCCGUAGGGUCCGCACGCUUAAAGUUCGAUGACGGUUAUAUUAUAAGUUUAUGUGUUUUGAUGUACCGAAGGAGUUCGGAGUCCCGGAUGAGAUCACGGACAUGACGAGGAGUCUCGAAAUGGUCGAGACAUGAAGAUUGAUAUAUUGGACGACUAUAUUCGGACACCAGAAUGGUUCCGGGGGUUAUCAGAUAUAUACCGGAGUACCGGGGGGUUACCGGAACCGCCCCGAGGGUUAUCGGGCCUCAUGGGCCCAAAGUGGUGGAAGAGGAGAGGUAGCAGGAGGUGGCGCGCAGCCCCCCUUGCCCUAAUCCGAAUUGGGAAAGGGAAGGGGGCGCGGCCCCCCUUCUCCUUCCUUCUCUCCACCUCCUCCUUCCACUGGAAUAGGAAAGGGGGGAAAAACCUACUUGGAGUAGGAUUGCCCCCCCUUGGGCAUGCCUCCUCCUCCUGACCGGCCCCCUCCUCCUCCUCUCCUUUAUAUAUGUGGCCAGGGGGCACCCCAUAGACACAACAAUUGAUCUCUUGAUCUCUUAGCCGUGUGCGGUGCCCCAUUCCACCAUAAUCCACCUCGAUCAUAUUGUAGCGGUGCUUAGGCGAAGCCCUGCGAUGGUAGAACAUCAUGAUCGUCACCACGCCGUCGUGCUGACGGAACUCUCCCGUGAAGCUCUACUGGAUUGGAGUUAGUGGGACGUCGUCGAGCUGAACGUGUGCUGAACUCGGAGGUGCCGUGCGUUCGGUACUUGGAUCGGUCAGAUCGUGAAGACGUACGACUACAUUAACCGCGUUGUGCUAAUGCUUCCGCUUUUGGUCUACGAGGGUACGUAGACAUCACUCUCCCCUCUCGUUGCUAUGCAUCACCAGGAUCUUGCGUGUGCGUAGGAAUUUUUUGAAAUUACUACGUUCCCCAACAAUCUUCUCCCUCAGCAGGUCGCGCUCGGCCCGGAGCCUCUCAUUGCCCGCCCUUAGUUGCCGGAUGACGCCGGUAGCCUGUUCAAACGAGGCUAUCAUGUCGCCCUGCAACCUCACCGAGCCGGAGAUCUGAUCCAUCUGGCUAUGGACGAUCGCAUGCAUGCGCCUGUAACAGUCGUCGCCUGCCCGCGAGAAAUUUUCCCAAGCCGCCGCCGCGCGGUGGGAUAUCUCUGCUGCAUUCGUGGCGCGGGGGGACAUCUCUGCUGCUUCCGCGGCGCGAACGGACUAGUCUGCUGCAUCGACGGCACGGCGGGACCUCCGUGCUGCUUCUGCGGCGCGGCGGGACCUCUGUGCUGCUACUUCCGCGUGGCGGGAUAUGUCGGCUACUCUCGCAGCGAGGCGGGACAUCUCUCGUGCUUCCGCUUCCAUGCUCGCCUCUCCCUGGUGGCAAUCUCUCGACCCAGAACUCACACUGGCCAUGGCAGACGCAAGGGAAGGAUGCUGAAUGACUUGUUUGUUUUUGUGGUUGAGGAGUUGAGGAGGAAUGUGCAGUCAUCUUGGCAUACUAGUAUUUAUAACCGAGUACUAAUAUGCUCCUAAGUGGGAAACCGUUUAGGUUGUGAUCGGUGUGAACUGGUUUGCAAUUCAAUAUAGCGUGGAGUAAUUUUGAAUGUGAUGAGACGCAAGCUCAAAAUUUAUUGACGGUUCUAGUUUCGAAGUGCGACACUAUUCCCGAAUGGAGUACUUCUUUUUCUACUCCCUCCUUUCCGGUUUUAUAGGGCUUAUCUCAAAAUUUUAGUUUUUCCAUUUUAUAAGGCUCAAUUUGGUUGUCCCCAACACAUGUUCAGAUUCCAAGGUGCAUUAAAUCAUUGCAUGCAAGUAUUAAGAGAAAAUUGACCAAUGCAUGUACUUUAUGCAUGCAUGCAUUGCAAUUAAUGCAUUAAACCUAUCUCUUGGGACUUCUCGCACGCACCAUCGUGCCACCCACAAAACUUGUACUCUGAGUUUAAUAGUACGUUAUAUAGGAAGAGAAGAGGUGCACGCACGCACUUGUCCUCUCACACACGCGUCUGUUUUUUCUCUAAAAGGAGGAUGAUGACCCCCGGCCUCUGCAUCUGGGAGUCACACACGCAAAUUAUUGAAAUAUAUCGAGUGCAGUGCUUUGAUGUGUCACGUCAACUCGUACAUCAACGAGAAGUUUGAUUAUCCUCUCCCUCGCUGACUUAACUGCACCUGCCUUUGGCUGUAUGACAGGUUGGCCACACACCUGUAGGGCCCACCUGUCAUACACGCAAAGGUAGGAGCGUCCCUCCCUCGCCCAUGAGCGUGGUGGCUGGCAAGACUAGGAGAAGCUUUUGCUACACGCUCUCCCUCUCGCAUGCGGUGGACAUGCAGCAGUUCAAUCGGUGUCAGAUGGCCAGAAGUGUACUGUAGUACUCCUCCAGUGCAGUAGUAUUCCAUCAUUGUUCGACUUCCUGAAGAGGCGAAGAGCCAAGCGCGGCCCGGACGCUCGUGUGGUAGUUUCAUGUGUAUAGUAGUCUAGGAUAGCGUGUACCAUGCAUGUAAGCUUAAAAUCGUUGGGGUCGGCUCCAUGCUAUGUGGCCGUCUCGAAGUUUUUAAAAAAAAAAAGUCUUCUGGCCCUACCCGAAAGUUGUCGCGUGUACUGCCCGGUAAAAGCCCCGCCCUCAACUUUUAACUAUGCAAAAAUAGUUUGAGCUUGUUCGUUCUAUAUAAAUACAGUACUUACUGUAUGUUUAUUCACCCGUGCGGUUGUUAAAUGAAUGGAGGGGCGGGGAGCACAAGUGAACAAUACUGUAGUACUACUAGUAGUAAGUAGGAGUCGUACAGUAGUCACCUUAAAUAGAGAGUUUCUUUUCUUUAAUGCCACGUACACAAAUUGAAAUGCUUGUUGUCGAGAGAAAAAAGAUAAUCACUCCACUAUAUAUGGACGCAGGGGCCUGAGCGCUUGUUUUACUAGGGUUGCUCUCUUCAUUCUCUCAUCCUCUCCAGAUAUAAACAAGACAGCGGUAGCGACAUUUUCUCUCUGCCCACCGCUGGUCACAGAUCCGGUCGGAUCCCUUCGGCCGGUGUGUGUAGAGGACUAAAAGGUGCAUCGUUCACGCGGUCAUCGCCGCCGAGGGAGGAAACCCACAGCUGCCGGAGGGGCCCGAUCCUCUGUCCGUGUCGUUCUCUCCGACACAUGGCCGGCUCGAGAGGUCCUCUGACCCUUCUUCCUCCCUGUCGUAUUGUCCGCAGAUCCGACCUACCGCCGCCGACAUCCCGGCGACCCUCAGGUAUAAGUUCUUCAAAAGCGGCCUUGCUCUACUGCCCUAGCUCCCCACGUGUCUGCAUGUGCAUCUUUUUCUACUCCAAUUAGCUCUUCCAAAGCAACCUAAAUUUUUAGUAUUAUUACAGGUAAAGCUACUUCAUGCAUUCGAAUCUAGGGCUUUGUUCAAACAACGAAGAAAGGGGGAAAGUUGUAGCAUGAAUCUAGGACUUGAUUCAAAGAGGAAAUAAUAUGGUGAAAGUAGUAGAGACCGGAUACCCAACCGGUCUCUUAGUUGAAAAAGGAAAUAAUGGGAAAAUGCAGUACAAACUGAAUAAGGAACAGAUCUAUUAUUGGUUGAAAAAAGGAUAGAAAGUGGCGGCUGGUGGACAAGUCAACAGAGUAUGUCCAAGAUUAGAUUUGCUGCCAUCACAUAGUAAAAGGUCUCUAGGAUUAGAUUUGCUGCCCUCACAUAGUAAAAGGUCUCAGGAUUAUAUUUGCUGCCCUCACAUAGUAAAAGGUCUCCAGGAUUAGAUUUGCUACCCUCACAUAGUAAAAGGUCUCCAGGAUUAGAUUUGCUGCCCUCACAUAGUACAAUGGCACUCCUGCUGUUUUCCCCAGUAUGAUAAGUAAGUUGCUCCUUUACGCUGCUGAGUGUCCUGGUGUCCCCAUGGUCCCAUGCCCUUAAACCAACACUUUAGCUGUUGUUGAUUUACUGUGUCUGGUAAACAAGCAAUGCCACCAUUAAAGUAAUCCCAUAUUUGAGGAAUCUCAUUGUUGAUCGUAAUGCUUCUGGUAACAUGAAGCGUUGCUGACAUUUUAAAAUUUCUAUUGUCCUUGUGUGAUUGCCAUGAACAAAAUUAAGAUGCUUCUUUUCAUUUUGUAUAUGUUUCGUAUAUUCUUAUUGACUAGCAACUGUUUACUUUCUAUCUUUUUGUGCAGAUAGGGAUAUCUAUUUCACCUUGUUGCUAUUGUGACCUUUUGGUGAACUACACAAAACACUUUUUUUGAAUGAGUGUCUUGUGAAGUUCAACUAAAAUGUCACGUGGGCAACAUCUCUCAAUUUUGGUGGAACUGCACAAAAUGGUGAUUGGGGUUUCCAAAAUCUCCGUCAAGUUCUGCUGGUAAUAUCGUGCAACAUUUUAUUAGCCUUUGCAAGAUGGAGCUGUCACUGUCACCACAAUGGCACUUUAUUUUAGUGGAACUGCACAAAAGGAUAAGAAAAUUAUAGUUGCACCUUACAUGAGCCGGACAACCAACCUUAAUGUUCCUCAAUUUUAGUGCAACUACUAAAGAAGAACCUGCCAGCUCACAAGAGCAAGUACUUCUUGCUAGCUGAAUGAUGCAAUCUUUGCUUCAUUUUAGGUGAACUGCAGAAAAAGGCGCAUGAAUUGAAUCAUGGAACUCCAGGCAGACCUCAUCCAAAUAGAGCUGGAGGUUGAGUUCAAGGAGGCCGCUAUUAAAGCAAAAUCAUGCUCUCCUGUCUCCUUGUUUGUGCUGUGCAAACAUGUUGUGCAAAUAGGAAUACUCAACUACAGAUGUUGUGACGGUCAAGAGCAUUCACCAAGUUCUUCGAUUGUAUGACAUGGCUAGCCAAGAUGGAUUUAGUCCAGAUAUUCACUUUAUCAAAAGGCUCUAAUGGGUUGGUUCUGAAUCUUGCAAGUUGGGAAUCAGUGAGAUGUGUAGGCAUCUUUGUUGUACUUAUUAUUUGGAUCUUAUUUGUUGCUUCUGAAUCUUGCAAGCUGGAAAUCAAUGAGAUGUGUAGGCAUCUUUGUUGUACUUAUUAUUUAGAUCUUAUUUGUUGGUUCUGAAUGUUGCAAGCUGGGAAACACGGCAUGAUGAUGCAGAGGACAACAACCAUAACAAACAGUUCAAACUUGGUAGUAUUAUCUUUGUGAAAGUGCGACAAAUGUGCUGAUCGUGUGCGUCUUGAGAAUAAUAAUUCUAAUUGUUGUGCAUGUUGAUCCUGUGGCACUGAUAGAACAAGCGAAUGCAUUGCUUGUUUUAAGUACAAAUUUCUAUUAAAGCUAAUUAAAUUUAAGUAAAGUGACCACUAACUCCUGUUAUUACAGUACCAAUACAGACCUGCUCAUGAACUGACGUGUGGCCGAGGGUGCAUUUUCUGCCGGGCGUGCAGCGGACAGGGAGGGGUAGUAACUGUUGUCGCCUGUACACACUCAGCUUACUGUUGAAUCCAGUUCCCCAAGAGCUGAAAAAUGAACUGUUGCCGCCGCCUACACACUUGUUCACUCGAAGAGACUCCAAUGGCGAUCCGAGGGGUGAGCCUGCUAGAUAUGGACUUCAGCAAGGAGUUCCCCUUUGAGUUCAUCGUUCAGUCCUAUGGCUGCACCAAGUUGAAUGUGAUGUACACCAACGAUACGGACUCGGUGAAGCUCUGCCUCGCCUCAGUCCUAUGGCUGCACCAGGUUCUGGAGCAUUAGUCCAUUUCAUUGGCAGCGCUGACUGCACCUUUGCUACGGUGGAGAGAAGGAAGAACGCGACAAUUCGACCAUCUGGUGCAACAAGCUUGUCGACAUCCAGAAGCAAUACAAGAUCAUCAGCAACGGGCAGGAGAAGGACUCCGUGGUUGACCUCGCUGAGACCAUCAUCGACCCCUGAUAUGCCAACAUGAAAGAAGACGACCUGAACACGUGGGAGGUACCUCUGAAUCUAGCCUACAUAACCUACGCGGCCAAGGACGCAUACGCGUGCUACAACAUGUACAGGCAGAUCUUGGACAUGAGGGCGUGUCUGCUUCCCGUAACCGACGAGUACAUGGACAGCCGCAGCGUCAUGAUCAAGCGUGCCAGGAAGGUCUAGAUGUUGUGCUUUAUUUGUUUAUAAGCACCUUUAUCAUCUGAGUGUUUCAUGCAUUAGUCUAUGUGUCGUAAUUAUCUGUUUUGUCCGAAAUAUUUCUUUUAAGAACUCAUUAACCUGAUUGCUUUUUUAGUGGCUAUUUGCUUAUGUAUGUAAACUAGUUCACUUCUCCGUAAAAAACUAGUUCACUCGGAUGUCGUGCUUUGAAUCUCCUUCCUCCCAACAUAUUCCCCUCCUCAGGUGGACCCAGCAGGUCUCUGAAUUUUCUCCCACUUUCUUUUUCGAUGUAAACUGAGUUUUCUCCCAAUACUUUCCCCUAGAACCAACUCAACUGUCCCACGUCUAGCCUAAAAAUAAUAAUACCCCACAUACUAUUAACUCAUCAAAUUAAAAUGAUACUUUAUUUUGUAAGUUGAAAGUUCUUACAAAAUAAUAAUAAUAAUUGUUUAUAUAUAACUUGGCUAGGGAUGGCAAUGGGUACCCAUUACCCACGCACCCUGUGGGUAAAAACACUAUUAGGGCAAGGGUAUGGGUCAAAAAAAUACCCAUGGGUACAUAAAUAGGAAAAUUUCAUACCCAUUGGGUAUAGUGGGUACGGGUAUGGUUUAGUACAACGCAUACCCAUGUACCCACAUAUAUUCUAACAAAUAGGCCUUAUAUAUAAUUGUUCAGAUAUCAAACAUAUUAUAUGUACAUAUAUCCCACAGCCCUAAAAAUACCUCAUCAUGGAUUCAUGUUAGGCCGCUACACCAUAAUAACUAGCCCAUAAACGAGUAUGUGUUGCUGUCAUGACGUGUUGUUGUUUAUAAAUUAUUAUUAUAAGUUGUUGUUCAUGACUAUGUAAUGCUCAAAUUGAUGUGUUGCAAAUCUGGGUAUUUUUACCCGCGGGUACCCAUUUACCAUGAUGGGUGAUGGGUAUGGGAAAAAAUUGUACCCAUCCACGGGUGAUGGGUAAGGUUUGGGAUGACGGGUAAGGGUAUGGGGUGGCUCCACCCGUACCCAAACCCUGCGGGUGCCAUCCUUAAACUUGGCAAGUUAACUCCUAGUGAUUGCGUACAUAAGCUUGUAAAGAUUUUACUGACGUGCAAUCAUGUGUUUAUGUUUUUAUAACAUUUCUUCGUCUAGCCCAACAUGAUAUUUUCACCCAGCCCAGCAAGUCCACGGAUUUCAAGAAAAAUACAAAUGGGAUUUAAACGGGCUGCAUAGAUGCUACAUCAUUGUUUCACCCAGCCCACCAAAUGGACUAAAAAACAAAUGGACUGACAGCUGGGUCCACGGCCACAUCCCAGUUUUUUUGUGAUUUGCCAAGUAAGUCGCUUUGUUAGGCCUGUUGGGCUACAAAUCUUUCAAGACGAGGAGAGCUUUCAUUCGGCUGGCCGAGAAAAUGGCCCAUCAGUAAUGAGAAAUGGGUUGUACAUUUUUAAAACACAUCAAACCGGCAAUUAGUUUCAAAUAUCUUUUUUUUCAUUUCGAGAUUUUAAAUUACAUUAAUUUUUAUGCAUGGAGAAUUUGUUGGAUUUUAUAUUGAUAUACAUUUAUUUUUAAAAUCAGUUUGAAUGUGAGUCGAAAUUUUGGGAUUAAAAAUAGUUCGGACCGCAUCAAAAUAUGCAAAAUUUUGUAUAAUUUUUUAACCAUGGCCACAAUAUGGGUUGUAAUGCUAACAAAAAGAAUAUGAGCUCCAAAAAAACCUUAAGAAUUAGCAAAUGGGUUGUAUGCUGUUUUCCACAGAUUUGAGGCUUUCCUAAAAAAAGGUUGACGCACAAGCAAUGACUGUUGGAUGUCCAUCGAACGGUCGUUGUGCUUCUUCAAUCUCUGCUCUUCCUGCUCCAGCCGCUCAAACAAGCGCCGGCGGGAGGACUGCCUGCUCCCUCCUCCAUGCGGCCGGCUGUGUUAUCGCGCAGGCCUCACCGCCCCGCCGUACUUCCAUCGUUGGCCUAGCCAUCCCUCUACUCACCCACACCUGAUGUUAUUCUCCGGCGACUACAGACGAAUCAGUAAACCCUCGUACAGUCAUACUCCCCUCCGCGUGAGAAACAACUGCCGAGUCUUCCCUGCCUCCAUGUCAUUCCCUUCCUAGGCCUCGCCGUCGUCCACCGCCUGGUGCACUCGGCGCGGCCUGGUCAACGUGGUCAAUGACCGACAUGCAUCUGAAGUGGACUGUAUGUGGAGAGGCCGACAGCUAGGUCCACGGCCACACGCAAGGAAAUGCCUCCUUAUUACGCGCAAAAUAAUGAUUCCUCCACCUGACAUCAGGGACCCACCGAAAGGGCCUCUGUAUUUCGCGAAAAAAACGUUACCGCCGCUGACAGCUCAGACCCACCAGCUAUAUCUUCGCACGCAAAGAAGUGCCUCCUUAUUACGCACAAAAAAUGAAUACUCCCCCUGUUAGCUGGGACCCAGUAUAGUGGCAGGCUGACUUGUGGGCCUACUAAGUUGACGGGGACGGAGGGCUUUGUCAACUUAGUCAAUAUAUGCACGAUUCUAGCUCCAGUGACCGUACGAUGUCCAUCCAACGACCGUAGUGCUUCUUCAACCUCUGGUCUUCUUGCUCCAGCCGCCCAAACCAGCGCUGGUCGUGCCUCAUGCUCCUGCCUCCCGUGGCCGGCUGCGAUGUGGUGGAGGCCUCCCCGCCCCCUACUACUCCCACUGCUGGCCAGGCCAUCCCUCUACUCACCCACACCCCCUGUUAUUCUACGGUGACGGUAGCCUCACACCGCAGCGAGCCAGUGAACCCUCGUACUCCUCUAUGCGUGGGCAUCCACUGCCGCGUCUUCCCCGGCUCCGCGUCAUCCCCUUCCUAAGCCUCGUCGUUGUCCACUGCCCUGGUGCUCUCGGCGCGGCGUGGUCAACGUGGUCAAGGAGCGGCUUCCAUCAGACGUGGACUGUACGUGGAGAGGCUGACAGCUGGGUCCACGGCUGCAACAAGGAAGUGCCUCCUUAUUACGUGCAAAAUAAUUAUUCCUCCACCUGACAGCGGGGACGCACCGGACGGGCCACCGUAUUUCGCGAAAAAAACCUUUCCCCCCUGACUGUUGGGACCCACCAGCUACACCUUCGCACAUAAGGAAGUGCGUUUGUUCAAAAAAACGAUUCACCCCCUGACUGCUGGGACCCACCAGCUACAUCUUCGCACGCAAGGAAGUGCCUGACAGUCAGGACCCACCUGGUCGAAGCGUAUGUAGCAUUGUCAUUCUGGUCGCAAACGUGUACGUACAUAUAUAGUGGUCGAUGUAGAGGCGCACACGUGUCAAAGUAGAGGCACGCACGUGUCGUAGUAGAGGCGUGCACGUAACAUGUACACGUACGUACAACGGCUAGGGUGCAAGAAAGAAAAUAUGGCCACAUACGUACAUAUGGGCAGGGUCUCGAACGCCUACUUGCGCAUACGUACGGCCAGGGCUCAUGUACAUGGCUGGGUCAGAAUGGAGAAACAACGUCGUCGUCGUGUUCAUGGGGAGGCAGCGUCGUCGUCGUGUUCAUGGGGAGGCAACGGAAUGCCUCGUGUUCAUGGGGAGGCAACGGAAUGCGUCGUGUUCAUCGGGAGGCAAUGGAACGCGUGGGAGCCAACCGACUGGGUCGGAGCGGAAUGCGUGGUCGUGUUCAUCGGGAGGGCUUGGACAGAACAGGCGAUGGAAACGAGGCCUGGCAUACCACACAACGGAGGAAACGGACCUCCUACGUUCGGAACGGGGUCCUGUUGAUCGGGAGGGGUCUGUCGUACCACAAAACGGAGGAAACAGUCCUCCUACGGUCGAAAUGGGGGUCCUAUUGAUCGGGAGGGGUGUGGCAUACCGCAAAACGGAUGAAACGGACCUCCUACAGUCGAAACGGGGGUCCUGUUCAUCAGGAGGGGUGUGGCGUACCGCAAAACAGGACUCCACGGGAUACUGUUCAUCUCCACCGUUGACCUCCUCCAGCCUCCACGAGCUCCUGUUCAUCCAUCCUCCACCGCGCGCUACUCCACCAGCUACUGUUCAACCACCCCUCCACCAUCUACUGUUCAUCCAGCCCUCCACACCAUGGGGUCCUGUUCAACCACCCCUCCACGGGCACCCCUCCAUCGUCUACUAUUCAUCCAGCCCUCCACCACACCACGGGGUCAUGUUCAUCCAGAGGCAACGCCACCGCUCACUGUUCAUCCAAACCCCCCGCAACGCUCAUUGUUCAUCCCAGAGGCAGCAUCGAUCGGCUUCAGUUAGCAGCAGUAGCGAAGGAAUCGCUCAAUCGGGUUCAGUUAACAGCCAUCGAUCAAUCGCUCGGGUUCAGUAACGCGUAGCCUAGAGUGCAAUCGCUCGGGUUCAGUUAGAGCCAACGCCUCGCACACACGCGCGUACGUGUACGAGAGAAACGCGCAUCGCUCGGCCCCUGACCUCCCACCGUAACCGGGAACUCCCCGAAAUUUUCCUCCCCCUCGCUUCUACCACGGUUUUUUCCAUCAUGGACGGCCCAAAGAAUGUCAUGCAGCUGCGUCUCCGGCCCGCCCAGGACAAAAAGCCCAUUUUCUGUCAUGAUUUUUUGUCAUAGAAGUAGGAGCCCACUACAUCUAUGAUGAUACCGGGUUUUGUCACAAUUAUCGUCAUAGAAGUGUCAUAUGUAUGACAGAAAAAAAUUCGUUCGGCCCAAAAUGUCACGGAUGUGUCUUUUUUUGUAGUGCUAGAAUAUGUCUAUAUAAUCCGUGUGUGAUAAUCCAUUUGAAAUCUCAAAAAAGACAAAUAUUUAGGUACGGAGGGAGUAAUAUAUUAGGAGUAUAUCAAAACAAUAGUGAUUUCUUUCAAGUUUGUGAACAAAUACUACUAUUCUACUACUUUGGAUCCGUCGCAACGCACGGGCACAUUGCUGGUAAAAGGAAAAGGCAUGCCGCGUUCGCGUUGCACCCCCACACGCCCGGGAAUCGGGAGUACAACACAACCCAUCCGGCAUGAUACAUAGCUUAGGGAAGGCGUGUUGCCUAGCAUUUUCACUUUCAUGGGGACCGUCGUUGAGCAAACCGACACCUCGCCCGCCACCGGGUUGGAAAACAGAAACGAGGGGAAGAUCUAGCUGUAGCACGAAAGCCAAGAAAUUUGGUGUCAGACAAGGCUCGUUGAUAGAGUAGGAGCAUGCCGUACUAGUACUACUCCUACUAGUACCAAGUUUGUACUCCUAAUACUAUAUUACUAGUACUACCACUAUACAACUAGUAGGUACGUGCACGGCACAACAUCGUAGGAACAAAAAACGGGAAGAUCUUGUUUUGGGUGAUUUAGCUUUUUUUUCAAUCAACGUAGUAUGAAUAAUAUGAUGUGGGGGCACCCAUGAAGCUUAUGUGGCUUGGUUGCAUGGCUACGAAAGGUUAGAGAAAAAUAAAUAGAUAAUGUGUUUAGAGUGCACUCCACUAAAUAGAUAUAUAUACUUUGGAUCCAUUGCAACGGACCGGCACAUCUAUAUCUAUACCCCCUAUAUAGUGUGUGAAAAACUUUGAAAGUUGGUCGUUGGAUGAAGCCAAUCCGACGGUACAAAUAUGGCAAAUCCGAGCACUACUGGCUGUUGGAUAUCAUCCACCUGAUUCUGCCACAUGUAUAAUCUAGAAGACUCCAUGGUUGAACUUAAUGCAUGACUAAGGGCAUCUUUGAUUCAUAGGAUUGCAGAAACACAGGAAUAGGAAAAAAGUAGGAUUGGAAUGGCAUGUUCAUUGGAUCACUAUAGGAUUUGAGUUUGUUUGAUUGUGUCACAUGAAAAACAAAGGAUUUCUUUCAAGAGGUUGGAGUGCAUGUUAGAAUUCCUAUGAAACGUAGUACAAAUGAAUCCUUAGGAAAAUAUUCUACAUGAUUCAAUCCUACGAAUCAAACGACCAACGUAGGAAAAAUUCCUAAGGAUUCUAAUCCUUCAAAGAUCCUAUGAAAAUCCUUUGAAUCAAACGGGCCCUAACUUUGCCACAACUAAGCUUAGGCAAAGUUACCAGUUCUUCAAAAUGAGAGAAAAAAGUUGGCAAGCGUAAGGGAAUCUUGCCACAUUUUGUGUGUGUAUGUCAUGUGGGGCCUUAGUGUGGCUUGCCUAAGGUGUGGCUUGAACCAAACACUCACCUAAGUUAAUCAAACUUGCCUAACCUUACAUUCCACCAGAUUUUGCCACAUGUUAGAAUCCAGAAAGCUCCACAUGUAGAAGCAUAAUGCAAAAACCACCAGAAUCUCAUGUGUGCACUGCACGUGUACCUUACUAGUACUACUUGGUAGUAGUAAGAAACAAAUUCCAGUUUUGGCACGAGCUCGUACUGCGGGAGCACCACAAGGCCUGCCGCAGGAGGUACAUUUCCCUCUCAGGGCCCAUGGGACCGAACUUUAGUGGCUUAGUGCCCGGCCUAUGAGUCAAUGACAUGCGGACCUUAAAUGCGGCUGGCCCACAUGUCAUUCUCACUGUGGUGGCAUGGUUCACGACUCACUCGUUCGAGAUGAACCAGCCGGUGGUGGCGUGGCCAUGGUGAGGGUGCCACAGCUGGGCGUCAGGGCGUUACGAGGCGUAGAUGGCCACACUAGCGGGUACUACCUGUACUACUCCCUCCGGUCCUUUUUACUCUGCAUAUUAGGUUUGUCCGAAGUCAAUCUCAUCCAACUUUGACCAAGUUUAUAUAAAAAAUUAUAGACAUUCACAUAACAACACCAAUAUCAUUAGAUUCAUCUUAGAAUAUAUUUUCAUAUUAUAUUUAUUAGAUAUUAUAGAUGCUAAUAAUUUCUAAUAUAAAUUUGGUCAAACUUAGCAAAGUUUGACUUUUGGCAAAUCCAAUGUGCAGAGUAAAAAGGACCGGAGGGAGUACAUAAGUACUCCAGCUAAGGAUUGAUGCCCGGGACGAAAUGUGUCACAGCCGCUAGAUGAAAAUUCGAUGGUGCGGGAGUAUGGAUCGGAGCACAGCAGCGGAGCAGGCAAACCGCGUCCAAUCGGGUGUGUGUGUGGUAGAAAGUUGAUGGUCACCGCAGUUCAACUGGCCCGCAUGUCAUGCACACAAAGGCAGAGGAGCGGUGGGGCCGAGAGGGAUGAGGGGCACGUCAGGGGGAUGAGGAUCCCCUAACGCAAACAAUCCUACAAUUCUGUCACUAACAUCUGGGACCCAUAAGCGUGGGUCCCACCUGUCAGUGAAGGAAAGGCGGGGCAAGGCAGUGAUAGCCACGUUAGAGGAUCCAUGUCCACGUCGGGGGACGUCGUGCCGUGGGUUGGAGCGGCGUCGUGGGAAUCGCGUGUGGGUGUGGCAGUGGUAGAAACAAGAAACGUGAUGGUCACCGUGGUUCAACUUCCAUGGACAAGCUGUCAUGUCUGCUGACACAUGUAUAUCAAAACUAGAGUGUUUAUAUUUCAAGCACGUGAACAAGUAUUAUUCUACUACUUUGGAUCCAUUGCAACGCACGGGCCAGCACAUUGGUAGUUGUAGUGCCCAUCUCUAUCUCUAGAGGCCUUCCCUCGUUCAUCCUUUUCUCUCACAAGAUAAACUACUCAUACAAAUGCAUCUUGAUGUUCCAUGGAACGCACAAGGAUGUUUCCUUGGGGGUCUCUCCAGCGUGGCGUGGCCGUAGUUGCAAGUUGACGCCCCUUGAGAUGCCGAUGUUGAGGGGCACUCGGAUUUCCUCCGAUGAGCAGGUAAGAUGAGUUUGAUCAUGUAGUAAAUGCAUUCUAAAGACUACUUCCAUGUCCAUUUCCUAAUUCUCCCCCUGCCCACUGUUUCACAGGUUAGGCUCGGUGCAAGUGGAGAUUGGCUUGCAUAUGUACGGGGUUUGGAUGCAAAUGAAGACGAAGGGGAGGUGAAGAAGCCGAGGAGAAUCGGUUCCCGAUGGAGAAGUAAAUGGGAGAAGUGGCGUGCAGGCAGUUGAUUAGACGGCUAGGUGGACUAAACGAAAAGGCUAUGCGGGUAGACUGAUGAGUCGUGUCUGUUCAUGUACGUGCCCAUCCUUCCUGAUAGGUGGGACCUAUGCAUGCAAACAGAUAAAAAAUGUGUCGUAGUUUUUUUUUUGAGCUCGUGAGUGGGAGACACAACAUUCUCUGGUUAAGUAAUACUCCCUCCGUUUAGGUGAGUAUAAGUCACCUUAUGAAAAUCAGGUUUUACCAAAACCUUUAGGCGUGGAGCAUUAACUUCCUGCUCGAUCCCUCCCAGCCUCAUUAGCUAGCGUUCUCUUCCUCUGCUGUCGCGUUCUACCUUUCCAUUUUUCCUCUCCUCAAGUGUGGAACAAUCUGCAUGCCGUCCUUGAUGCACCAGAACGACCACUGCAUGCAUCGCGGCAGGGCGUUGAUUGGGCAUGCACGAGAAUUUGGUUCUGCUCGCAAUAUGGAUGAUACCUGAACGAUGAAGUGAACAUGCAUGCUAGCACGGGAGACCUAUUUCCGCUAUACAAUACUGGAGUACUCAUGUUCCUACUAGUAGUAGUAGUAGUAGUACAACUGUGGUACACUUGAUGGUCAAAAUACUAUUCAUCCGGUCCUCACAGUGAAGUGACAACACCCUGCGCCUGACACUAGUCCAGGCGGCGUGUUUGGGUUACCAAGUCAGCCUCACCCUGUGCACUAUGCAGUCUGUCACCACCGCUGUACAGCACAUUGGCGCCUCGCCUUGUCUCCCUCUCCGCUCCCAUAGCACCACUCCAUCUCCAUCACCUUCUUCGUCUCCGUCUCCGUCUCCAUCUCACUGUGCCCCCGUGUACCGGCGCCUCACUCGCCUCCCCCAGUACCACUAUUCCCUCGCUAGCUGCUCCAGCACCGACAUCCUUCUCCCCCGUAAAUCAAGCCCCCUUCCAAACUCCACCAAGGCCGAACGCGAACCGCGCAGCAUCCAUAUGAGCCGCGAUUGGAGCAAUCUCCCCAGUGACAUCCUCGACCUCUGUUGUUCGUGUAUGGAUAUGUUGAGCGCCCUGCGGCUGGCUGCAUGCUCGAGGGACAUGCACACGGCCAUCGUCGAAGCGAGGCCUAAGCUUUUCAAGACACCCUGCUUGCCGCUAUCUGGUCUUGCGAGAUUGGCUCACCAUGAUACGGAGGCGUGCAUGAUGCCCCUCGACUUCAAUCCGAUCUCCAUUAGCCGAAACUUCUUUGCAGGUAUGUAGUGGGUCGUCGUACAUCAUUUUCCUCGACAUCGAUCCGAUCACCAUCGCCCAAAACUUCUUGGCAGGUAUGUACUGGGUCUGCAUGAACUCCCACUGGAUGGCUACCUUCGGAGAAGACGUUAAAAAGUUGGUGCUCGUGAACUUCCAGACCUCCCAUGAGAUUAUCCUUCCUCCAUUGGAUUAUAUAGAGUAUUACCAUCGCGGUCCAAGUCAUCUAGAUUACUACGUCAGUUGGACGGACCUUGUUUUGUAGAAGAUUGUAAUCUGCCAAGUGCCCACACGACAUGCGAAUUACGCAGACUUCAAGCUAAUUGCCUUGUUCGACCGUGGACUCGCCUAUCUUUACGCUGGUGCCUUCUUUAGCUGGAGACAACUCGGCUCGGAGUGGAUCAUCGUCAAAGCUGAUACACACUUCCGUGAUGCUAUUGAACACAAUGGCAUCAUCUACGCGAUCGACAAAGCAGAUGGCACCACGUAUUGCUGGGACGGCGUGUGUAAGUUGUUUCCGUCUCAUGUUAAUGAUGACGCCAUGACACUGUUUGAAAUUUUUGUGAUGAUUGGCAUAUCCCUGUUUGAGCAGAAUUUGAGUAGAACUAUGGCAAUGUAUUAGAGACGCCGUAAAUCAGCUAUAUUUGGAAUGAGUUAAUUCAUGCGAUUGUGACCAUGUCAUUACAGCCAAUUUGUACCCUGAAUAAUCAAACGGUUAGGAAUAUAUGGAUAUUAUCCUUAUUUUACAGUAAUCUAUAUACUACUACUAAAUAUGAGUGUGUAUCAAUGGCCAUGUUAGUUUCCUCAUUUUCAUGAUGUAGAAACAUGCACCACACUGUUGGUUUCAUCUAACCAUACAUUAGGGAAGUAAAUGUGCAUAUGGAGAACUCUAUAUUUGGAAGUAGUGAAAUCCUGCAAUGCUUACCAUGUGUACAUACCUAUAUUCGCCCUUCAGCAAUCAAUGGCUAGAAUAAUAUCCUCACAAAAAAUUUGCCCACAGAACACGAGUAUAUAACAAUGCAUGGUCUGUUAGUUACCUUGAAGAAUUUGUUUGUGAGGACAGAACAUGAUUACAUAACAUGCAUGACAUGGUAGUUUCCUGUGAAGAAUCGAUUGCGAGAUAACAUGAGUAUAACCAUGCAUGGCACUUCUAUAUUUUUGAACCCAGUAUACAUUUCCCUGUAUUUUCCUCCCAGUUCCAACAGGGACAUAUCAAUGUUGUUUCUUGCAUUAUCCUACUCAUACUCUGAACAAUGCUGAUCUUACAUUAACAAUGCUUGUCCUUUUUGAUAUGAUGCAAUGUCCAUAUAGUUACUACCCUUUGUAAUCACACCACCUUUGCCAAAAAACAGGGAAGCACAACUGGUUCCUCGCUCGAUCAGAUGACGGCAAAAGACUGAUGAUCAUUCGGACACAUGAGCCGGAAAAGUUAUAUUGCAAAACCCCACUGUAUACAAGCACCGUAUAAUACGUGAGUAUCCGGACAGUGGUUGUUACGUCUAUGAGCAGGAUACCAGCUUGUUGGGGCCUUUAGGAUUUUUUAGUUGGAGGCGGGUAAACAACCUUGGUUCACACUCUCUGUUUCUCGGACUCAAUUAUCCGAUUAACCAGGAGAUCACCGUUGGCAAGGACCUUGAUGGCAGCGAGGCUCUGUUUGCUAUGGAAAACUGUGUCUACACGGCGAGCCCUAGGAGUUCGGGAGCAAACUCCCCUGAUUGUCAACAAUACAUCCUGCAGCCAAAAUAAGGUGAGAAUGACAAAGGCAUCCGGAUUAACUUUGAUCCUUGGAUGUCUCAAUUACGACAGGCGGUGAUGUGGUUCAAGCCUUCAGGUUGAUAGGUAAUUGGGCUGUUGCAUCGAAAGGGUGGAGUACUGGUGUCUCCGGAUCACUGGUCGCUGAAGCGGGGCUGCAAAUUAUGAUGGUGUUGGAUCAUCUCUUUGAAUGACUUUGUUGUCUUUGCUGCUGGUUCUGGAUGGGUAGUUCUUUCUUUUGUUAUGCAUAUUCCUUGUCAUUUGGUCAUCCUCGUCUAUGUCACUAUUACUAUGUAAUAGUUGCUUCUGUUUAGAAUGUCAUUCUCGUCUGGAUCAUGAGAGUCUGAGCGCUGCAGAUGGGUGCGUUUUGGUGGUGUAGCAAGACUUCUUAUGAACUAUCAUGUCUUGCUGUUUAUGUCAGUAGUAGUCACUAGUCAGUGUUUGAAUGUUGUAUAUAUCAUUGUUUCGAACUGUUUAUUGUCUCGAACUACUGGUGGGCUAAAUGAGGGCAUCACCAUUCUCCAGUGUUCGGAGUAUAUCUCCUUUUUUCAAGUUAUAUAAUUUGAGCUCAGUGUCUUUUUGAUGAUGUACACUUGUUUGGGCUAGUGAGGUGUCGUUGAAUAUGGGCCGAGUAGUAACACAAUGCCAAACAGAUCAAUUAUGACUCUCAGGCCGGGCUCUCAAAAGAUCCUUAAAAAAGGUCGGGCUCUCCAAAAAAGAAAGAAUAAGGACUCUUAGGCCGACAUGUGGGCGCCACCGGUGUUUUCGUGCGCUUGCGUGCCGAGAGCAUAUUGGCGCGUGCUCGAAAUUCAUGCUACCUUUUCAUCCCUAGUCUCCCAUCCCUCCCCCACCUCUGGAAUCUCGAUUCCUACUCCAGUUCCCCCAAAUCCCCCUCCUAUACUCCCUGUACUCAAGCACACUAUCAUGUCGUCGGUCAACGCGGAUCUCCGAGCCGGAGAUCCUGAGGUCCAUCCUGCCUUCAGUCACUGUGUGCUGUCGCUCAACAGUGGCAUGGCGGCGCUUGACGACCAGUUUGCCGGCAAAGUGCUGAUGGUAACCAUCAACGGCGAUCGGCCUCCCGUCUCGCUGGACGACCUUGUCAAAGCUCUUGGCAUUGCGCACGGCAUCCAAAUAAGUGACUUGCACGUCGAAGUCUGUCUGCCACCGGCUGAUUUCUUUGUCAGGUUCCGGACAACUUUCGACUGUAGUCAUGUGUUCGAAUCUUCCCGGCGUUUGUUCUGCGAUGGCGCGCUGGUGAGCUUUGAUCGGUGGCACCCAGGAUGGGGCUCGGUGCCCUCUGAGCUUGAUUUUUUAACAAAGCUUACCUUCCACGGCAUGCCUCGACGUGCUUGGAAUAGUGAGUCCAUGAACGAGCUUAUCAACGACCUUGGAGGUGAGCUCGUAAGUAUGUUUGUUCCUCCAGACAACUGGGCUCUGACGGUUAUGGCAUGGAUGAAGAAGCCGUCCACCAUACCGAAGGUGAUUGGUGUUGAGAUACCGGUGCAGGAACCGGGGUUGUACUAUUCGUCGCCACCAAGGCUGCCGCGGACCACGUUAGGGAUGUACCUGUAUCGAGUGUUCGUGCAUGUCAAAGAAGUGGUCAAUCCAUCAAUCGAAGUCCUGCCGCCGCCGCUGGUGCCAGGGUCCGUCGACGACGUCCAUUACAGGAGUCAAUGUUAGACUUUCCUCGUGUUGCUUGGAACGAUGGAUGGCACAGGGCCUACUCCAUCGCGCGACAGAGGCCACUGCUUCUUUGGGAGAAGAGGCAGGGCUGGCUGCCUGGAUAUGCUCUAAUUUGAGGUAACAACUGAAUCUUGUCAGAUACUAGUUAAAUCCGAGCUAUGGGUGUGAAGCACUGAUAUGCCAGUACAUUUGAUUGUGAUCUGUUCUAAUUUUGUACCUGGACUUUUUUUAGAAAGGGUUGUACAUCAACUUAAUGUGCUAGCAGAAGUUAUUGUGUUGUCUGUCUGUUUUCUUUACACAACAUUCAAGAUAUUUCCCCGUCAUUGAUAAAGACGAUGAACCGUUAUGUACGACUUCGUUGGUUUCAACAUAGCCCUUCCCGUAGCGAUCCACUGCUUCCAUCCUGAUUGUGCCACCUACGUGAAAUUUUUGUAUGCAAGUUCAGUGUGCUAUGAUGUUCUAUAUGAUUGUGUCAACUAUAUAAGUUUUUACUGAGCAUCAGCAAUGCAUAUGGCUGAAAGAUGUAUUUACGAGCAUCGACCGAUGGGUCUCUCUCUAUCUAUCUCUCACACACACAUGCGCGCGCGCGCACACGCACAGGUGGGACCCGUUGAAUUAUUUAUUUGCUUGUGAUAACUUUUAAUUAGGUUCCAGUGUAAUCUAACUUUUUUCUUAAGUUAUUAAUUGAGCUCAAUGACUUCAAAAAGUUGUACAGAAGCCUUGUUUGGGCCUUUCCAGCGUCGCUGAAUGUGGGCUUAGUAACCAUGUUAGGUUGUACUGUACUACACAGGCCUUUUUUUCAACAUCAGCAAUGCAACACGGCCGACAGUUCUACACAAUAUCCGGGUCAACUUGUUAUUCUCCUCCCCGCUGAGCUGCAAACUUUCCUAGGAGGUAUGCAUUAGGCUUAACAAGAAAAUGGACUUUAAGAAAUAAUAAAUGGGAUGUAAUUAUAAUAACUGGACAGUUACUAUGCACCAAACAUGUAAUUAGUUUGAAAAAUAUAUUAUUUUUGGAAUUUGAAAAUUUUAAUUUCAUUACUUGUUGUGCGCGCAAUAUUUCAUUGGAUUUUAAUGUAAUACAACUUUAUUUUGAAAUUAUAUAUAACCUGACUAGAAAUUUCGGAUAAAAAUAUUUUGGAUCCCAUCAAAAUGUGGGAAUUUUUUUUGAAUUAUGUUUUGAGCGGUUGUUUGAAAUUAUUAAUCGUUGUCCUAGCUAGAAGUUGGGUUGUACUUUUAACAAACUGUAAAUGGGAUGUAGUAAAUUCCAUUAGAAUUAAUAAAUCGGUUGUACAUUCUUACAAAUCACAAAUGGGCUAUAUGUUCUCUGCCAAAUCCAAGCUGUGGACCUACUAAGUUGACGUGUACCAAAGGCUUUGUCAACUUAGUCAAUAUAAACGAUUCUAGCUGCAGUGAUCGUACAAUGUCCAUCCAAUGGCCGUACUGCUUCUUCAACCUCUGGUCUUCUUGCUCUAGCCGCCCAAAGCAGCGCCGGUCGUGUCGUGUGCUCCUGCCUCCCGUGGCCGGAUGUGAUGCCGCGGAGGCCUCACCGCCCCGUACUACUCCCACCGCUGGCCAGGCCAUCCCUCUACUCACCCACACCCCCUGUUAUUCUGCGGCGACGGCAGCCUCACACUGCAGCCGAACCAGUGAACCCUCGUACUCCUCUCCGCGCGGGCUUCCACUGUUGCGUCUUCCCCGGCUCCACCUUGUUCCCUUCAUAGGCCUCGCCAUCGUCCAGACCACCGCCCUGGUGCUCUCGGCGCGGCGUGGUCAACGUGGUCAACGACCGACUUCCAUCGGAAGAGUACUGUACGUGGAGAGGCUGACAGCUCGGUCCAGGCGGCCGCAAGGAAGUGCCUCCUUAUUACGCGCAAAAUGAUUAUUCCUCCACCUGACAGCAGGGACCCACCGGACGAGCCACCUCAUUUUGAAAAAAAACGUUUCCCCCUGACUGUUAGGACCCACCAGACGGGCCAGCGUAUUUCGCGAAAAAAACGUUCCCCCCGCUGUCAGCUCAGACCCACCGGAAGUGCCUCCUUAUUACGCACAAAAAAAUGAAUACUCCCCCUGCUAGCUGGGACCCACCAUGGUGGGAGGCUGACUUGUGGGCCUACUAAGUUGACUUGGACGGGGGCCUUUGUCAACUUUAGUCAAUAUGAACGAUUCUAGCUCCAGUGACCGUACGAUGUCCAUCCAACGGCCGUAGUGCUUCUUCAACCUCUGGUCUUCUUGCUCCAGUCACCCAAAGCAGCGCCGGUCGUGCCGCAUGCUCUUGCAUCCCGUGGCCGGCUAUGCUGCCGUGGAGGCCUCACCGCCCCCUACUACUCCCACCGCUGGCCAGGCCCUACGGCGAUGACAGCCUCACACCGCAGCCGAACCAGUGAACCCCCGUACUCCUCUCCGCGUGGGCUUCCACUGCCGCGUCUUCCCCGGCUCCCCGUCGUCCCCUUCCUAGGCCUCGCCGUCGUCCACCGCCCUGGUGCUCUCGGCGCGGCGUGGUCAACAUGGUCAAGGAACAACUUUCAUUGGCCGUGGACUGUACGUGGAGAGGCUGACAGCUGGGUCCACGGCCGCAGCAAGGAAGUUCCUCCUUAUUACGCGGAAAAUAAUGAUUCCUCCACCUGACAGCUGGGACCCACCGGACGGGCCACUGUAUUUCGCGAAAAAACAUUUGCCCCUGACUGCUGGGACCCACCAGCUACAUCUUCGCACGCAAGGAAGUGCGUCCGGGCAAAAAAAACGAUUCACCCCCCUGACUGCUGGGACCCACCAGCUACAUCUUCGCAGGCAAGGAAGUGCCUGACAGUCAGGACCCACCUGGUCGAAGCAUAUGUAGCAUUGUCAUUCUGAUCGCGAACGUGUAUGUACAUAUAUACUGGUGGAUGUAGAGGCGCGCACGUGUCGUAGUAGAGGCGCGUACAUGUCGUAGUAGAGGCGCGCACGUAGCAUGUACGUGUACGUACAACGGUAGGGUGCAAGAAAGAAAAUAUGGCCAUGUAUGUGUACAUACGGGCGGGGUCUCGAACGCCUACUCGCGCAUACGUAUGGCCAGGGCUCGUGUACAUGGCUGGGUCGGAAUGGAGAAACAACAUCGUCGUCGUGUUCAUGGGGAGGCAAUGGAAUGCGUCGUGUUCAUGGGGAGGUAACAGAAUGCGUCGUGUUCAUCGGGAGGCUACGGAACGUGUGGGAGCCAACCGGCUGGGUCGGAACAGAAUGCGUGGACGUGUUCAUCGGGAGGGCUUGGACGGAACAGGCGAUCGAAAUGAGGCGUGGCGUACCGCACAACGGAGGAAACGGCCUUGUGUUCGACCGGCCACGUUCGAAACGGGAUCCUGUUCAUCGGGAGGGGUCUGGCGUACCGCAAAACGGACAAAAUGGACCUCCUACAGUCGAAACGGGGGUCCUGUUGAUCGGGAGGGGUGUGGCGUACCGCAAAACGGACGAAGCGUACUUGUGUUGGAGCGCUACGGUCGAAACGGGGGUCCUAUUCAUCGGGAGGAGUGUGGCGUACCGCAAAACGGGACUCCACGAGAUACUGUUCAUCUCCACCGUCGACCUCCUCCAACCUCCACGGGCUACCGUCGACCUCCUCCAGCCUCCACGGGCUCCUGUUCAUCCAGCCUCCACCGUGCGCUACUCCACCGGCUACUGUUCAACCACCCCUCCACGGGCACCCCUCCACCGUCUACUAUUCAUCCAGCCCUCCACACCACGGGAUCUUGUUCAACCACCCCUCCACGGGCACCCCUCCACCGUCUACUGUUCAUCCAGCCCUCCACCACACCACGGGGUCCUGUUCAUCCAGAGGCAACGCCACCGCUCACUGUUCAUCCAAACCCCCCGCAACGCUCACUGUUCAUCCCAUAGGCAGCAUCGAUCGGCUUCAGUUAGCAGCAGUAGCGAAGGAAUCGCUCGAUCGGGUUUAGUUAACAGCCAUCGAUCGAUCGCUCGGGUUCAGUAACGCGUAGCCUACAGUGCAAUCGCUCGGGUUCAGUUAGAGCCCAACGCCUCACUCGGGUUCAGUUAGAGCCAACGCCUCGCACACACGCGCGUACGUGUACGAGAGAAACACGCAUCGCUCGGCCCCCGGCCUCCCACCGUAACCGGGAACUCCCGGAAAUUUUCCUCCCCCUCACUUCUACCAUGGUUUUUUCCGUCAUGGACGGCCUAAAUAAUGUCAUGCAGCUGCAUCUCCAGCCCGCCCAGGAUGAAAAGCCCAUUUUCUGUCAUCAUUUUUUGUCAUAGAAGUAGGAGCCCACCACAUCUAUGAUGAUACCGGGUUUUGUCACAAUUACCGUCAUAGAAGUGUCAUAUGUAUGACAGAAAAAAAAUUCGUUCGGCCCAAAAUGUCACGGAUGUGUCUUUUUUUGUAGUGUAUUGUCACUGGGAAAGGACACCGCAAGAUUGAACCCAAAGCUAAGCACUUCUCCCAUUGCAAGAAAGAUCAAUCUAGUAGGCCAAACCAAACUGAUAAUUCGAAGAGACUUGCAAAGAUAACCAAUCAUACAUAAAAGAAUUCAGAGAAGAUUCAAAUAUUGUUCAUAGAUAAACUUGAUCAGAAACCCACAAUUCAUCGGUCUCAACAAACACACCGCAAAAGAAGAUUACAUCGAAUGGAUCUCCACGAGAGAGGGGGAUAACUUUGUAUUGAGAUCCAAAAAGAGAGAAGAAGCCAUCUAGCUAAUAACUAUGGACCCGAAGGUCUGAGGUAAACUACUCACACUUCAUCGAAGAGGCUAUGGUGUUGAUGUAUAAGCCCUCCAUGAUCGAUGCCCCCUCCGGUGGAGCUCCGAAACAGGCUCCAAGAUGGGAUCUCGUGGAUAUAGGGGUGGACUAACGAGCAGCUCGGCUCGUUAAGCUCGUACUCAUUAAGCUCGCGCUCGUUAAGGCUCGGCUCGUUAAGCUUGUUAAGAUUAACGAGCAGAAAACUCUGCUCGGCUCGGCUAGUUUGAAGCUCGUUAAGCUCGUGAGCGCUCGCGAGCGCUUGUUAACAGAUUAUAAUGUGUUACCAUAUACAUGUUGAAUGUCUAGGUAUGGUUUUCAAGAUGAAAUAUGGUGACUAUAAAAAGAAAUGAAGUAGUUUGUUGCCUCAUAUGUCGAUUAGAUAAAUAGAUGGGUUGAGGUGCUACAAAAAGUUUGUCACGUAAGAUAAAAAUAUGUAUUGUGCUGUUACAAACGAGCUUAACGAGCUACUCCUGAAACUCGUUAGCUCGCUCGUUAAACUCGUUAAGAUUAACGAGCUAAAAUCAAUGAUUGGCUCUGUUCAUUAAGAAGCGAGCUACGAGCUUAACGAGCCGAACUAUCGAGCGCUCAUUAAGCUCGCGAGCUACGAGCUUUUGGUCCAGCCCUACGUGGAUACAGAAAGUUACAGCGGUGGAAUUAGGGUUUUGGCUCCGUAUUUGAUCGUUUGGGGGUACGUAGGUAUAUAUAUAGGAGGAAGGAGUACGUCGGUGGAGCAACAGGGGGACCACGAGGGUGGAGGGCGCGCCUGGGGGGGUAGGCGCGCCCCCUACCUUGUGGCCUCCCUGUUGGUUGCUUGACGUAGGGUCCAAGUCUCCUGGAUCUUGUUCGUUCCAAAAAUCAUGUUCCCGAAGGUUUCAUUCCGUUUGAUAUUCCUUUUCUUCAAAACCCUAAAAUAGGCAAAAAAAACAGCAAUUCUGGGUUGGGCCUCCGGUUAAUAGGUUAGUCCCAAAAAUAAUAUAAAAGUGGAUAAUAAAGCCCAAUAAUGUCCAAAAUAGGAGAUAAUAUAGCAUGGAGCAAUCAAAAAUUAUAGAUACGUUGGAGACGUAUCAAGCAUCCCCAAGCUUAAUUCCUGCUCGUCCUCGAGUAGGUAAAUGAUAAAAACAGAAUUUUUGAUGUGGAAUGCUACUUAGCAUAAUUUCAAUGUAAUUCUUCUUAAUUGUGGCAUGAAUAUUCAGAUCCGAAAGAUUCAAGAUAAAAGUUUGAUAUUGACAUAAAAAUAAUAAUACUUCAAGCAUACUAAGUAAGCAAUUUAUGUCUUCUCAAAAUAACAUGGCCAAAGAAAGUUAUCCCUACAAAAUCAUAUAGUCUGGCUAUGCUCUAUCUUCACCACACAAAGUGUUUAAAUCAUGCACAACCCUGAUGACAAGCCAAGCAAUUGUUUCAUACUUUUGACAUUCUCAAACUUUUUCAAUCUUCACGCAAUACAUGAGCGUGAGCCAUGGACAUAGCACUAUUGGUGGAAUAGAAAGGUGGUUGUGGAGAAGACAAAAAGGGAGAAGAUAGUCUCACAUCAACUAGGCAUAUCAACGGGCUAUGGAGAUGCCCAUCAAUAGAUAUCAAUGUGAGUGAGUAGGGAUUGCCAUGCAACGGAUGCACUAGAGCUAUAAGUAUAUGAAAGCUCAAAAAGAAACUAAGUGGGUGUGCAUCCAACUUGCUUGCUCACGAAGACCUAGGGCAUUUUGAGGAAGCCCAUCAUUGGAAUAUACAAGCCAAGUUCUAUAAUGAAAAAUUCCCACUAGUAUAUGAAAGUGAUAACAUAGGAGACUCUCUAUCAUGAAGAUCAUGGUGCUACUUUGAAGCACAAGUGUGGUAAAAGGAUAGUAGCAUUGUCCCUUCUCUCUUUUGCUCUCAUUUUUUUAUUUGGGCCUUUUCUCUUCUUCUUUUAUGGCCUCUUUUUUUCGUCCGGAGUCUCAUCUCGACUUGUGGGGGAAUCAUAGUCUCCAUCAUUCUUUCCUCACUUGGGACAAUGCUCCAAUAAUGAUGAUGAUCACACUUUUAUUUUCUUACAACUCAAGAAUUACAACUUGAUACUUAGAACAAAAUAUGACUCUAUAUGAAUGCCUCCGGCGGUGUACCGGGAUAUGCAAUGACUCAAGAGUGACAUGUAUGAAAGAAUUAUGAACGAUGGCUUUGCCACAAAUACAAUGUCAACUACAUGAUCAUGCAAAGCAAUAGACAAUGAUGAAGUGUGUCAUAAUAAACGGAAUGGUGGUAAGUUGCAUGGCAAUAUAUCUCGGAAUGGCUAUGGGAAUGCCAUAAUAGGUAGGUAUGGUGGCUGUUUUGAGGAAGGUAUAUGGUGGGUGUAUGAUACCGGCGAAAGUUGCGCGGUACUAGAGAGGCUAGCAAUGGUGGAAAGGUGAAAAGUGUGUAUGAUCCAUGGACUCAACAUAAGUCAUAAAGAACACAUAUACUUAUUGCAAAAAUCUACAAGUUAUCAAAGCAAAGUAUUACGCACAUGCUCCUAGGGGGUAGAUUGGUAGGAAAAGACCAUCGCUCGUCCCCGACCGCCACUCAUAAGGAAGACAAUCAAUAAAUAAAUCAUGCUCUGACUUCAUCACAUAACGGUUCACCAUACGUGCAUGCUACGGGAAUCACAAACUUCAACACAAGCAUUUCUCAAAUUCUCAAUUACUCAACUAGCAGAACUCUAAUAUCACCAUCUCCAUAUCUCAAAACAAUUAUCAAGUUUCAAACUUCUCAUAGUAUUCAACACACUCAUAAGAAAUUUUUACUAAUCUUGUAUACCUAGCAUAUUAGGAUUAUUUAAGCAAAUUACCAUGCUAUUUAAGACUCUCAAAAUAAUAUAAGUGAAGCAUGAGAGAUCAAUAGUUUCUAUAAAACAAAUCCACCGAUGUGCUCUAAAAGAUAUAAGUGAAGCACUAGAGCAAAAACUAUAUAACUCAAAAGAUAUAAGUGAAGCACAUAGAGUAUUCUAAUAAUUUCCGAAUCAUGUGUGUCUCUCUCAAAAGGUGUGUACAGCAAAGAUGAUUGUGGAAAACUGAAAAGCAAAGACUCAACUCAUACAAGAUGCUCCAAGCAAAACACAUAUCAUGUGGUGAAUAAAAAUAUAGCUCCAAGUAAAGUUACCGAUGGAAGUAGACGAAAGAAGGGAUGCCUUCCGAGGCAUCCCCAAGCUUUGGCUUUUUGGUGUCCUUAGAUUAUCUUGGGGGUUCCAUGGGCAUCCCCAAGCUUAGGAUCUUGCCACUCCUUGUUCCAUAAUCCAUCAAAUCCUUACGCAAAACUUGAAAACUUCACAACACAAAACUUAAAGUAGAAAAUCUCAUGAGCUCCGUUAGCGAAAGAAAACAAAAGACCACUUCAAGGUACUGUAAUGAACUCAUUCUUUAUUUAUAUUGGUGUUAAACCUACUGUAUUCCAACUUCUCUAUGGUUUAUAAACUAUUUUACUAGCCAUAGAUUCAUCAAAAUAAGCAAACAACACACGAAAAACAGAAUCUGUCAAAAACAGAACAGUCUGAAGUAAUCUGUAGAUAGCGCAAGAUCUGGAAACCCAAAAAUUCUAAAAUAAAUUUCUGGACGUGAGUAAUUUAUCUAUUAAUCAUCUUAAAAAAGAAUUAACUAAAUAUCAAUUUCCAAAUAAAAAUGGAAGCAGUUCUCGUGAGCGAUAAAGUUUCUAUUUUUUACAGCAAGAUUAACAAGACUUUCCCCAAGUCUUCCCAACGGUUCUACUUGGCACAAACACUAAUUAAACACAAAAAACACAACAAAAACAGAGGCUAGAUAAAUUAUUUAUUAAUAAACAGGAGCAAAAAUCAAGGAAUAAAAAUAAAAUUGGGUUGCCUCCCAACAAGCGUUUUCGUUUAACGCCCCUAGCUAGGCAUAAAAAGCAAGGAUAGAUCUAGGUAUUGCCAUCUUGGGUAGGUAAUUAUUCAAUGAGACAUCUAUCAUCCUUUGGAGUUUCUUUCUUUAUUGAUUAUAAAACUUUUAGGCACAAGAUUGAAAAAUCAUUUGUAACAAAUGGUUCCUUAAUGAUAGCAAAAAUAUUGGGAUGAAUACUUAUAGAUUUGAGAUCUGCAGUUUCCUUACUAGAGGAUUCACCCUUAUUUUUAGGAACAUACAUAAGAUUGGCAAUUUUAGUAGGAGGACUUGGAGUAUUUUUUACGGAAGAAAAAGCGGUUCCCAAGUUGGUAAUAAUACCCUCAAGUUUAUCGAUUCUAGUGGAAUCCUGAUUUAUUUUCUCAUUAACUUUAGGCUCCUUUUCUUUAAUAUUUUUCAAAGUGACUCCUACUUUAGAUCCAUAUUGAGUGAUUAGGUUGUGGAUCUUUUUAUCCAAAUUUUCAAUUAACUCUACAGUAGCAACCUUAUUUUCAAUAAUUUCAAGUCUUUGCAUUACAUGCUCUAAAGUUAACAUAGUUCCAUUAACCAAAAGAGGCGAUGAGCCAAACAAAUCUAUCAUAGCAUUAUAAGAAUCAAAAGUAUGGCUACCCAAGAAGUUCCCUCCGGUAAUGGUAUCAAGGAUAUAUCUGUACCAAGGAGUAGUGCCUACAUAAAAACUGCAAAGAAGAACGGAAGUGGAUUGCUUCCUGGUAGAUCUAUUUUGAGCAUUGGAAAUUCUAUACCAAACGUCUUUUAGAUUUUCUCCCUUCCUUUGCUUAAAAUUUAGAACUUCAUUCUCGGGAGACAACGAAGAAGAAAAGUGACUAGCCAUAACGACAAGCAAACAGAAAAGAGGCGAACGGAAAAGAGAGGGAGGAUAGAGAGAGAGAGGGCGAAUAAAACGGCAAGGGUGAAGUGGGGGAGAGGAAAAUGAGAGGCAAAUGGCAAAUAAUGUAAUGCGGGAGAUAAGGGUUUGUGAUGGGUACUUGGUAUGUUGACUUUUGUGUAGACCUCCCCGGCAACGGCGCCAGAAAUCCUUCUUGCUGCCUCUUGAGCACUGCGUUGGUUUUCCCUUGAAGAGGAAAGGGUGAUGCAGCAAAGUAGCAUAAGUAUUUCCCUCAGUUUUUGAGAACCAAGGUAUCAAUCCAGGCUACGCGCGAGUCGCUCGCACCUACACAAAACAAAUAAAUCCUCGCAACCAACGCGAUAAGGGGUUGUAAAUCCCUACACGGUCACUUACGAGAGUGAGAUCUGAUAGAUAUGAUAAGAUAAUACUUUUGGUAUUUUUAUGAUAAAGAUGCAAAGUAAAAUAAAAGCAAAUUAAAAAAGCAAAGGAAAUAACUAAGUGUUGGAAGAUUAAUAUGAUGAAGAUAGACCCGGGGGCCAUAGGUUUCACUAGUGGCUUCUCUAAAGAGCAUAAGUAUUUUACGGUAGGUGAACAAAUUAUUGUUGAGCAAUUGACAGAAUUGAGCAUAGUUAUGAGAAUAUCUAGGUAUGAUCAUGUAUAUAGGCAUCACGUCUGAGACAAGUAGACCGACUCCUACCUGCAUCUACUACUAUUACUCCACACAUCGACCGCUAUCCACCAUGCAUCUAGAGUAUUAAGUUCAAGAGAACAGAGUAACUGAGGGAGUCCUGGAUUAGGGGGUCUCCGGACAGCCGGACUAUCUCCAUCAGCCGGACUGUUAGACUAUGAAGAUACAAGAUUGAAGACUUCGUCUCGUGUCCGGAUGGGACUCUACUUGGUGUGGAAGGCAAGCUAGGCAAUACGUAUAUGGAUAUCUCCUCCUUUGUAACCGACCUUGUGUAACCCUAACCCUCUCCGAUGUCUAUAUAAACCGAAGGGUUUUAGUCCGUAGGACAACAACCACAACAUACAAUCAUACCAUAGGCUAGCUUCUAGGGUUUAGCCUCUCUGAUCUCAUGGUAGAUCCACUCUUGUACUACCCAUAUUAUCAAUAUUAAUCAAGCAGGACGUAGGGUUUUACCUCCAUCAAGAGGGCCCAAACCUGGGUAAAACUUCGUGUCCCCUGCCUCCUGUUACCAUCCGGCCUAGACGCACAGUUCGGGACCCCCUACCCGAGAUCCGCCGGUUUUGACACCGACAUUGGUGCUUUCAUUGUGAGUUCCUCUGUGUCGUCGCUGUUAGGCUCGAUGGCUCCUACUAUCAUCGAUGGCGAUGCAGUCCAGGGUGAGACUUUUCUCCCCGGACAGAUCUUCGUAUUCGGCGGCUUUACACUGCGGGCUAAUUCGCUUGGCCAUCUAGAGCAGAUUGAAAGCUACGCCCCUGGCCGUCAGGUCAGAUUUGGAAGUUUGAACUACACGGCCGACAUCCAUGGAGACCUGAUCUUCGAUGGAUUCGAACCACAGCCGGGCGCGCAGCACUGUCGUGAUGGGUAUGACCUAGCUCUGCCGCCGAACAGUACCCCAGAAGCCGUGCCCGCAUCAGCUUCGACCUUUAGUUCGGAGCCAACUGCGCCAAUCGAGGAUGGGUGGUUACACACCGCCUCAGGGGCUGCAGUCUCAACGGCGAUCGAGCCGAACACCAUCAUAAUCCUCUGCGCAGCCCGUGACUCCAAGGUGUCGGACUCUUUUUCUGACUCUGAACCGCCCGUGCCCCUGCCAAUCAAAUCUGAUUGGGCGCCGAUCAUGGAAUUCACUGCCGUGGAUAUCUUUCAGCACUCGCCCUUCGACGACAUUCUGAAUUCACUAAGGUCUCUCUCUUUGUCAGGAGAGCCCUGGCCGGAUUAUGGCCGACAGGACUGGGAUUCGGACGACGAAGAGAUUCGACGCCCACCCACCACCCACUUAAUAGCCACUGUCGAUGACUCAACCGACAUGCUCGACUUCGACUCCGAAUACAUCAACGGUAUGGACGACGAUGCCGGAGGCGAAGAGGAACCACCGCCCACAGGGCGCUGGACGUCCACUUCAUCAUAUGACAUAUACAUGGUGGACACACCAAAAGAAGACGACGACGAGGAACGAAAGGACGCACCGAAGGCUUGUUCCAUCGAGAAGCAGUCAAAGCGGCGGCGCAAGCGCCUCCCCAAAUCCCGCCUCGAUAGAAAUAACAAUCAUACAGACCCAGCGUUGGAGCAUGGCGAACCACUGCCGGACCACGGCAAUACGGAGAAUCAAACUGAACAAACCAAUUCUGUCAAAGAUAAUAGUCCGGACGACAUAUCACCGGACAGGCACUCGGAGCAGCAGAAUGCCCGUCAAAGGCUUGUUGCCACCGCGAGGAGUCUGAAAAAGCAGAAGGAAAAGUUCAAGGUUACGCAAGACACACUCCAAAUCAGAUGCAGUAAAGUACUCAACACAGCAGCGAGGUAUGGCGACAAUCGCCCCACCAAGAGCUACCCAAAGCGGAAGUUGCUACCUGAAUUCGAUGAGGAGGCUUCAGACCCCCCCCCCCACAACCAAAAAUCAAAACAGCCACCUGGCCGGAUAGACGACCUCACGGCCAACAUCGAGCGGCAAACAACGCCACUCACAAGCCAAUACGCGAUCCACACGAGGGCUCGCACCAAAAGGACGGCGCAACCAGAUCCAUCUAUGGACCACGCAAGCGCGCCCUAGCAUACAACGUAACACAACAAACAUCCGAACAAUGCGGUACACCUAGAUACAGGGGUGCCGCACACCCCCUAUGUUUCACCGAUGAGGUGCUGGACCAUGAAUUUCCAGAGGGAUUCAAACCCAUAAACAUAGAGGCAUGCGACGGAACAAUAGACCCUGGGGUCUGGAUUGAGGAUUAUAUCCUCCAUAUCCAUAUGGAUCGAGGAGAUGAUCUCCACGCCAUCAAGUACCUACCCCUCAAGCUCAAAGGGCCAGCUCGUCACUGGCUUAAAGGCCUCCUCGAAAACUCCAUAGGAAGCUGGGAAGAGCUCGAAGACGCUUUUCGGGCAAAUUUUCAAGGAACUUAUAUCCGACCUCCAGACGCGGACGAUUUGAGCCAUAUAACUCAACAGCCCAGAGAGUCGGCCCGAAAACUUUGGAACAGGUUUCUUACUAAAAAGAACCAAAUUGUCGAUUGUCCGGACGCCGAAGCCCUGGCAGCUUUUAAGCAUAGCGUCCGUGACGAAUGGCUCGCUAGACACCUCGGCCAAGAAAAGCCGAGAACAAUGGCAGCAUUAACAAGCCUCAUGACCCGCUUUUGCGCGGGUGAGGACAGUUGGCUAGCCAGAUGCAGCACCAGCGACCCCAGUACAUCUGAAGCUAGAGAUGGAAACAGGAAAUCACGGCGCAACAGCAGUAACAAACGCCAGAACAAAGAAGACAACACGAAGAGCACGGUAGUAAACGCCGGAUUCAAAAGCUCUCGGCCAGGUCAGCAAAAGCCGCCCUCUAAAGGCACCAGAGAUGAACUGUCCAGCCUAAACAAAAUUCUGGACCAAAUAUGUCAGAUCCAUAGCACCCCUGGUAAACCUGCUAAUCAUACCCACAGAGAAUGUUGGGUCUUCAAGCAGUCCAGUAAGCUCAACAUCGUACACAAAGGGGAGGAUACACCAAGCGAGGACGAGGAUGAGCCUCUCAAGCAAGACACUGGGGAACAAAAGAAAUUUCCACUAGAAGUCAAAAUAGUAAACGUGUUACACGUGAUCAAGGGAAGAAACAAAACGGCACUCCCAAAACAGUAUGCCCAAGGGCCUAUCACCGCGGAGUCCCGCCACUGGUCGUCUCAACCGAUCACUUUCGACCAUCGUGAUUACUCAGCAAGUAUCCGGCGUGUAGGAUGGGCUGCCCUGGUAUUAGACCCAAUAAUUGACGGAUAUCACUUCACACGAAUCCUGAUGGACGGUGGCAGUGGUCUAAACCUGAUAUAUCAGGAUACAAUCCGCGAAAUGGGGAUAGACCCAACAAAAAUUUGCCAUAGCAAUACUACCUUUAAAGGAGUAACGCCAGGCCCAGGGGCUCAUUGCACGGGCUCCCUGCUACUAUAAGUUAUAUUCGGCUCCCCCGAUAACUUCCGUAGCGAACAUUUAACCUUCCACAUCGCUCCGUUCCAAAGCGGCUAUCAAGCACUACUCGGACGCGAAGCUUUCACUCACUUUAAUACAAUACCGCACUACGCUUCCCUCACACUCAAGAUGCCCGGACCACGUGGCAUCAUUACAGUAAAUGGAAGUAUUAAGCGGUCUUUGUGCACCGAAGAGAGUGCGGCUGCUUUGGCAGCCGCACACUAAAAAUGGCCUCACCAACUAAAGCAUUUAACAGGUCGUCAAGACCUCCGACACGGUUAGACGAGUCCGGCACAGGUAUAUGUAAUUCAUACCGGAUCAAUGGUCACACCCCUAUACAAGGGGCUCAACGUGCGCAGACAAGUGGCAAUUUUUACUCAUCUGGAAUUAUACUUGGUUCCUUUAAAAACUAUCCUUUUGCACGACAACUUUUUCACCUAAGUUCCUCUCUUUUACACAUGAUCAUCGUGCUACACCCGUCCAGGAUACGGCACAACGGAGACACAGGCGCAGACGUGCAGCAGGAACCCGCUCCAAGGAUUCUUUUUAGAUUAAGACCCUGCGUAAACCUUUUUUACUGUCUCUUGUUGAUACAUAUCCACCGAAUUCUUAGCACAGUUGAGAAGGAUGUCGACGUCUUGGCAUGUGGCCACGUCAGAAUAAUGCACGUACCUGGACACAAGGGGCUUCUUACGAAGGGCACUAUUUAGGCCCGGUUUAUACCAUAAAGACCGAAUACCUUAGGGAGUGUUCGGCGUCGCGAGUUUGGCCUUAUAUGCAUCAGCUCCGAAUCAUUGUUUGGUGAAAUGUUGGGUUUGCCUGGCUCCUGUGUUUUGGUGCCUUACGUUCCGCUUUACCGGCUAAGGUAGCACCAGGAGAACUACUGCGAUUGUGCCCUGGUUCAUCCAGGUGAGCACCUCAGUAGAGAAAGCCGAAAACUGACUGUCAUGAUAUAGCGUGAUACCGGUCAACCACUCGGUGACCUAUCGAAAUGUUAGAAUUCCUCCGCCUUAACGAAGGGCCGUUUUCCGGCCAUGCAUGUACGCACCCCGCGAUCGGGAGAGUGGGGAGCCACCAGGGGCUAUCUAGUAGCCCCACUGUCAAACUCCUAUGGCUAAGUGAAAGUGUUAAAGCAUUAUAGUCCGGUUGCCUUGCUCGCUACGCUAUCACCUCCUUAAUAGGACCAAGACGUUGGGUUAAGUGUGAACACGCGUUUUUUGCGAGCACCCCCGCAUUCUAUGCAUGGGGGUUGAAGCCGAUGGCUGCAAUCUUUCAGGUUAUACACAGGUAUACAUAAACGGCUGCACAGGAGGCAUCAUACUACUUUCAGGAAAAAGUAUAAAAAUAACCUUAUAAAAAUUCAUAAAAGCAUUGUGCUUACAAUGAGAAUACAUAUCACUCAAACAUAAUAUUUUUGGAGCACUGGGCCUCUAUCAAACGAGCACCCUCGAGAACCUCCUCGAAAUAGUGCUCGGUAGCCACCCGGCCUAUGGCUGAACCCUGCGCCGCAACAGUGGUAGCGUCCAUCUCCGCCCAGUAUGCUUUAACACGGGCAAGGGCCAUCUGCGAGCCUUCUAUGCACGCCGACCUUUUCAUCGCAUUAAUGCGCGGCACCGCAUCAAGGAACUGCUGCACUAAGCUGAAAUAGCUGUUCGGCUUUGGCCUUUCUGGCCAUAGCUGAUCCACAACAGACCUCAUGGCAAGUCCGGACAACCUAUUCAGUUCGGCCCAUUCGGCUAGCUGGUCAGUCAAUGAAAGCGGACGCUCUGGAACGUGGAAUUGCGUCCAGAACAGUUUGUCCACUUCACAAUCUAUCUGACCUUGGAAGUACUUGGCCGCAUCGGCAGCGCUCGCCGCCAAAUCCAUAUACGCAUCUGCCGAACUCCACAGCCGAUCCACAGGGGCAUACCGUGGAUCUCCGAACUUCCUUCGCAACAUGAAGGGUUUCCCAGCCGCAAUAUCCCCGGCUUCUCGCAGCUCCUCCUUCUUCGCUCUCAUAGCAGAACGGGUGUCUUUGUCCGCCGUCGCGGCCUUCUCAAGGUCCGUUGCCUUAGCUCGGUUUUCUUUCUCAAGGACCCGGCAACGGUCGGCAGUGUCUUUUAAUUCUACGGCCAUCUUGGCCAUCUUCUCCUGGCUCUCGCAAUGUGCGGCCUUCUCGGCUUUCAACUCUUCGGCCGCCUUCAAAGCAGCAGCAUUACUAAUCCUCGCUUGUUCCUUGGCUCGGGCAAGUUCCGUCCGCAAGGCUUCCAUGGUGGCAGCUCCAUCUGCAGUCACAACAUAUUAAAGAUAUUGGCAUUAUGUUGCUCUUACUAUGUGGCAUUCACCGGAUAAUAACACUUACCCUGUGCCUCGUCAAGCCUCUUGUUAACAAGCUUGAUGUCGGCGUCUGCCACAUCCAGUUGUCAUUUUAAUUUGGCAAACUCACUAGUUCGGCUAGCCACCGGAGCUUCCACCACCUGCACAUAGGGGCAGUCUAGUUAUUGCCUGUGAAUAUGAUCCUCUGUUCGCCGCCGUUCACGACGACAACCAGAGUCUCAGGGGCUACUAUCUACACAGGGCACACCUAACAUGUGCAGUACUAUCACAUAUUAUCUCACGUACCUCAGAGCCCAUCAGAAGACUCAUAAAGGCUUCAUGUAAUCCGCUUUCGGCGGACAAGAUUCUCUCCAUCACCGUACCCAUCAGCAUACGGUGUUCUUCUGAGAUGGCCGCUCGCCCCACCAACUCCCUCAGAACGUCCGACCGCACAUCAGACGGUGCCGGACUCUUUUGUAUGCUCUCUUCGGGAGCCGGACACUGGGGACUUCGGGGGUCUACGGGAUUAUCUUCUGGCCUCACCGGAUCCGGAGAGGCCCUCCGUGACGACACUUCGGAGUCACCUGCUUCUGGAGCGGAGGAGUCCGGGGGAGGCGUUUCGCUCUCCAUCAUCUCUGGAAGAAGAUCCCCUGAAGACGAGCUCAUUUGAGAGGGGCUAAGGCCCGAACUGCAAUAUAUAUGCGGUGGCUAUUUUCUCAGAGAAAAAAGAUAGCAUACCUUUACUAUUAAAGUACUUUGGAUCACUUACGACUCGUUGGAGGNNNNNNNNNNNNNNNNNNNNNNNNNNNNNNNNNNNNNNNNNNNNNNNNNNNNNNNNNNNNNNNNNNNNNNNNNNNNNNNNNNNNNNNNNNNNNNNNNNNNNNNNNNNNNNNNNNNNNNNNNNNNNNNNNNNNNNNNNNNNNNNNNNNNNNNNNNNNNNNNNNNNNNNNNNNNNNNNNNNNNNNNNNNNNNNNNNNNNNNNNNNNNNNNNNNNNNNNNNNNNNNNNNNNNNNNNNNNNNNNNNNNNNNNNNNNNNNNNNNNNNNNNNNNNNNNNNNNNNNNNNNNNNNNNNNNNNNNNNNNNNNNNNNNNNNNNNNNNNNNNNNNNNNNNNNNNNNNNNNNNNNNNNNNNNNNNNNNNNNNNNNNNNNNNNNNNNNNNNNNNNNNNNNUAGCCAGUCCUGGUCAAAAGAGCGAACUCUCAGAAAUAACUUCGAAUAAAAGAUAGGGUGUUCGGCUAGAGGGUUUCUUACUUGUUCGGCGGCGCGGUUACUGCUCAGGCCCGCGUCCUCGGUAAUAUCCGGACAUUCUCCUUGAGGUCCGAAGAAUGACUUGUACAUCUCCUCAUGUGUCAGGCCGAGGAAACUUUGAAUGGCACGUGGUCCCUCUGGGUUGAACUCCCACAAGCGAAGGGGCCGGCGUUUGCAAGGCUGGACUUGAUGAACCAGCAUAACUUGUACUACCACAACCAAAUUAAAAUCUCCCUUGAAGAGAUCUCGGAUGCGGCUUUGCAGAAUAGGCACGUCCUUGGCUGGACCCCAACUCAGACCCCUACUAAUCCAUGACAUCAGUUGUGGUGGGGGGCCCGAGCGGAAAGCGGGGGCAGCCGCCCACUUGGCACUUCUGGGAGCCAUGACAUAAAACCACUCUCGUUGCCAUAAUUCGGACACCUCUGGAAAGAAACCUUUCGGCCAUGGAGCUCCUGCCAUCUUGCCUAUUGAUGCACCUCCGCACGCUGCAUGUUGCCCCUCGAUCAUCUUCGGCUUUACUUCAAAGGUCUUGAGCCACAGGCCGAAGUGAGGGGUAACGUGGAGGAAGGCCUCACACGCGACAAUAAAUGUUGUGAUAUGGAGAAAGGAGUCCGGAGCUAGAUCGUGGAAAUCUAGCCCGUAAUAGAACAUCAAGCCCCUGACGAAAGGAUCCAGAGUGAGGCCUAGACCUCGGAGGAAGUGGGAGACGAACACAACGUUCUCGUUGGGUUCGGGAGUAGGGACGAUCUGUCCUCGAGCAGGCAGCCGAUGCGAAACCUCGGCGGUCAGAUAUCUAGCCUCCCUCAACUUCUUAAUAUCCUCUUCCGUAACGGAGGAGGGCGUCCAUCGGCCUUGAAGGCUGGAUCCGGACAUGGUUGAAGAUCCGGAGCACCUAACCUGGGCUUUGGGUGUUAGAACUCGAGGUGGGGGAAGGGUUCAAUUGAGCAUGAGAGGGAAAAAGCAAAAACCAUGUCCCCUUAUAAAGAGGGAGAAUGUCAAGUGUCCUCUCCGUAGCCGUUUGGGACUUGUCUAUAAUCUAGGAGUCCUAGACACGGUUGGGUUACCCACGACCACAGUAAUGAGAAUCCCGGAAUUAGGGGCACACGAUCUCUGCUUUGACAGGACGUGUCAAGAAACCGCCUCGUGUUAUGUGUGGAGCUGGUUAAAAGAAACGGUUCGAAUAAUCACCGGGCCAUGACAUAACGUCAUGCUGCCAAAACAAGCCAGCAAAUUAGAUCUGCGGAAAAAUUAUUCUCUCUGUGGUGGAAUGUGGAACUUAUUUUGCAGGGUCGGACACUAUCCUCGUAUUCAAAUUCUUCUGUGAUGUAUUCGGAGAUGGAACCCGCCUUGCAAUGCCGAAGACAAUACUGCGCACCGGACUCAUCGUCAUUGAAGCCUAGUUCAGGGGCUACUAAGGGAGUCCUGGAUUAGGGGGUCUCCGGACAGCCGGACUAUCUCCAUCAGUCGGACUGCUAGACUAUGAAGAUACAAGAUUGAAGACUUCGUCUCGUGUCCGGAUGAGACUCUACUUGGCGUGGAAGGCAACCUAGGAAAUACGUAUAUGGAUAUCUCCUCCUUUGCAACCGACCUUGUGUAACCCUAACCCUCUCCGGUGUCUAUAUAAACCGAAGGGUUUUAGUCCGUAGGCCAACAACCACAACAUACAAUCAUACUAUAGGCUAGCUUCUAGGGUUUAGCCUCUCUGAUCUCGUGGUAGAUCUACUCUUGUACUACCCAUAUCAUCAAUAUUAAUCAAGCAGUACGUAGGGUUUUACCUCCAUCAAGAGGGCCCGAACCUGGGUAAAAUUGCGUGUCCCCUGCCUCCUAUUACCAUCCGUCCUAGACACACAGUUCGGGACCCCCUACCCGAGAUCCGCCGGUUUUGACAAUGACAGUAAUGCUUUAAGCAAGAUGACUGAUGUAGAGGGAUAAAUUCAUGCAAUAUGAUAAAACCCCAUCUUGUUAUCCUCGAUGGCAACAAUACAAUAUGUGCCUUGCUGCCCCUACUAUCACUGGGAAAGGACACCGCAAGAUUGAACCCAAAGCUAAGCACUUCUCCCAUUGCAAGAAAGAUCAAUCUAGUAGGCCAAACCAAACUGAUAAUUCAAAGAGACUUGCAAAUAUAACCAAUCAUACAUAAAAGAAUUCAAAGAAGAUUCAAAUAUUGUUCAUAGAUAAACUUGAUCAUAAACCCACAAUUCAUCAGUCCCAACAAACACACCACAAAAGAAGAUUACAUCGAAUAGAUCUCCACAAGAGAGGGGGAGAACUUUGUAUUGAGAUCCAAAAAGAGAGAAUAAGCCAUCUAGCUAAUAACUAUGGACCCGAAGGUCUGAGGUAAACUACUCACACUUCAUCGGAGAGGCUUUGGUGUUGAUGUAGAAGCCCUCCGUGAUCGAUGCCCCCUCCGGCGGAGCUCCGGAACAGGCCCCAAGAUGGGAUCUCAUGGAUACAGAAAGUUACGGCGGUGGAAUUUGGGUUUUGGCUCCGUAUUUGAUCGUUUGGGGGUACGUAGGUAUAUAUAGGAGGAUGGAGUACGUCGGUGGAGCAACAGGGGCCCCACGAGGGUGGAGGGCGCGCCUGGGGGGUAGGCGCACCCCCUACCUCAUGGCCUCCCUGUUGGUUUCUUGACGUAGGGUCCAAGUCUCCUGGAUCUUGUUCGUUCCAAAAAUCACGUUUCUGAAGGUUUCAUUCCGUUUGGACUCCGUUUGAUAUUCCUUUUCUUCGAAACCCUAAAAUAGGGGAAAAAACAAUUCUAGGCUGGGCCUCCGGUUAAUAGGUUAGUCCCAAAAAUAAUAUAAAAGUGGAUAAUAAAGCCCAAUAAUGUCCAAAACAGGAGAUAAUAUAGCAUGGAGCAAUCAAAAAUUAUAAAUAUGUUGGAGACGUAUCAUCUCCCGCGCCUUGAUCCAGCAAAGGGAGAGGGAGAGGUUGGGGAAGACUCCGUCCAGCAGCAGCACAAUGGCGUGGUGGUGGUGCAGGAGCGUGGCACUCCAGCAGGGCUCCGCCAAGCACUGCGAGAGACGAGGAGGGAGAGGGGUAGGGCUGCGCCAAGAGAGAGGGAGACUCGUGUCUCUGGCAGCCCCAAAAACCCCACUAUAUAUAGGGGGAGGGAGCGGUUGUGCCCCCAUCUAGGGUUCCCCCCUUAGGGGUGGCGGCCAGCCCUAGAUGCAUCUAGGGGGCGGCCAGAGGGGGAGAGAGGGGGGGCGCACCCUAGGUGGGCCUUAGGCCCAUCUGAGCCUAGGGUUUCCCCCUUCUCCCCUUCCUUGCGCCUUGGGCCUCUUGUGGGAGGCGCACCAGCCCACCUAGGGGCUGGUCCCUUACCACACUUGGCCCACGCAAGCCUCCGGGGCUGGUGGCCCCUCCCGGUGGACCCUCGAACCCUUUCGGUGGUCCACGUACGUUGCCGAUAAUGCCCAAAACACUUCCGGUGUCCAAAACGGGACUUCCCAUAUAUAAAUCUUUACCUCCAGACCAUUCCGAAACUCCUCGUGACGUCCGGGAUCUCAUCCGGGACUCUGAACAACAUUCGGUAACCACAUACUUCUAUUCCCAAUAACCCUAGCAUCAUUGAACCUUAAGUGUGUAGACCCUACGUGUUCGGGAACCAUGCAGACAUGGCCGAGACAUCUCUCCGGCCAAUAACCAAUAGCGGGAUCUGGAUACCCAUGUUGGCUCCCACAUGUUCCAUGAUGAUCUCAUCGGAUGAACCACGAUGUCAAGGAUUCAAUCAAUCCCGUAUAUGAUUCCCUUUGUCUACCGGUAUAGCACAUGCCCGAGAUUCGAUCGUCGGUAUACCGAUACCUUGUUCAAUCUCGUUACGGCAAGUCUCUUUAUUCAUUCCGUAACACAUGAUCCUGUGACCAACCGCUUAGUCACAUUGAGCUCAUUAUGAUGAUGUCUUAUCGAGUGGGCCCAGAGAUACCUCUCCAUCAUACGGAGUGACAAAUCUCAGUCUCGAUUCGUGCCAACCCAGCAGAUACUUUCGGAGAUACCCGUAGUGCACCUUUAUAGCCACCCAGUUACGUUGUGACGUUUGGCACACCCAAAGCAUUCAUACGGUAUCCGGGAGUUGCACAAUCUCAUGGUCUAAGGAAAAGAUACUUGACAUUAGAAAAGCUUUAGCAGACGAACUACACGAUCUUGUGCUAUGCUUAGGAUUGGGUCUUGUCCAUCACAUCAUUCUCCUAAUGAUGUAAUCCUGUUAUCAACGACAUCCAAUGUCCAUGGUCAGGAAACCAUAACCAUCUAUUGAUCAACGAGCUAGUCAACUAGAGGUUCACUAGGGACAUGUUGUGGUCUAUGUAUUCACACAUGUAUUAUGAUUUUCAGAUAACACAAUUAUGGCAUGAACAAUAGAAAAUUAUCAUGAACAAGGAAAUAUAAUAAUAACUAUUUUAUUAUUGCCUCUAGGGCAUAUUUCCAACACCCCUUUCCCUAGUCCAAUUCGGACCAGUCCAUGGGGACGGGGCGCGGCUGUCGGUGUCAAAAUCGGCGGAUCUCGGAUAGGGGGUCCCGAACUGUGCGUCUAAGGCGGAUGGUAACAGGAGGCGGGGGACACAAUGUUUACGCAGGUUCGAGCCCUCUCGAUGGAGGUAAUACCCUACUUCCUGCUUGAUUGAUCUUGAUGAUAUGAGUAUUGCAAGAGUUGAUCUACCAUGAGAUCGGAGAGGCUAAACCCUAGAGGCUAGCCUAUGGUAUGAUUUUUGUUGUCUUAUGGACUAAAACCCUCUGGUUUAUAUAGACACCGGAGGGAGCUAGGGGUACACAGAGUCGGUUACAAGGGAGGAGAUCUACAUAUCCGAAUUGCCAAGCUUGCCUUCCACGCAAAGGAGAGUCCCAUCCGGACACGGGACGAAGUCUUCAAUCUUGUAUCUUCAUAGUCCAACAGUCCGGCCAAAGUAUAUAGUCCGGCUGUCCGAGGACCCCCUAAUCCAGGACUCCCUCAGUAGCCCCUGAACCAGGCUUCAAUGACAACGAGUCCGGCGUGCAGAUUGUCUUCGGCAUUGCAAGGCGGGUUCCUCCUCCGAAUACUCCAUAGAAGAUUUUGAACACAAGGAUAGUGUCCGGCUCUGCAAAACAAAUUCCACAUACCACCGUAGAGAGUAUAAUAUUUCCUCAAAUCUAAUCUGCUGACAACUUUUCAUAACGUGACAUCACGCCAUGGCCCGGUUAUUAUUUGAACCGUUUUUCUCAACCAGCUACUGCACAUAUUGUGAGGCGGUUUUCUUGGCACGUCUUGUCGAAGCAGAUAUCGUGUCCCCUUAUCCCGGGAUCCUCAUCAAUACGGGUGUGGGUAACCCAACCGCGCCAUCAAUCAUGACGCUUGGGGAAUAAGCGAGUUUUACCAGGCAAGUGGGGAGGCGCAUAGUUUCUUCCGCCCUUUAAAAGGGGUAAGGGUUCCACCUUUUUACCCACGCGUUCUUCUCUCAUGCCCAUCCAUUCUUGCGCACUCGAGCUCUAGCACCCAAGUUCGCAUUUUCUCCGAAGAACCACUCCAAAUAUGUCCGGAGCGGGAGGCAAGUGGAUGGCCUCUACCAUCCGGAAGAAGGACAUCAAGAAACUUCGGGAGGCCGGGUAUCUAGCCCAGAAAAUCGGCCACCAUCUCCCGGCGGCGGGACAAAUCGUCCCUACCGCGGAACCCCAUGAAAGGGUCAUAUUCCUCCCUCAUUUUAUCCGUAGGCUAGGGUUUCCCCUCCACCCAUUUGUUCGCGGCAUCAUGUAUUAUUACGGGAUCGAUUUUCAUGAUCUAUCCCCCAAUUCCUUACUCAACAUCUCGACAUUCAUUGUCGUGUGUGAGGCUUUUCUCCACAUCCCGUCACACUUCGGCUUAUGGCUGAAGAUCUUUAAUGUGAAGCCCAAAGUAGUGGGCGGUGAGCAUGCUGAGUGCGGGGGCACUAUGGUGAGCAAGAUGCCCAACGUCACAUGGCCAACAGGUACCUUCAACGAUUUUGUCAGGGAGUGGCAACAGGAGUGGUUUUACAUUACUGAGCCGCGCGGCGCGAAGCGGGCCGCUGCUCCCGAGUUCCGAUCCGGAGCCCCUCUGCGGCUCACGUCCUGGCUCAAGAAGGGCCUGGACUGGUCUUCGUCUGACGAACUGUUGGCGCUCCAGACGCGCGUCAAGGAUAUGGAAGACAAGAAUAACGAACUUGUCAAUGUAGUCCAGGUGAUGUUAGUCCGUCGGAUCCUACCUUGUCAACACCGGACUUGCAAUCUAUGGGAAUUCGAUCCGGCCAAGCACCAGACCCUGCGAGAGCUCUUUGGCUCCUCGCACGAAGACAUCUGGAAGGUGCUUUUUAAGUCCGGCAAAUCAUGGCCGGACUCGGCCGAGGACCGCGGGUACCAACUGUCCCGCCCUGUAAGCUCGGUAAGUUACCAUAUGUUUUAUUCGCAUAACUCAAGGGAAAUGCUUAAUGUGUUUUACACAACUCUCCUAGGGCUGUACGAAGAAGGAGGGGAUGAUCCAAUGUUCGGCCCCGCUGCCCGAAGAACCGGCCGGCCCACUUUUGACGAAGAUGUUGGACCCGAUGCCUUACAAGGUGCCGGAAAAGAAGGCCGAAAAGGAGGCUAAAAAGACCCGGGGCAGCCUUCGUCACCGUGCCCGACCCACCUCCGAAGAGGACGAGGAGGAGGAAGAUGAAUCCUCAGCAGGGGGAGAAAGAAGAGGAUGGCCUCCGUACACUUGGAGGCCGAAUCGCCUAAAAGGGGGAAAACUCUUCUUCCAAAAGAGUCCACUGCUGUCGCCGAUAGCAGCCCGGUGUGGGAUCCUAGGGCCCAUCCCCUAGUGAACUCGUAAGUAUAUAGAAUCCGAACAUGUUCAUGUGUCCGAACUCAUCGUGGCAUAGCAUUUUAACAUGAGCCAUAUUUUUUGUAGUCCGACGGGGUCCCGUUCUGAACAAUCCUCAUCCGAGGAUUUGCUGAGCUCAGAUGCUAUGGAGAGCAGGACGCCUCCGAAGGCCCCUCCCCCCAAACAUGUGAUCAACACCGAGGCUUCGUCCCAGAGGGACUCCAUCCAAGGAGGGGCAGAGAAAAUCAUGAAGGCGGUGCCUGGAGGUCAAACGUCAGGGGCCGGAGACAUGGGGGAGAAGAUCCCCACAAGAGUCGAUGACGGGGACCAUCUUGAAUUCGGCCCCCAGCCGGACACAGUUUCGGAGACCAAUACGACUCCGGAAUCAAGCAGGCGGCCCUCCUCGGUUGGCGAGGGCAUCCCUGUUCCACCGGCGACCUCUAUCCAACCAGAGGCGUCGGGUGCUUUAUUGGCGGCGCUGAAGAGCGCCUCCAUCGUCAAUGAACACCAUGCCCUUAUGGGUUCGGUGAUUGAGAAGAUUCAGUCCACUGAAAAUGGACUGAAUGAAGCCUGUAUCAACCUUAUAAGAGGUUUUGAGGUAUGUUUUAUACGGUUUCAAAAAGUGUCAUAGUAUGGAUAGUAGCCCCUGAUACACUGUCCGGUGAACGAAGAACUGGAUAGGGGAUCAAAUAUAUUUUUCGCGGGAAGACUCAUUUGAUGACAUCUAUCUCUCUUCUUUUGUAAGCAGGCGUCUGUAGCAGCUACUGCCGCUCAUACCGCGGAGGUUUCCGAACUGAAUCAAAGUCUGGAGCGGGACGAAGCGGAGCUUGGCCGGUUAAAAAGGCACUUGGAAGAUCAACAAGGUAUGCACAAAUCUUGUUUGCGUUCAGUGCGAACGAACUUUCAGUAUGAUAGAAUAUGUGUCAUGAUUUGCGCCAGGGGUGAUGACCGAAGUUGAGGCUCUGAACAAGGUUGUUGCUGAGGCCGAUGAAAAGGCAGCCGCAGAGCAGGCUCUUCGUGAGAAGCACGAGGCCAAGGUUGUGGAAGCUAAGCGAGAGCUCCAAGAGGCCAUGAAAAAAUGCGAGACCCUGGAGCAGAGUUUAACGGAGAAAGAAUCCGAACUCACCAGGUCUCAUCAGGCCGUGCACGAUGCUCAUGGGGAAACCCAAGACGCCCUGCUGGAGAUCCAAGAGGCAAGGGAGAUCACGGCGGGUAAGGUCUUUUUCCAUGUGAAGCAAGUAUUUCAGGAGAAAAUUAUGCUUUAUAAUUUUAAGUUCGGAUUUCUCUAGGGGUAUUUGCGGAACUUCCUUGCAGCAUAUCGGAUGCCGCCCAAUUCUACCGAGCCGAAGAGGGGAAUACUAUGGAUAAGCUCUUCUGGUCGCAGUAUUUGGCACCAAAUUAUCCGGUGCCUUUUACCGAUCAACUGAAAUAGCUGAUCGAACUGCAUAAGGCGACCGAACUAGCCAUGAAGGAUUUGAUUAUCCAUCUAUGGCCUGCCGAGCCGAUUCCAGGUAGCUACUUUGGGCUCGUGAAGCGACUUGUUAGUGCCUGCCCUCGACUUGACGUCAUCAAGCGGUCGUUCUAUAUAGAAGGUGCAUGAAUGGCCUUUGCCCGCGCAAAGGUGCACUGGGGGAAGAUGGAUGCUGAACGCUGAUGACCGAGGGACCGCCAGAGGGAAAGGAGCACCGCAAGCCCGAAUUGUAUUAUGAAAGUGUCCUGAAAGGAUCCUGCCUUGCGGCGGAGCAAUGCACCAAGGACAUUGUAUUUCCAUGAAUAUAGUCAUGUUGUCCUUUGUAAUGUGUGAACAAGGUCAUUUCUAUUAUUUAUUGCAUGUUGUAAAAGUUUACCCUCCUGUGCGGCCGUUUUAUAUAUUAAACCUGAAAAUUGGCCAGUCGUCGGCUUUUGCCCCCUCGUAAGAAAUAUGGGGGUGUUCGGGAUAAACCUGAUCACUCUUUACCCCAAUGUUGGGUCCUUUGAAGGAGGUGUUCAGCACAGCGAACCAGGCAAUCGGACUAUAGGGCUUUAUCAUUCUCACUUAGACAUAUGAGCAUUAGGAAGGUAGGUGCAGCCCCUGGUGUUCGGAAGACCGCAUGAGGGGCCCUAUAGGCACCUGAUCGGAAGAAGAACCGAUCCAUCGCACGCUGCAUUGGUUAUGGCAUUAUGCGGGAGAAAUCCUUAAAGAUUUUACAACCUCUCGAACAGCUGACCAGCUCUCGCCGUAUCAUGACAGUCAGUUUUUGGCUUUCUCUACUGAGGUGCUCGUCCGGAAGAACCGGGACACAAUCGCAGUAGUUCUCCAUGUGCCGCCUUAGCCGAUAUAGCAGAACGUAAGGCAGCAAAACACGGGAGCCGGGCAAACCCAACAUUUGACCCAAGACAUGAUUCGGAGCUGAUGCGUAUAAUGCUAUAAGUUCGAGGUGCCGAACUUCCGUGAAGGUGUUCAGACUUUAUUGUCGUAUUAUGGGUAAAACGAAGCCCCUGGCAAAGGCAUAUCGCGGUGUACAGAUGCCACUUAACAAAAGAGUUUCAAUGAGAAAUAACAGCAAAUAAGUGUCAUAUAAAUCCACAUGUUGUAUUUGAAUGAUACAUCGACACAUAUGAGUACAGGUAAUGUGAUAAAAAGGGGAAUAUGACUGUGGAACCUGCUGGGGCCGGGGAGGAAGAAGAUGUGUGCAGAUCCAGAGUGUAGUCGGAUGGACGUCGCGAGGAAUAUCUAAAGAUUCCCUUGUGCGUUCGAGCUGUUACCAUGUCACUAGUCCCGGUCUGUGCAGAGGUGAGCCUGCAAAGGAAAUGUAAGAAAUAUUUGUGUGCCGGAGAGCGGUUGAGCCGCGAUAUGUCGCAUGUUCUGGACUUCGCCGGAAUGUUUAGUCGAGCCCUGGACGAGCCGGUCUAUCCUGCCGUGAAGUAGUUCGGACUACUUUGAAUGUGUCCGAGGGUUGGGCCGUCGGCUCAAGAUUUGACUGAAAGGUGCCCUCCAUUGCUUCUGGUGUUUAAAGCGGCGGCGUACUCUAUGGUAUCGAGGGAGAGUUCGGCCUUGCCAUUAACCGUGAUGACGCCGCGCGGACCGGCAUCUUGAGUUUACGGUAGGCAUAAUGUGGCACCGUGUUGAAUCGAGCGAACGCAGUUCGCCCGAGCAGUGCCUGAUAAUCACUGCGAAAGGGGACGAUGUCGAAGAUUAACUCUUCGCUUCGGAAGUUAUCCAGAGAUCCAAAGACCACUUCCAGUGUGAUUGAGCCUGUGCAACAGGCCUCUACACCUGGUAUGACACCUUUGAAGGUGGUUUUUGUGGGUUUGAUCCUCAAGGGGUCUAUACCCAUUUUACGCAUUGUAUCCUGAUAAAGCAGGUUCAGGCUGCUACCACCGUCCAUAAGGACUCGAGUGAGGUGGAAUCCAUCAAUGAUAGGAUCAAGGACCAAUGCGGCAGAACAGCCAUGACGGAUACUAGUGGGGUGGUCCCGGCGAUCAAAAGUGAUCGGACAACAAGACCAUGGGUUGAACUUUGGGGCGACUGGCUCCAUCGCGUAGACGUCCCUGAGUGCACGCUUCCAUUCUCACUUGGGGAUAUGGGUUGCGUAUAUCAUGUUCACCGUUUUCACUUGGGGAGGAAAUUUCUUUUGUCCUCCUAUGUUCGGCGGCCGGGGCUCCUCCUCGUCGUCGCUAUGCAGCCCCUUUUCCUUGCUUUCGACAUUCAACUUGCCGCCCUAUUUUAACACCCAGCAUUCUCUGUUGGUGUGGUUGGCUGGCUUAUCGGGGGUGCCGUGAAUUUGACACGAGCGGUCGAAUAUGCGGUCCAAACUGGACGGGUCCGGAUUGUUUCUUUUGAAUAGCUUUUUCCGCUGACUAGAUUUAGAGCCACUGAAUCCGGCAUUGAUUGUCGUGUCUUCGGCGUUGUUGCCGUUGUUGUGGCGCUUGUAUCUGUUGCGACAUGGCUUGCUGUUGCUGUCGCUGGCCUUCAAUGUGCCAGGGUUGCUUGUUGUGUUGUUGCUACGGGCCAACCAGCUAUCCUCGCCCGCGCAGAAGCGGGUCAUGAGUGUUGUGAGGGCUGCCAUGGACUUUGGCUUCUCUUGGCCGAGAUGUCUGACGAGCCACUCAUCACGGAUGUUAUGUUUAAAGGCCGCUAGGGCUUCGGCAUCCGGACAGUUCACAAUUUGGUUCUUUUUGGUUAGGAACCGAGUCCAAAAAUUCCUGGCUGACUCUCCGGGCUGUUGUGUUAUGUGACUUAAAUCAUCAGCAUCCGGUGGUCGCACAUAAGUGCCCUGGAAGUUGUCCAGAAAUGCGUUUGCCAGGUUCUCCCAGCUUCCGAUGGAGUUUGCUGGCAAGAUAUUUAGCCAAUGUCGAGCUGGUCCUUUGAGUUUUAACGGGAGGUACUUGAUGGCGUGUAGAUCAUCCCCACGGGCCAUGUGAAUGUGGAGGAAGAAAUCCUCUAUCCAUACCGCGGGGUCAGUAGUACCAUCGUAUGUUUCAAUGUUCACGGGUUUAAACCCUUCUGGGAAUUCAUGAUCCAUUACUUCAUCAGUGAAGCAUAUGGGGUGUGCGGCGCCUCUGUGCCGGGCUAUGUCAUGACGCAGUUCAUACGAGUCUUGUCUGCUGUGUUCGGCCCGGCCGAAUUUGCUUUUGGUAUAUCCGGCCUGACGGUCGUCGUCAUGUGCUGGGGCGCGCCCUCGUGAUCCGAAGGUCGAUCUUUUGUGUCCUGUUUUGUUUUCCAAUAUGUCUCGCAGGUCCUGCGUGUUCCCCCGGGCCUUGCUGUUCUUGUUUGACUGGCGACGGGGUGCAGGCUAGACUUCGAGCUUAUAUGCCACUUUGUCUCGGCCACGAGGUGGCUGGUCUACCGCAUCAUACGCUGGAAGCGCAGGCUUUAAUGCUUCCUCUUCAAGUUGGGGUAGCAACCUGCGCUUUGGGAAACUUUUGAUUGGGCACUCGAGUUCGUGUUCCUCGGCUGCCAAGACCUCAGUCCAUCUAUCUGCUAGCAGAUCUUGCUCAGCUUGAAGCUGUUGUUGCUUUUUCUUCAGGCUUUUUGUUGUGGCAAUAAGCCGGCGCUUGAAGCGCUCCUGUUCGACGGGAUCCUCAGGCACGAUAAAUUCUUCAUCGCCGAGGCUCACCUCGUCUUCGGAGAGAGGCAUGUAAUUGUCAUCCUCUGAUUCUCCGUCUGCUGCCUGUUCCUUGGGGCUGGCUUGCCCAUCCUCCUGUUCAAAGCCUGACUUGAGGGGAUUGUCUUCGUCUUCGGCACUAUUUGCAGCGUUAUUGUCUCCUGUGCCGGUAUCGCUGUUUUUGCUAUGGCGGGGCUUAGAGCGGCACCAACGACGCCGGUUCUUGGAUUGCUUCUCGGGGGGAUUAUCCUUUGUUUCCUUAUUGCCAUCGCUUUCUUUGGGGGUGUCCACCCUGUAUAUAUCAUACGAUGAGGUGGCAGUCCAGUGCCCUGUGGGCGGUGGUUCCUGUUCAUCUCCCGCAUCGUCGUCCAUACCAUCGAUGUCUUCGGAGUCGAAGUCGAGCAUGUUGGUUAGGUCGUCGACAGUGGCUACUAAGUGGGUGAUGGGUGGGGAACGAAUUUCUUCGCCGUCUGCUCCCCACUCAAGCCGGACAUAGUUCGGCCAAGGGUCUCUUGACAAGGAGAGAUACCAUAAUUAGUUUAGCACGUCGCCUAAGGGCAAGUGCAGAAAGAUAUCCACGGAGGUGAACUCCAUGAUCGGUGCCCAAUCAGAUUGGAUGGGCAUGGACACGAGCGGUUCGGAGUCUGUGGCCGGGGACGAAUCCGGGUGUCCGGCAACACAGGUCUCAUAGGAGGUGAAGUCAGUAUUCGGCUCUAUCGCCGCUGAGCGUGCGGCCUCCAUGGCGGGGUCCAUCCACCCGUCCUCGGACGGCGCGAUCUGUUCCGGAUUGAGGGCUCGAGUAGUUACAUGUGUGAUCUCCCAAACACUGUCCGAUGGCAGAGCUAAAUCAUGCUCAUCGUGACUGUGCGGCGUACCUGACAUGGGUUCGAAUCCAUCGAAGAUCAAGUCUCUGUAGAUGUUGGCGGUAUAGUUUAAGCUUCCAAACCUGACCUGAUGGCUAGGGGCGUAGCUCUUGAUCUGCUUCAGAUGGCCGAGCGAGUUGGCCCACAGUACGAAGUCGCCAAAUACGAAUAUCUGUCCGGGGAGGAAAACCUCACCCUGGAUCGCAUCGUUGCCGAUGAUCGAAGGAGCCAUCAAGCCUUAUGAUGAUGACACAGUGGAACUCUCAAUGAAAGCACCAACGUCGAUGUCAAAACCGGCGGAUCUCGGGUAGGGGGUCCCGAACUGUGCGUCUAAGGCGGAUGGUAACAAGAGGCGAGGGACAGAAUGUUUACCCAGGUUUGGGCCCUCUCGAUGGAGGUAAUACCCUACUUCCUGCUUGAUUGAUCUUGAUGAUAUGAGUAUUACAAGAGUUGAUCUACCACGAGAUCAGAGAGUCUAAAACCCUAGAAGCUAGCCUAUGGUAUGAUUUUUUUGUCCUACGGACUAAAACCCUCCGGUUUAUAUAGACACCGGAGGGAGCUAGGGUUACACAGAGUUGGUUACAAGGGAGGAGAUCUACAUAUCCGAAUUGCCAAGCUUGCCUUCCACGCAAAGGAGAGUCCCAUCCGGACACGGGACGAAGUCUUAAUCUUGUAUCUUCAUAUUCCAAAAGUCCGGCCAAAGUAUAUAAUCCGGCUGUCCGAGGACCCCCUAAUCCAGGACUCCCUCAGCGGCCACCCUUAAGGCCUUUCUCUCCUUUCCUGUAUUGCCCAUUAAGGCCCAAUAUGAAUUCCCGUAACUCUCCGGUACUCCGAAAAAUACCUGAAUCACUCAGAACCUUUCUGAUGUCCGAAUAUAGCCUUCCAAUAUAUCGAUCUUUACGUCUCAACCAUUUCGAGACUCCUCGUCAUGUCCCCAAUCUCAUCCGGGACUCCGAACAAACUUCGGUCAUCAAAUCACAUAACUCAUAAUACAAAUCGUCACAGAACGUUAAGUGUGCGGACCCUACGGCUUCGAGAACUAUGUAGAUAUGACCGAGACUCAUCUCCGGUCAAUAACCAAUAGCGGAACCUGGAUGCUCAUAUUGGUUCCUACAUAUUCUACGAAGAUCUUUAUCGGUCAAACCGCAUAACAACAUACAUUGUUCCCUUUGUCAUCGGUAUGUUACUUGCCCGAGAUUCGAUCGUCGGUAUCUCAAUACCUAGUUCAAUCUCGUUACCGGCAAGUCUCUUUACUCGUUCUGUAAUGCAUCAUCCCGCAACUAACUCAUUAGUCACAUUGCUUGCAAGGCUUAUAGUGAUGUGCAUUACCGAGAGGGCCCAGAGAUACCUAUCCGAUAGACGGAGUGACAAAUCCUAAUCUCAAUCUAUGCCAACUCAACAAACACCAUUGGAGACACCUGUAGAGCAUCUUUAUAAUCACCCAGUUACGUUGUGACAUUUGAUAGCACACAAGGUGUUCCUCCGGUAUUCGGGAGUUGCAUAAUCUCAUAGUGAGAGGAACAUGUAUAAGUCAUGAAGAAAGCAGUAGCAAUAAAACUGAACGAUCAUUAUGCUAAGCUAACGGAUGGGUCUUGUCCAUCACAUCAUUCUCUAAUGAUGUGAUCCCGUUCAUCAAAUGACAACACAUGUCCAUGGCUAGGAAACUUAACCACCUUUGAUUAACGAGCUAGUCAAGUAGAGGCAUACUAGGGGCACUCUGUUUGUCUAUGUAUUCACACAUGUACUAAGUUUCUGGUUAAUACAAUUCUAGCAUGAAUAAUAAACAUUUAUCAUGAUAUAAGGAAAGAUAAAUAACAACUUUAUUAUUGCCUCUAGGGCAUAUUUCCUUCAGGUGGUCGCCGGGAUGAUGAAGAUGGCCACCGGUGAUGAUUUCCCCCUCCAGCAGGGUGCCGGAACGGGGCCUAGAUUGGUUUUUCAUGGCUACAGAGGCUUGCAAUGGAGGAACUUCUGAUCUAGGGUUAUUUCUAAUGGUUUCUCUAUUUAUAGGAUUUUUUGGCGUUGGUUUCACGCGAAGAUGGGCCUCGAGGUGAGCACAACCCACCGGGACGCGCCUGGACCCCCUGGCGCGCCCCGGUGUCUUGUGCCCUACUCCUUCACCUUCUGGUCCUUCCACGAAGCUUCGGGGGUCUCUUUUGUUCCAAAAAAAUGGUCAAAAAGUUUCAGCUCAUUUGGAGAAUUUUUUUUCUGCACAAAAAACAACACCACGGUAGUUCUGCUGAAAACAUCGUCAGUCCGGGUUAGUUCAAUGCAAAUCAUAACAAAACUAUAUCAAAUUGUUGUAAACAUGGCAUGGAUACUUCAUAAAUUAUAGAUACGUUGGAGAUGUAUCAAUAACCUAAUGUGAUACAAAAGUUCUUCGGUUUUCUAUCAUUCGAAAACGGUUUGUUAAUAAGCCAUGAUCAACCUUGUUAAUGAAUCCUUUUUGAGAGACAUAUGGUCGAUGAAUUUGGUAAGCACAACCUUCUGUACUUAUAGUUUGCUCUCUGUUAUUUGAAGUUUAAAUAAAGUAAAAUGCCAUGUUUAUUGAUACGUCCAUUUUGAAUAAUGUUUUCCCACUGUUAUUUAUAGUGUAUUUAUGCAAUAUAAUACUUUGUGGAGUAAUUCUAAUGUUUCUUCUCUCAUAAUAUGCAAGGUUUACACAAAGAGGGAUGCUACUUCUUGAGCUUGCGUUGAUUUUUCCCUUGAAUAUGGAAGGGAGAUGCAGCAAAAUAGAGAUAAGUAUUUCCCUCACUUAAGAACCAAGGUAUCAAUUCAUUAGGAGGAACACACAAGUCUCCAAUAGAUGCAUUGAUAACCCACAAGUAUAGGGGAUCGCAACAGUUUUCGAGGGUAGAGUAUUCAACCCAAAUUUAUUGAUUCGACACAAGGGGAGCCAAAGAAUAUUCUCAAGUAUUAGCAGCUGAGUUGUCAAUUCAACAGCACCUAGAAACUUAAUAUCUGCAGCAAAGUGUUUAGUAGCAAAGUAAUAUGAUAGUAGUGGUAACGGUAGCAAAAGGUAAUGAUAGCAAAAGUAAUGUUUUUGGUAUUUUGUAGUGAUGGUAGCAAUAGCAACGGAAAAGUAAAUAAGAGAAGAAGAAUAUAGGAAAAUCUCGUAGGCAUUGGAUCUGUGAUGGAUAAUUAUGUCGGAUGCAAUCAAUCAUGCAACAGUUAUAACAUAGGGUGACACAGAACUAGCUCCAGUUCAUCAAUGUAAUGUAGGCAUGUAUUCUGAAUAUAGUCAUACGUGCUUAUGGAAAAGAACUUGCAUGGCAUCUUUUGUCCUACCCUCCCGUGGCAGCGGGGUCCUAAUGGAAACUAAGGGAUAUUAAGCAUUAACACAUAGUGAAUACAUGAACUCCUCAAACUACAGUCAUCACCGGUAAGUAUCCCGAUUAUUGUCACUUCGGGGUUAACGGAUCAUAACACAUAGUAGGUGACUAUAGACUUGCAAGAUAGGAUCAAGAACUCUCAAAUAUUGAUGAAAACAUAAUAGGUUCAGAUCUGAAAUCAUGGCACUCGGGCCCUAGUGACAAGCAUUAAGCAUAGCAAAGUCAUAGCAACAUCAAUCUCAGAACAUAGUGGAUACUAGGGAUCAAACCCUAACAAAACUAACUCGAUUACAUGAUAAAUCUCAUCCAACCCAUCACCGUCCAGCAAGCCUACAAUGGAAUUACUCACGCACGGCGGUGAGCAUCAUCAAAUUGGUGAUGGAGGAAGGUUGAUGAUGACGAUGGUGACGGAUUCCCCUCUCCGGAACCCUGAACGGACUCCAGAUCAGCCCUCCCGAGAGGUUUUAGGGCUUGGUGGCGGCUCCGUAUCGUAAAACACGAUGAAUCCUUCUCUCUGAUUUUUUUCUCCCCGAAAGCAAAUAUAUAGAGUUGGAGUUGAGGUCGGAGGUGCUCCAGGGGGCCCAUGAGGUAGGGGGGCGCGCCCCCACCCUCGUGGCUAGGGUGUGGGCCCCCUGGUCUUCAUCUUUUGCAAGGAUUUUUUAUUAUUUCCGAAAAGAUGUUCCGUGAAGUUUCAGGUCAUUCCGAGAACUUUUGUUUCUGCACAUAAAUAACACCAUGGCAAUUCUGCUGAAAACAAUGUCAGUCCGGGUUAGUUCCAUUCAAAUCAUGCAAGUUAGAGUCCAAAACAAGGGCAAAAGUGCUUGGAAAAGUAGAUACGACGGAGACGUAUCAACUCCCCCAAGCUUAAACCUUUGCUUGUCCUCAAGCAAUUCAGUUGAUAAACUGAAAGUGAUAAAGAAAACUUUUACAAACUCUGUUUUCUCUUGUUGUUGUAAAUAUGUAAAGCCAGCAUUCAAGUUUUCAGUAAAGAUUAUGAACUAACCACAUUCACAAUAACGCAUAGGUCUCAUGUUUACUCAUAUCAAUGGCAUAAUCAACUAGCGAGCAAUAAUAUUAAAUCUCGGAUGACAACACUUUCUCAAAACAAUCAUAAUAUGAUAUAACAAGAUGGUAUCUCGCUAGCCCUUUCUGAGACCGCAAAACAUAAAUGCAGAGCACCUUUAAAGAUCAAGGACUGACUAGACAUUGUAAUUCAUGGUAAAAGAGAUCCAGUCAAGUCAUACUCAAUGUAAACUAACAGUAAUGAAUGCAAAUGACAGAGGUGCUCUCCAACUGGUGCUUUUUAAUAAGAGGAUGAUGACUCAACAUAAAAGUAAAUAGAUAGGCCCUUCGCAGAGGGAAGCAGGGAUUUGUAGAGGUGCCAGAACUCGGCUUUGAAAUAGAGGUGAAUACUAUUUUGAGCGGUAUACUUUCAUUGUCAACAUAACAACCAAGAGAUGGCGAUAUCUUCCAUGCUACACACAUUAUAGGCGGUUCCCAAGCAGAAUGGUAAAGUUUAUACUCCCCCUCCACCAACAAGCAUCAAUCCAUGGCUUGCUCGAAACAACGAGUGCCUCCAACUAACAAGAGUCCCAGGGGGAGUUUUGUUUGCAAUUAUUUUGAUUUAGUUUGCAUAAAGCAUGGGACUGGGCAUCCCGGUGACCAGCCAUUUUCUCGUGAGUGAGGAGCGGAGUCCACUCCUCUUGAGAAUGACCCGCCUAACAUGGAAGAUACGGACAACCCUAGUUGAUACAUGAGCUAUUCGAGCAUACAAAACAGGAUAUUUAUUUGAAGGUUUAGAGUUUGGCACAUACAAAUUUACUUGGAACGACAGGUAGAUACCGUAUAUAGGUAGGUAUGGUGGACUCAUAUGGAAUAACUUUCGGGUUUAUGGACUUGGAUGCACGAGCAGUAUUCCCGCUUAGUACAGGUGAAGGCUAACAAAAGACUAGGAAGCGACUAGCUAGAGAGCGACAACAGUCAUGAACAUGCAUUAAAGUUAAUCAACACCGAAUGUAAGCAUGAGUAGGAUAUAAUCCACCAUGAACAUAAAUAUCGUGAAGGCUAUGUUGAUUUUGUUUCAACUACAUGUGUGAACAUGUGCCAAGUCAAGUCACUUAAAUCAUUCAGAGGAGGAUACCACCCUAUCAUACCACAUCACAACCAUUUUAAUAGCAUGUUGGCACGCAAGGUAAACCAUUAUAAGCUCCUAGAUAAUCAAGCAUGGCACAAGAAACUAUGAUCUCUAGUUGUCAUUGCAAACAUGUUUAUUCAUAAUAGGCUGAAUCAGGAAUGAUGAACUAAUCAUAUUUACAAAAACAAGAGAGGUCGAGUUCAUACCAGCUUUUCUCAUCUCAGCCAGUCCAUCAUAUAUCGUCAUAAUUGCCUUUCACUUGCACGACCGAACGAUGUGGAUAAUAAUAAUAAUAAUAGUGCACGUGCAUUGGACUAAGCUGGAAUCUGCAAGCAUUCAAUAAACAGGAGAAGACAAGGCAAUAUGGGCUCUUUUGUCAGAUCAACAAUAAUGCAUAUAAGAGCCACUUCAACAAUUUAAUCAUGGUCUUCUCCUAUCGACCCCAAAGCUCCCAACAAGCGAAAAGAAGAAUGGAAAAUAUUUUUGGGUUUUCUUUUUAAUUACUACUACAAGCAUGGAAAGUAAACUAAUUAAAAGCUACAACUACUUUUUUUUUGUUUUUCUUAAGAUUUAUUAAACACACAAGAAGAAAGCAUAAAAAGGGGAAAUAAACUAGCAUGGAUGAUACAAUGAAAAAGUAUGAGCACCGACAUCUAGCAAUGAGUGUGUGAACAUGAAUGUAAUGUCGGUGAGAAAUACGCACUCCCCCAAGCUUAGGCUUUUGGCCUAAGUUGGUCUAUGGCCACGGUUGGCCUGGCGGAUAUCCAUAGUAAAAGUUGGGGUCGUACUGAGAUGCAGCGGCUAUUGCCUCCUGAGCUGCAGCGUGGCGACGAGCAGCCUUCGCCCUCCUCUCGUACUCAUCUGCCUCCUCUCUGGUAAUAACAUAUCUUCCUUUUGCCUCCUCACAAAGGAACUAGUGAGAUAGUGGUACUGGCGGCAUUUUUCUUCCUCGAAGCUCACAAGAUCAGCAUUACGCAAAUAUGCGUUAAAUUCUUCCUUAAUUCCCGCUCGAUCCAUAAAGUUUUCUGAAGGCCAUUAACAAGGACGCACUGGAGCGUCUCUUGGUGGCUCUUCAUCAGCAUCACGCAUUGCAAGCCUGGGUCCUUGCUUCCUUGAAGAACCACCUUGGUACAUUUUCCUAAGCAUAUUUCUUCCUCUGAAAAAUUUCUGAAAUUUUUAGUAACUUCAAAAUAAAAUUAAACCAAACUCAACAAAAUUGAUAGCAACUACUCCUACAAGUGCCUAGAUCAUAUAUCAUGCAUCAAAACUACUUUUGGCCAUAUAAAUUUGUCAUGCAAGCUCAAGAACAAGGUCACCUAGGCAGCACAAAUUUGCAAUGAAUAAAGCACUAGAACAAAAACUAAUUGGACCAAUGGAGGAGUCACAUACCAAGGAACAAUCUCCCCAAGCAAUUUUGUGAGAGGUGCUUUGAGCAAGGAGAUCGAAAAUGGCAUCAAAAUGAGCUAGAACUCAUGCUUGAGCUGGAUAUUCAUGUUUGUGGGAGGAAGAAGAAGUGUGUGGGUGCAGGAAUAGGUGGAGGAGGGCCACCAUGGGCCCACGAGGCAGGGGGCACACCCUCCACCCUCGUGGCCAGGUGGAUGCCCCCCGUGCUGUGUUCUCAGUGCCAAAUAUUCUCAAAUAUUCCAGAAAAAAUCAUAUUUAAAUUUCAGGGCAUUUGGAGAACUUUUAUUUUCGGGGUAUUUUUAUAUUGCAUGAAUAAUUCAGCUAACAAACAGAAAAUACUAUUUUUAUUUUAUUUAAUAUAAAUAACAGAAAGUAAAAGGAGGGUACAGAGAGUUGUGUUUUCUAACUUCAUCUAUCUCAUGAUCAUCAAAAGGAAUCCACUAACAACGUUGAUCAAGUCUUGUUAACAAACUCAUUCUGAAUAACAUGGAACCGGAGAAAUUCGAAUAAUACUAUGUUACCUCAAUGGGGAUAUGCACAUCCCCAAUAAUAAGAUUAUCAUAUUUCUUCUUGACAGUAGGAAGAGGAAAUUCAAAACCUCCAAAAAUAAUUGAUGGAAUUUUUCCAAUAAAGUUGAUACUAUGAACUUGAGGUUGUUUCCUCGGAAAGUGUACCGUAUGCUCAUUACCAUUAACAUGAAAAGUGACAUUGCCUUUGUUGCAAUCAAUAACAGCCCCUGCAGUAUUCAAAAAGGGUCUUCCAAGAAUAAUAGUCAUACUAUCGUCCUCGGGAAUAUCAAGAAUAACAAAGUCCGUUAAAAUAGUAACAUUUGCAACCACAACAGGCACAUCCUCACAAAUACCGACAGGUAUAGCAGUUGAUUUAUCGGCCAUUUGCAAAGAUAUUUCAGUAGGUGUCAACUUAUUAAAAUCAAGUCUACGAUAUAAAGAGAGAGGCAUAACACUAACACCGGCUCCAAGAUCACAUAAAGCACUUUUAACAUAGUUUCUUUUAAUGGAGCAUGGUAUAGUGGGUACUCCUGGAUCUCCAAGUUUCUUUGGUAUUCCACCCUUAAAAGUAUAAUUAGCAAGCAUGGUGGAAAUUUCAGCUUUCGGUAUCUUUUUUUAUUAGUGACAAUUUCUUUCAUGUACUUAGCAUAAGGAUUCAUUUUAAGCAUAUCAGUUAAUCGUAGACGCAAAAAGAUAGGUCUAAUCAUUUCAGCAAAGCGCUCAAAAUCAUCAUCAUCCUUUUUCUUGGAUGGUUUGGGAGGAAAAGGCAUGGGUUUCUGAACCCAUGGUUCUCUUUCUUUACCAUGUUUCCUAGCAACAAAGUCUUUCUUAUCAUAACAUUGAUUCUUUGAUUGUGGGUUAUCAAGAUCAACAGCAGGUUCAAUUUCUAUACCAUUAUCGUUGCUAGGUUGAGCAUCAACAUGAACAUUAUCAUCAACAUUAUCAUUAGGUUCAUGUUCAUUACCAGAUUGUAUUUCAGCAUCAGAAAUAGAAAUAUCAUUUGGGUUCUCAGGUGUUUCAAUAAUAGGUUCACUAGAAGCAUGCAAAGUCCUAUCAUUUUUCUUUUUCUUCCUUUUAGAGGGACUAGGUGCAUCCAUAUUCUUUCUCUGAGAAUCUUGCUCAAUUCUCUUAGGGUGGCCUUCAGGAUACAAAGGUUCCUGAGUCAUUCUACCAGUUCUAGUAGCCACUCUAAUAACAUAAUCAUUAUUCUUACUAUUCAAUUCAUUGAGCAAAUCAUUUUGAGCUUUAAGUACUUGUUCUACUUGAGUGGUAACCAUAGAAGCAUGUUUACUAAUAAGUUUAAGUUCACCUUUAACAUUAGCCAUAUAAUCACCCAAGUGUUCAAGCAUAUUUGAAUUGUAUUUCAAUUGUCUACCAAAAUAAGCAUUAAAGUCUUCUUGCUUAGCCAUAAAUUUAUCAAACUCAUCUAAGCAUGGGCUAGCAAACUUAGUAAAUGGGAUUUCAGCUCUAUCAUAUCUAUAGAGAGAAUUUACCUUUACUACCUGUGUCAGGUUAUCAAGACCAUGAGUUUCUUCAGUAGGUGAAGGAUUAAGAUCAUAUGUUUCUUCAACAGGCGGUAAAUUAAGACCAUGUAUUUCUUAAGUAGGAGGUAAAUUCUUAACAUCUUCAGCUUUAAUACCUUUUUCUUUCAUAGAUUUCUUUGCCUCUUGCAUAUCUUCAGGACUGAGAAAUAGAACACCUCUCUUCUUCGAAGUUGGUUUAGGAAUAGGCUCAGGAAGUGUCCAAUUAUUUUCAUUAGUCAACAUAUUAUUCAAUAGAAUUUCAGCUUCAUCUGGUGUUCUUUCCCUGAAAACAGAACCAGCACAACUAUCCAGGUAAUCUCUGGAAGCAUCGGUUAGUCCAUUAUAAAAGAUAUCAAGUAUUUCAUUUUUCUUAAGAGGAUGAUCAGGCAAAGCAUUAAGUCACUUGAGAAGCCUCCGCCAAGCUUGUGGGAGACUCUCUUCUUCUAUUUGCACAAAAUUAUAUAUAUAUCGCUUAAGGCAGCUUGUUUCUUAUGAGCAGGGAAAUAUUUAGCAGAGAAGUAAUAAAUCAUAUCCUGGGGACUACGCACACAACCAGGAUCAAGAGAAUUAAACCAUAUCUUAGCAUCACCCUUUAAUGAGAACGAAAAUAUUUUAAGGAUAUAAAAGUAGCAAGUUCUCUCAUCAUUAGUGAACAGGGUGGCUAUAUCAUUUAAUUUAGUAAGAUGUGCCACAACAGUUUCAGAUUCAUAGUCGUCAAAAGGAUUAUUCAACCAAAGUAAUUAUAUCAGGAUCAACAGAGAAUUCAUAAUCCUUAUCAGUAACACAUAUAGGUGAAGUAGCAAAAGCAGGGUCAGGUUUCAUUCUAGCAUAAAGAGAUUGUUGCUUCCAUUUAGCUAAUAACCUCUUGAGCUCGUAUCUAUUUUUGCAAGCUAAAAUAGCUAAAGCAGCUUCCUUUUCAAAAACAUAACCCUCAGAAAUAACAGGUAAUUCAUAUUUAUUAGGGGAAGAGUCUUCAUCAUCACUUUCAUCAAUGUUAUCAGUUUCAAUAAUUUCAUUCUCUCUAACCCUAGCAAGUUGUUCAUCAAGAAAUUCACCAAGUGGCACAGUAGUAUCAAGCAUAGAAGUAGUUUCAUCAUAAGUAUCAUGCAUAGCAGAAGUGGUACCAUCAAUAAUCUGUGACAUAUCAAAACGAAUAGCAGAAGCAGGUUUAGGUGUCGCAAACUUACUCAAAACAGAAGGUGAAUCAAGUGCAGAGCUAGAUGGCAGUUCCUUACCUCCCCUUGUAGUUGAGGGAUAAAUCUUGGUUUUUGGAUCUUUCGAGUUCUUCAUAAUGGUAAGAAGAUAUAAAUCCCAAGUGACUCAAAUAAUAGAGCUAUGCUCCCCGGCAACGGCGCUAGCAAAUAGUCUUGAUAACCCAUAAGUAUAGGGGAUCGCAACCGUUUUCAAGGGUAGAGUAUUCAACCCAAAUUUAUUGAUUCGACACAAGGGGAGCCAAAGAAUAUUCUCAAGUAUUAGCAGCUGAGUUGUCAAUUCAACCACACCUAGAAACUUAAUAUCUGUAGCAAAGUGUUUAGUAGCAAAGUAAUAUGAUAGUAGUGGUAACGGUUGCAAAAGGUAAUGAUAGCAAAAGUAAUGUUUUUGGUAUUUUGUAGUGAUGAUAGCAAUAGCAACGGAAAAGUAAAUAAGCGAAGAACAAUAUAUGGAAAGCUCGUAGGCAAUGGAUCGGUGAUAGAGAAUUAUGCCGGAUGCGGUUCAUCAUGUAACAGUCAUAACCUAGGGUGACACAGAACUAGCUCCAAUUCAUCAAUGUAAUGUAGGCAUGUAUUCCGAAUAUAGUCAUACGUGCUUACGGAAAGAACUUGCAUGACAUAUUUUGUCCAACCCUCUCGUGGCAGCGGGGUCCUAAUGGAAACUAAGGGAUAUUAAGGUCUCCUUUUAAUAGAGUACCGGACCAAUGCAUUAACACAUAGUGAAUACAUGAACUCCUCAAACUACAGUCAUCACCGGUAAGUAUCCUGAUUAUUGUCACUUCGGGGUUAACGGAUCAUAACACAUAGUAGGUGACUAUAGACUUGCAAGAUAGGAUCAAAAACUCUCAAAUAUUGAUGAAAACAUAAUAGGUUCAGAUCUGAAAUCAUGGCACUCGGGCCCUAGUGACAAGCAUUGAGCAUAGCAAAGUCAUAGCAACAUCAAUCUCAGAACAUAAUGGAUACUAGGGAUCAAACCCUAACAAAACUAACUCGAUUACAUGAUAAAUCUCAUCCAACCCAUCACCGUCCAGCAAGCCUACAAUGGAAUUACUCACGCACGGCGGUGAGCAUCAUGAAAUUGGUGAUGGAGGAAGGUUGAUGAUGACGAUGGCGACGGAUUCCCCUCCCCGGAGCCCCGAACGGACUCCAGAUCAGCCCUCCCGAGAGGUUUUAGGGCUUGGCGGCGGCUCCGUAUCGUAAAACGCGAUGAAUCCUUCUCUUUGAUUUUUUUUUCUCCCCGAAAGCAAAUAUAUGGAGUUGGGGUUCAGGUCGGAGGAGCUCCAGAGGGCCCACGAGGUAGGGGCGCACCCUAGGGGGGCAGGCGCGCCCCCACCCUCGUGGAUAGGGUGUGGGCCCCCUGGUCUUCAUCUUUUGCAAGGAUUUUUUUAUUAUUUCUGAAAAGAUGUUCCGUGAAGUUUCAGGUCAUUCCGAGAACUUUUGUUUCUGCACAUAAAUAACACCAUGGCAAUUCCGCUGAAAACAGCAUCAAUCCGGGUUAGUUCCAUUCAAAUCAUGCAAGUUAGAGUCCAAAACAAGGGCAAAAGUGUUUGGAAAAGUAGAUACGACGGAGACAUAUCAUGCACCUACAAAAACUGACAAACUCUUGCACACAACGCGAAAAAGGGGUUGUCGAUCCCUUCACGGUCACUAGCAAGGGUGAGAUCUGAUAGAGAUUGAUAUAAAAGAUAAGUAAAAGUGUAAAAUAAAGUAAAUAUAAAUAAAUUGCAGCAGGGUAGUUUUGGGUUUUUGGUUUUAUAGAUCUGAAAAUAAUAUGAUAAAAAUAGACCAGGGGGCCAUAGGUUUCACUAGAGGCUUCUCUCUUGAAAGAAACAUAUGAUUGGUAAACAAAUUACUGUUGAGCUAUUGGUAGAAAAGCACAUAGUUAUGACGAUAUCUAAAGCAAUGAUCAUGAAUAUACAGUGUUACGCGUCGGUGCUAUACAAACGUUUUUAACCUCUUUCCGCAACGACAUUUAGAACCGCCGCCAAGUGAGUGUGGGCGAUAGGGAUGUCCUUCCCACACGACCCAGAAAUCGUCGGGGAUAGGACACAGACUGGGGCCAAAUGAGCUCGUGUGCGAUCGGGCGAGGCAUCGAAACCCAAUCAUUUCCGUUCGUAUGUACAUCUCACACGGUGAAUCCCAAAAAAACAUUUCCGUCCGUAUGUAUAUCACACAGUCAAUCCAAGGAAUAUGUUUCCGUUCUUAUGUACAUCCCACGCAGUCAAUCCAGGGAAAAUGUUUCCAUUCGUAUGUACAUACCACACAGUUUUAUGUAUACGCUCGUGUGUGAAAGGUGUAACUAUCACACAUGCUCUGCCUUGGUUAACUAUUUGCUUUUAUAAACUACAUCACACACGAUUUGAUGUAGAAACUGUGUGGCAUUGGGCUAUCCAUCACAAGCGCUUUUACUACCAGAACUGUUUGCAAAGUUCCAUGACCGUCUGUUCUCUUUUUACAUCACACACGUUGUUUUAUUUCUAACCGUGUGCAUAUUAGUUUAUUAGCUCAUCUAUAUUUUUAUUUUGCCUGUAAUUUAUUAUUCGAAUUGGAAAUUUUGAAAUAUGAAACGUGCAAUUCAAAUUCUCAGCACAAUGGUUCAACAACGAAUUCAUAAAUAAAAUUGCCAGUACAAUAUGUUCAGUAAUUACAGGAUUAUGCAGCAAUUAACUAUGAUGAACCACAAUAUUUAAAGGCGGUAAAGGUGAAGAGACAAGUGUAAAUCAUUUUGACUGCCGACGGUGUUGAAGAAGCGGAAUGCCCAUAAUGUGCCUUCAUGCAUGCCAUAGGCACGAACCACUUUUGUCCAACCCCUUAUGACGAUCGCCCGCCCAUCCUUCACCGCCUUCAGGAAGACUUUUAGAGCAUUAUCAUGGUAGUAUGAAUUAUAUACUUUAACCUUAGUUGCCUCCACCCCGGUCAUGUAGUUUACAAGGUAGUCAUUAGUAAAUAGCUUCGGAAACCACUGAAAAGAGAAAAAUAUCAGAUACUGAGGUCUAAUAGAGUAACUUGUCAAUGAUAACCUCCCCAGUUUCAGACAUGAUGGCAACAAAUUGCAAAAAGAACGAGCACACAGAAGGCAGGAAAGAGGUGAACGGAAAGAGAGGGCGAAUUAAACGGCAAGGGUGAAGUGGGGGAGAGGAAAACGAGAGGCAAAUGGAAAAUAAUGUAAUGCGAAGGAUAAGAGUUGUGAUGGGUACUUGGUAUGUCUUGACUUGGCGUAGAUCUCCCCGGCAACGGCGCCAGAAAUCCUUAUUGCUACCUCUUGAGCACUAUGUUGGUUUUCCCUUGAAGAGGAAAGGGUGAUGCAGUAAAGCAGUGUAAGUAUUUCCCUUAGUUUUUGAGAACCAAGGUAUCAAUCCAGUAGGAGACCACGCGUGAGUCACCUCAUACCUACACACACAAAUAAGAACCUCGUAACCAACACGAUAAAGGGGUUGUCAAUCCCUUCACGGCCACUUGCAAGAGUGAGAUCUGAUAGAGAUGAUAAUAAUAAGAUAAAUAUUUUUGGUAUUUUUAUGAUAUAGAUUGAAAGUAAAGAUUGCAAAAUAAAGUAGAUUGGAAACUUGUAUGAUAGAGAAUAGACCCGGGGGCCAUAGGUUUCACUAGUGGCAUCUCUCAAGAUAGCAUAAGUAUUACAGUGGGUGAACAAAUUACUGUCGAGCAAUUGAUAGAAAAGCGAAUAAUUAUGAGAAUAUCUAGGCAUGAUCAUGUAUAUAGGCAUCACGUCGAUGCCAAGUAGACCAAAACGAUUCUUCAUCUACUACUAUUACUCCACACAUCGACCACUAUCCAGCAUGCAUCUAGAGUAUUAAGUUCAUAAGAACAGAGUAACGCCUUAAGCAAGAUGACAUGGUGUAGAGGGAUAAACUCAUGCAAUAUGAUGUAAACCCCAUAUUGUUAUCCUCGAUGGCAACAAUACAAUACCUGUCGUUUCCCUUUCUGUCACUGGGAUCGAGCACCACAUGAUUGAACCCAAAGCUAAACACUUCUCCCAUUGCAAGAAAGAUCAAUCCAGUAGGCCAAACCAAACUGAUAAUUCGAAGAGACUUGCAAAGAUAAACCAAUCAUACAUAGAAUUCAGAGGAGAUUCAAAUAUUGUUCAUAGAUAGACUUGAUCAUAAACCCACAAUUCAUCGGAUCUCGACAAACACACCGCAAAAAGAAGCUUACAUCAAAUAGAUCUCCAAGAGAAUCGAGGAGAACUUUGUAUUGGGAUCCAAAGAGAGAAAAGAAGCCAUCUAGCUACUAGCUAUGGACCCGAAGGUCUGAAGUAAACUACUGACACAUCAUCGGAGAGGCCAUGGAGUUGAUGUAGAGGCCCUCCGUGAUCAAUGCCCCCUCCGGCGGAGCUCCAGAAAAGACCCCAAGAUGGGAUCUCUUGGGUACAGAAGGUUGCGGCGAUGGAAUUAGGUUUUCGUGGUGCUCCUAGAUGUUUGCGGGGUAUAUGGAUACAUAUAUAGGAGGAAGAAGUAGGUCGGUGGAGCAAUGAGGGGCCCACGAGGGUGGAGGGCGCGCCCAGGGGGUGGGCGCGCCCCCUGCCUCGUGGCCGCCUCUUUGAUUGCUUGACGUCCACUCCAAGUCUCCUGGAUCACAUUUGUUCCAAAAAUAACACUCCCGAAGGUUUCAUUCCAUUUGGACUCCGUUUGAUAUUCCUUUUCGGUGAAACACUAAAAUAGGCCAAAAAAACAACAAUUUGGGUUGGGCCUCCGGUUAAUAGGUUAGUCCCAAAAAUGAUAUAAAAGUGUAAAAUAAAGUCCAUUAACAUCCAAAAUAGAUAAUAUGAUAGCAUGGAGAAAUUAAAAAUUAUAGAUACGUUGGAGACAUAUCAGUGUGCCGCACUGCAAACAUAUAUGUCAGAUGUUACCCUUGUAAGCGAAAAGGAACAAGAUAUGAUUAGGACACCCUUGUUCACUUAUGAUUCAGCUAAAAGCUUGUCCUUACGGAGGAAUUGCGCGUCAACGUCGUCUUCCGAACCCGAAUCUCCUAGCAAAGACAUCUUCCCUCGCUUAGGAGCCUCUACCUCCAAAUCUUCGGAGGCGGUCGUCUUCUUCCCAUGCGGGGAAGGGAUGUCAGCGUCCCCUUCUCUUUUGUCUUUGGAAGAGGGAGUCCCAAUCUCCCCGGACAUAGCGUCCGGUGUACCUUUAGAAUGGAGGCCGCCUUUGGCCUUCUUGCUCUCCUCCUUGUCCUCCUUCACCGGCACUUGAUAUGGUGCCGGAGCCAGCAUCCUUGUUAACACAGGAUCGGCUGAGUCUUCGGGAAGAGGGGCCGAACACCUAAUUCGUUCCGCCUUCUUUACCCAAACCCGUUCGAAGAUGGUUUUCUCAGUGCUACGGGAUAUUUAACUAAGCUGUGUCCAGGAGUCGAGUACUUACCGAGGUAUCCGGGUGGUUGCAGUCGAGGCCAAUGUCUUCGGUGGUAUCAGGCCACUGCUUUCGUGUCCUGAAGAAUAACUUCCACAUUCCUUUGUGUGUAGUGCCGAAGAAGUGUUGAAGGGUCUGUGGUCCUUCCGGAUUAAACUCCCACAUGCGGAGGGGCUGUCGCUGGCACGACAGGACCCGACGGACUAGCAUUACCUGGAUUACAUUGAUGAGGCUGGUGUCCUUUUCGAGGAGGCACCGGGUGCGGCUUUGUAGCAUCUGCACUUCGUCAAUUGAUCCCCAGUGCAGCCCCUUAUUAAUCCAGUAUGCGAGCUGUAAUGGAGGGACAGAUCGGAAUGCAGGUGUAGCUGCCCACUUGGUACCACGAGGUUUAGUGAUGUAAAACCACUCCCGCUGCCAUAGGUUGGAAGCUUCCGUGAAAGAGCCUUUGGGCCAAAAGGCAUUGGUGAGCUUGUUCACCGUAGCACCACCACACUCCAUUUUUUGCUUCCCCUUGAUAACCCACAAGUAUAGGGGAUAGUAACAGUUUUCGAGGGUAGAGUAUUCAACCCAAAUUUAUUGAUUCGGCACAAGGGGAGCCAAAGAAUAUUCUCAAGUAUUAGCAGCUGAGUUGUCAAUUCAACCACACCUAGAAACUUAAUAUCUGCAGCAAGGUAUUUAGUAGCAAAGUAAUAUGAUAGUAGUGGUGACGGUAGCAAAAGUAAUAUUUUUGGUUUUAUAGUGAUUGUAACAGUAGCAACGGAAAAGUAAAUAAGCGAAGAAGAAUAUAGGAAAAGCUCAUAGGCAUUGGAUUAGUGAUGGAUAAUUAUGCCGGAUGCGAUCAAUCAUGCAAUAGUUAUAACAUAGGGUGACACAGAACUAGCUCCAGUUCAUCAAUGUAAUGUAGGCAUGUAUUCUGAAUAUAGUCAUACAUGCUUAUGGAAAAGAACUUGCAUGACAUCUUUUGUCCUACCCUCCCGUGGCAGCGGGGUCCUAUUGGAAACUAAGGGAUAUUAAGGCCUCCUUUUAAUAGAGUACCGGACCAAAGCAUUAACGCAUAGUGAAUACAUGAACUCCUCAAACUAUGGUCAUCACCGGUAAGUAUCCCGAUUAUUGUUAAUUCGGGGUUAACGGAUCAUAACACAUAAUAGGUGACUAUAGACUUGCAAGAUAGGAUCAAGAACUCACAUAUAUUCAUGAAAACAUAAUAGGUUCAAAUCUGGAAUCAUGGCACUCGGGCCCUAGUGACAAGCAUUAAGCAUAGCAAAGUCAUAACAACAUCAAUCUCAGAACAUAAUGGAUACUAGGGAUCAAACCCUAACAAAACUAACUCGGUUACAUGAUAAAUCUCAUCCAACCCAUCACCAUCCAGCAAGCCUACGAUGGAAUUACUCACGCACGGCAGUGAGCAUCAUGAAAUUUGUGAUGGAGGAAGGUCGAUGAUGAUGAUGGCGAUAGAUUCCCCACUCCGGAGCCCCAAACGGACUCUAGAUCAGCCCUCCCGAGAGAGUUUAGGGCUUGGCGGCGGCUCCGUAUCGUAAAACGCGAUGAAUCCUUCUCUCUUAUUUUUUUUCUCCCCGAACACGAAUAUAUAGAGUUGGAGUUGAGGUCGGAGGAGUAUCAGGGGGCCCAUGAGGUAGGGGGCACGCCCACAGGGGUAGGCGCGCCCCCACCCUCGUGGAUAGGGUGUGGGCCCCUGGCCUUGAUUCUUUUGCCAAUAUUUUUUAUAUAUUCCAAAAAUAAUCUCCGUUGAUUUUCAGGUCAUUCCGAGAACUUCUAUUUCUGCACAAAAAUAACACCAUGGCAAUUCUGCUGAAAACAGCGUCAGUCCGGGUUAGUCCCCUUCAAAUCAUGCAAGUUAGAGUCCAAAACAAGGGCAAAAGUGUUUGGAAAAGUAGAUACGACGGAGACGUAUCAACUCCCCCAAGCUUAAACCUUUGCUUGUCCUCAAGCAAUUCAGUUGAUAAACUGAAAGUGAUAGAGAAAAACUUUUACAAACUCUGUUUGCUCUUGUUAUUGUAAAUAUGUAAAGCCAGCAUUCAAGUUUUCAGCAAAGAUCAUGAACUAACCAUAUUCACAAUAACAUUUAGGUCUCAUGUUAACUCAUAUCAAUGGCAUAAUCAACUAGCGAGCAAUAAUAAUAAAUCUUGGAUGACAACACUUUCUCAAAACAAUCAUAAUAUGAUAUAACAAGAUGGUAUCUCGCUAGCCCUUCCUGAGACCGCAAGACAUAAAUGCAGAGCACCUUUAAAGAUCAAGGACUGACUAGACAUUGUAAUUCAUGGUAAAAGAGAUCUAGUCAAGUCAUACUCAAUGUAAACUAACAAUAAUACAUGCAAAUUACAGUGGUGCUCUCCAACUGGUGCCUUUUAAUAAGAGGAUGAUGACUCAACAUAAAAGUAAAUGGAUAGGCCCUUCGCACAGGGAAGCAUGGAUUUGUAGAGGUGCCAGAGCUUGAUUUUGAAAUAGAGAUGAAUAAUAUUUUGAGCGAUAUACUUUCAUUGUCAACAUAACAACCGAGAGAUCUCGAUAUCUUCCAUGCUACACACAUUAUAGGCGGUUCCCAAGCAGAAUGGUAAAGUUUAUACUCCCCCACCACAAGCAUCAAUCCAUGGCUUGCCCGAAACAACGGGUGCCUCCAACUAAUAACAAUCCUGGGGGAGUUUUGUUCGCAAUUAUUUUGAUUUGAUUUGAGCAUGGGACUGGGCAUACCGGUGACCAGCCAUUUUCUCGUGAAUGAGGAGCGUAGUCCACUCCUCUUGAGAAUAACCCGCCUAGCAUGGAAGAUACAGACAGCCCUAGUUGAUGCAUGAUCUAUUCGAGCAUACAAAAAAGAAUGUUUAUUUGAAGGUUUAGAGUUUGACACAUACAAAUUUACUUGGAACGGAAGGUAGAUACCGUAUCUAGGAAGGUAUGAUGGACUCAUAUGGAAUAACUUUGGGGUUUAUGGAAUUGGAUGCACAAGCAGUAUUCCUACUUAGUACAAGUGAAGGAUAGAAAGAGAUUGGAAAGCGACCAGCUAGAGAGCGACAACAGUCAUGAACAUGCAUUAAAAUUAAUCAACACUGAAUGUAAGCAUGAGUAGGAUUUAAUUCACCAUGAAUAUAAAUAUCGUAGAGGCUAUGUUGAUUUUGUUUCAACUACAUGUGUGAACAUGUGCCAAAUCAAGCCACUCGAAUCGUUCAAAGGAGGAUACCACCCCAUCAUACCACAUCACAACCAUUUUAAUAGCAUGUUGGCACGCAAGGUAAACCAUUAUAAACUCCUAGCUAAUUAAGCAUGACAUAAGCAACUAUAAUCUCUAAUUGUCAUUGCAAACAUGUUUGAUUCAUAAUAGGCUGAAUCAGGAACGAUGAACUAAUCAUAUUUACAAAACACAAGAGAAGUCGAGUUCAUACCAGCUUUUCUCAACUCAAUCAGUUCAUCAUAUAUCGUCAUUAUUGCCUUUCACUUGCACAACCGAAUAGUGUGGAUAAUAAUAAUAGUGCACAUGCAUUGGACUAAGCUGGGAUCUGCAAGCAUUCAAUUCAAGAGAGAAGAUAAGGUAAUAUGGGCUCUUUGUUAGAUCAACAAUAAUGCAUAAGAGAGCCACUCAACAUUUUCAUUAUGGUCUUCUCCUCUCGACCCCCAAAGAAAAGAAAUAAAACAAAACUAUUUACACAGGAAAGCUCCCAACAAGCAAAAGAAGAACGAGAAAUCUUUUUGGGUUUUGUUUUUAAUUACUACUAUUAUAGACAUGGAAAGUAAACUAACUAAAAGCUACAACUAUUUUUUUUUGUUUUUCUUAAGGUUUUUCAAACACACAAGAAGAAAGCUAGAAAAAGAAAAUAAAUUAGCAUGGAUGAUACAAUGAAAAAGUAUGAGCACCGACAAUUGGCAUGAGUGUGUGAACAUGAAUGCAAUGUCGGUGAGAGAUACGUACUCCCCCAAGCUUAGGCUUUUGGCCGAAGUUGGUCUAUGCCCAAGGAUCAAAACUGUAGCUGGGGUCACACUGAGAAGGGUCCUCAGGUUGCCACUGGUUGGCGAUCUCCUCCGGAUUCCAUUGAUAAACAUACUGACGGUGAGGAUUAGAUGGUGGCUCCGGAUCUGCAACUGACAUCUGGCUCCGGUAGUCAUGAAUGGCCUCCGACAGAACAAGGUACAUGCCUGAAAAUAUGUUGAACAAAGAGGACGCAGGCAAAGUAAUAAACUCACAAUAAUUUUUGUUAAAUAUCAAUUUAUAUUUGAGUGUCUUCUUCUUAUCGUUAAUAAUAAACUCAUGUGCUACCAUACUCUUGUAAUCUAGAACAAUAAGAGGCAACAACUUUUCCUCUUUCUCAUGAUGUCUGAUAGGUAUAUUAAAGUGUGCAGCAAGGCGGGAGGCAAAGAUGCCUCCGAGGACGGGGCCCUUAGUACGGUUCAGAUUUAACCGUUUAGCAACAAUAGCGCCUAAACUGAAAGUAGUAUCAUGAAACAAGGCUUGGCGCAAAAUGACAAUAUCAGGGGCACUAAGGUUUCCACAAUUCCCGCGACCAAUUAAGCAUCUACUAGCGAAUAUUGCAAAGUAACGUAGAACAGGAAAAUGUAUGCUAGUGAUUCUUGCAUCGGAAACUUUCCUCGUUUCCCCUACAACAAUUGUAUCAAUAAAUCCCUCCACAUCAUUACGAUGUGGUUCCUCUAUGCUGCCCUCAAAGGGUAUCAAACAGACCCGGCAAAAUCAUAAAGUGACAUCUCCUUAUGCUCAUCAUAUAAAUAAAAUUCCACCGAAGGUGGUGAUCUCCUAGCAUGGAAAUGAAAAUUUUGCACAAAGAUAUUGGUGAGUAAGAGAUAUUGUUCACGCUGGUCGUGGAGGAAGGCGGUGAGGCCUGCAUUCUCAACCAAAUGAUAAAAAUCCUCAUAAAUCCCAGCUUCUCUCAAGAACUCAUCACAAGGCCAUUCACACGGCCGAACCUCCGCAGUACGAGGGAGAGUAUACUUGGGCUUCUUGUUCUCCUCACUUUGCUUAUCCUUCGAGCUUCGGCUCGAUGAGCACCUCAAAAAUCUCUUCAUCUUUUUCUGAAAAUUUCUGAAAAUUUUAGUAACUUAAAAUAAAAGUGAACCAAACUCAACAAGAUUGAUAGCAACUACUCCUACAAGUGCCUAGAGGCCAUAUCAUGCAUUAAAACUACUUUUGACCACAUAAAUUUGACAUGCAAGCUCAAGAACAGGGUCACCUAAGAAGCAAAAAAUUGCAAUAAAUAAAGCACUAGAACAAAAACUAAUUGGACCAUUGGAGGAGUCACAUACCAAAGAACAAUCCCCCAAAGCAGUUUUGUGAGAGGAGCUUUGAGCAAGGAGAUAAAAAAUGACAGCAAGAUGAGCGAGAACUCGGGUUUGAGCUGGCUAGUGAUUUUUUCAGGAGCAAGACAAAGUGUGUGGGUGCAAGGAUAAGUGGAGGGGACCCACGUGGGGUCCACGAGGCAGGGGGCGCGCCUAGGGGGUGGGCGCGCCCUCCACCCGUGUGGGCACGUGGUGGGUCCCCUGGUGUGUUCUCAGUGCCAGAAAUUCUCAAAUAUUCUAGAAAAGUUAUAUUUAAUUUUCAGGUCAUUUGGAGAACUUUUAUUUUUGGGGUAUUUUUUAUUGCAUGGAUAAUUCAGAAAACAGACAAAAAUACUAUUUUUGCUUUAUUUAAUAUAAAUAACAGAAAGUAAAAAGAGGGUACAGAUAGUUGUGUUUUCUAACUUCAUCCAUAUCAUGCUCAUCAAAAGGAAUCCACUAACAAGGUUGAUCAAGUCUUGUUAACAAACUCAUUCUGAAUCGCAUGAAACCUGAAAAUUUUCGAAUAACACUAGGUUACCUCAACUGGGAUAUGCACAUCCCCAACAAUAAGAAUAUCAUAUUUUUUUCUUGACAGUAGGAAGGGGAAAUUCAAAACCUCCAAUAGUAAUCGUUGAAAAUUUUCCAAUAGAACUAAUACUAUGGACUUGAGGUUGUUUCCUCGGAAAGUGUACCGUAUGCUCAUUACCACUAACAUGAAAAGUGACAUUGCCUUUGUUGCAAUCAAUAACAGCCCCUGCAGUAUUCAAAAAGGGUCUACCAAGGAUAAUCGACAUACUAUCGUCCUCGGGAAUAUCAAGAAUAACAAAGUCCAUUAAAAUAGUAACGUUUGCAACCACAACAGGCACAUCCUCACAAAUACCGACAGGUAUAGCAGUUGACUUAUCAGCCAUUUGCAAAGAUAUUUCAGUAGGUGUCAACUUAUUCAAAUCAAGUCUACAAUAUAAAGAGAGAGGCAUAGCACUAACACCGACUCCAAGAUCACAUAAAGCAAUUUUAACAUAGUUUCUUUUAAUGGAGCAUGGUAUAGUUGGUACUCCUGGAUCUCCAAGUUUCUUUGGUAUUCCACCCUUAAAAGUGUAAUUAGCAAGCAUGGUGGAAAUUUCAGCUUCCGGUAUCUUUCUUUUAUUAGUAACAAUAUCUUUCAUGUAUUUGGCAUAAGGGUUCAUUUUAAGCAUAUCAGUCAAACGCAUACGCAAAAAGAUAGGUCUAAUCAUUUCAGCAAAGCGCUCAAAAUCCUCAUCACCCUUUUUCUUGGAUGGCUUAGGAGGAAAAGGCAUGGGUUUCUAAACCCAUGGUUCUCUUUCCUUACCGUGCUUCCUAGCAACAAAGUCUCUCUUAUCAUAACGUUGAUUUUUUGAUUGUGGGUUAUCAAGAUCAACAGCAGGUUCAAUUUCUACAUCAUUAUUAUUGCUAGGUUGAGCAUCAACAUGAGCAUCAUCAUUAACAUUAUCACUAGGUUCAUGUUCAUUACCAGAUUGUGUCUCAGCAUCAGAAAUUGAAAUAUCAUUGGAAUUCUUAGGUGUGUCAAGAACAGGUUCACUAGAAGCAUGCAAAGUUCUAUCAUUUUUCUUUUUCUUCCUCUUAGAAGAACUAGGUGCAUAAAUAUUAGUUCUUUGAGAAUCUUGUUCAAUUCUCUUAGGAUGGCCCUCAGGAUACAAAUGUUCCUGAUUCAUUUUACCACCUCUAGUCAUAACUCUAAUAGCAUUAUCAUUCUUCUUAUUAUUUAAUUCAUUGAGCAAAUCAUUCUGAGCUUUAAGUACUUGUUCUACUUGAGUGGUAACCAUAGAAGCAUGUUUACUAAUAAGUUUGAGUUCACCUUUAACACUAGCCAUAUAAUCACUCAAGUGUUCUAGCAUAUCAGCAUUGUGUUUCAAUUGUCUACCAACAUAAGCAUUGAAGUUUUCUUGUUUAACCAUAAAGUCAUCAAACUCAUCCAAGCAUUGGCUAGCAAACAUAGUAAAUGUGAUUUCACAUUUAUCAAAUCUAUAGAGAGAAUUUACCUUUACUACCUGUGUAGGGUUAUCAAGACCAUGUAUUUCUUCAAUAGGUGGUAAAUUCUUAACAUCUUCAGCUUUAAUACCUUUUUAUUUCAUAGAUUUCUUUGCCUCUUGCAUAUCUUCGGGACUGAGAAAUAGAAUACCCCUUUUCUUUGGAGUUGGCUUAUGAGUUGGUUCAGGAAGUGUUCAAUUAUUUUCAUUAGUCAACAUAUUAUUCAAUAGCAAUUCAGCUUGAUCAACAGUUCUUUACCUAAAAACACAACCAGCACAACUAUCCACGUAGUCUCUGGAAGCAUCGGUUAGUCCAUUAUAAAAGAUAUCAAGUAUUUCAUUUUUCUUGAGAGGAUGAUCAGGCAAAACAUUAAGUAAUCAGAGAAGCCUCCCCCAAGCUUGUGGGAGACUCUCUUCUUCAAUUUGCACAAAAUUAUAUAUUUCCCUUAAAGCAGCUUGUUUCUUAUGAGCGGGAAAUAUUUAGUAGGGAAGUAAUAAAUCAUAUCCUGGGGACUAUGCACACAACCAGGAUCAAGAGAAUUAAACCAUGUUUUAGCAUCACCCUUUAAUGAGAACGGAAAUAACUUAAGGAUAAAGUAAUAGCGAGUUUUCUCAUCAUGAGUAAACAGGGUGGCAAUAUCAUUUAAUUUAGUAAGAUGUACCACAACAGUUUCAGAUUCAUAGCCAUAAAAAGGAUCAGAUUCAACCAAAGUAAUUAACUCAGGAUUGACAGAGAAAUCAUAAUCCUUAUUAGUAAUAAAGAUAGGUGAAGUAGCAAAAGCAGGGUCAUAUUUCAUUCUAGCAUUCAAAGACUUUUCUUUAAGCUUAGCUAAUAAUUUCUUAAGAUCAGAUAUAUCAUUGCAAGCUAAGAAGUCUCUAGCAGUUUCUUCAUCCAUAACAUAACCCUCAGGCACAAUAGGCAAUUCAUCUCUAGGGGAGAAUCUUCAUCAUCACUUUCAUUAAUAUUAUCAGUUUCAAUAAUUUCAUUCUCUCUGGCCCUAGCAAGUUGUUCAUUAAGAAAUUCACCUAGUGUCAUAGUAUUAUCAAGCAUAGAAGUAGUUUCAUCAUAAGUAUCAUGCAAAGCAGAAGUGGCAUCAUCAAUAACAUGCGACCUAUCAUAAUCAAUAGCAUGUGUAGGUGUCACAAGUUUACUCAAAACAGAAGGUGAAUCAAGUGCAGAGCUAGAUGGCAGUUCCUUACCUCCCCUCGUAGUUGAGGGAAAAAUCUUGGUUCUUUGAUCUUUCAAGUUCUUCAUAAUGAUAAGCAGAUAUAAAUCCCAAGUGACUCAAAGAAUAGAGCUAUGCUCCCCAGCAACGGCGCCAGAAAAUAGUCUUGAUAACCCACAAGUAUAGGGGAUCGCAACAGUUUUCGAGGGUAGAGUAUUCAACCCAAAUUUAUUGAUUCGAUACAAGGGGAGCCAAAGAAUAUUCUCAAGUAUUAGCAGCUGAGUUGUCAAUUCAACCACACCUGGAAACUUAAUAUCUGCACCAAGGUAUUUAGUAGCAAAGUAAUAUGAUAGUAGUGGUAACGGUAGCAAAAGUAAUUUUUUUGGUUUUAUAGUGAUUGUAACAGUAGCAACGGAAAAGUAAAUAAGCGAAGAACAAUAUAGGAAAAGCUCAUAGGCAUUGGAUCAGUGAUGGAUAAUUAUGUCGGAUGCGAUUAAUCAUGCAACAGUUAUAACAUAGGAUGACACAGAACUAGCUCCAGUUCAUCAAUGUAAUGUAGGCAUGUAUUCCGAAUAUAGUCGUACAUGCUUAUGGAAAAGAACUUGCAUGACAUAUUUUGUCCUAUCCUCCCGCGGCAGCGGGGUCCUAUUGGAAACUAAGGGAUAUUAAGGCCUCCUUUUAAUAGAGUACCGGACCAAAGCAUUAACACAUACGCUGCGUUUGGAUGUCUCCAUUGGUGAGCUCUGUAUUGAAUUGGUCUGGAAUUCCAAAUCAGUGAGGAAAUUGAAAUGGCACAAAUACGAAUUCACAUGUUUGGUUGUUCACUGCAUUGCCCCUUGAAAUGCCUAUGAGGUUGUAAUACCAAAUCCUGCUUGGAUGACAAACUUUGGAAUUGCAUAGCUAUAUUGCCAUGAAAAUUAUACUCUACUGGGGCAUCUCCUUUGGCCAUGGAGCAGAAGAAAUAAAUAUGGCAGUAAGAAAUAAAUAUUCUAGCAAUGUCCUUUGACCAUGGAGCAGAAGAGGAGCAGCAGUUCCUUCGGCCAUGGAGUAGAAGAAAGGCAGAGGACGGCGAGCAGGGAGGAGGGCGGGGCGUGGCCGAGGAGGGCGGGGCACGGUGGCCGGGGAGGACGGCGGGGCGUGGCACAAGGGGGCGGGGCGCGCUGGUCCUGGGGCCGCCGCCGACCUCCAUGGCGGGGUGUGGCUCAGUGGGGCGGAGAAGAGGAGUUGGGGAAGGGCCAGGGAGGAAGGGACCUGUGCCGCCGUCGGACUCCAUGGUUGUUACCGCCGCCACCAACCUGCUAGGUCGCCGCCGCCGCCCGCCUGCUACCUGCUAGGUCGUCGCGAGGUCGCCUUCUCGUAUCCCCUCCUUUCUCUCUUCUAUUUUCUUGUUGCGGGCUCGAACAGGUACGUUUUGCGGGAGGUGUCCAUUUCAGUCCAAUUCGAAGGGGUAGCCCUCCGAAACGUGCGAGGGAGAUUUACGUGGUAGCCAAAACGGACUGAAUUGGUUUUUCAUUUCCAAUACGAAUUCAGUGUCCAGCCAAACAUCUGUAUUGAUGUGAGAUGAUUACCAAAUCCAUUUCCAGGGCUCCAAUGGAGACAUCCAAACGCAAUGAUAGUGAAUACAUGAACUCCUCAAACUACGAUCAUCACCGGUAAGUAUCCCGAUUAUUGUCACUUCGGGGUUAACGGAUUAUAACACAUAAUAGGUGACUAUAGACUUGCAAGAUAGGAUCAAGAACUCACAUAUAUUCAUGAAAACAUAAUAGGUUCAGAUCUGAAAUCAUGGCACUCGGGCCCUAGUGACAAGCAUUAAGCAUAGCAAAGUCAUAGCAACAUCAAUCUCAGAACAUAUUGGAUACUAGGGAUCAAACCCUAACAAAACUAACUCGAUUACAUGAUAAAUCUCAUCCAACCCAUCACCGUCCAGCAAGCCUACGAUGGAAUUACUCACGCACGGCGGUGAGCAUCAUGAAAUUGGUGAUGGAGGAUGGUUGAUGAUGACGAUGGCGACGGAUUCCCCACUCCGGAGCCUCGAACGGACUCCAAAUCAGCCCUCCCGAGAGAGUUUAGGGCUUGGUGGCGACUCCAUAUCGUAAAACGCGAUGAAUCCUACUCUCUUAUUUUUUUCUCCCCGAACACGAAUAUAUAGAGUUGGAGUUGAGGUUGGAGGAGCAUCAGGGGGCCCAUGAGGCAGGGGGGCGCGCCCGGGGGGUAGGCGCGCCCCCACCCUCGGGGAUAGGGUGUGGGGCCCCGACCUUGAUUCUUUCACCAGUAUUUUUUAUAUAUUCCAAAAAUAAUCUUUGUUGAUUUUCAGGUUAUUCAGAAAACUUUUAUUUCUGCACAAAAAUAACACCAUGGCAAUUCUGCUGAAAACAACGUCAGUCCGGGUUAGUCCCCUUCAAAUCAUGCAAGUUAGAGUCCAAAACAAGGGCAAAAGUGUUUGGAAAAGUAGAUAUGACGGAGACGUAUCACCCCUCGAUUACCUUCGGCUUCACAUUAAAGGUCUUGAGCCAUAAACCGAAGUGAGGGGUAAUACGAAGAAAGGCCUCGCACAUGACAAUAAACGCCGAGAUGUGAAGAAAGUAGUCUGGAGCUAGAUCGUGAAAAUCUAACCCGUAAUAGAACAUGAGUCCGUGAACGAAGGGAUGGAGAGAGAACCCUAGCCCCCGGAGGAAGUGAGAGAUGAAUACGACCCUCUCGCCGGGUUUGGGAGUAGGGAUAACCUGUCCUUUAGCAGGUAGCCUAUGGGGAAUUUCCGCGGUCAGGUAUCUUGCCGCCCGGAGCUUUGCGAUAUCCUCCUCUGUGACGAAGGAGGCCACCCACCGGCCUUGAAGGCUGGGUCCGGACAUGACUGGGAGGCUUGGAGCAAUUAAGUUGAAACCUGGGUGUUGGAAUUCGAGAUUGGAAAGGUUGAGGAAGAGGUAGGCGCGGAGGAGAAAGACGGGUCUGAGCCCCUUUAUAAAGGCGAUGAAUAUCAAACGCCUCCUCAUAGGCCUUAAAGCCCGCCUAUUCCCAAGGGAUCAUGCCAACGGAACAAUUGGGUUAUCCACGCCCAUAUUAAUGAGAAUACCGUGAUAAGGGGACAUGAUCUCUGCUUCGACAAGACGUGCCAAUAAAACCGCGUCUUAAAACGUGGAGCGGGAGGCUAAAAAAUGGUUCGAAAUAAUGGCCGGGCUGGGACGUGAUGUCGUGCUACAAAAAAUGUCAGCAAAUUGGACUUGUAAAAUAUUAUACUCUUUGCGGAUAUAUGUGGUGUUUGUUUUACAGAGGCGGACAUGUUCUUUGUGUUCGAGAGCUGUUUUGGAGUAUUCGGAGGAGGAACCCGCCUUCAAUGUCGAAGACGAUCUGCGCGCCGGACGCCUCAUCAUUGAAGCCUGGUUUAGGGGCUACUGAGGGAGUCCUGGAUUAAGGGGUCCUCGGGCGUCUGACCUGUUGGACAUGGGCCGGACUAAUGCAUGGGCUAUGAAGAUACAAGACAGAAGACUCUCCCCCGUGUCCGGAUGGGACUCUCCUUGGCGUGGAUGGCAAGCUUGGCGUUCGGAUAUGAAGAUUUCUUUCUCUGUAACCGACUUUGUACAACCCUAGUCCCCUCCGGUGUCUAUAUAAACCGGAUGGUUUAGUCCGUAGAGGCAAUCAUAAUCAUACAUGCUAGACUUCUAGGGUUUUCGCCAUUACGAUCUCGUGGUAGAUCAACUCUUGUAACCCGCAUACUCAUCAAUAUCAAUCAAGCAGAACAUAGGGUAUUACCUCCAUCAAGAGGGUCCGAACCCGGGUAAAACUUCGUGUCCCCUGUCUCCUGUUACCAUCAACCUUAAACGCACAGUUCAGGAGCCCCUACCCGAGAUCCGCCGGUUUUGACACCGACACGCAAUCCUGAAAAAACAAUUUUAACGUCACCAAAUUCAACAAUGAUGAUGACUUCCUUCUUCUCUCCAACGAUCAAUCCAUGUGGAACGAGGCUUUGAACUCUCCCGACCUCCUCUACGUUGGCUACGACAUAUUAAGGUUGAAGACCUGACUUUUUUUUCCGAGGAUGGGCCUACAAGGGCCAUCUUUGCUUUGAGGACAUCCCUAAAGCAUGAUGGUUAGCUCGAGAAUGUGACCAGCUCGUCAACGAUCGAGUCGGGCGGAACCAUGCUGUGAACUCUUUCGACCUCCUCUACGCCGGCUAUGCCAUAUCGAGGUUCAAGGCACGGACAAAAUUAUGUGGAAAGGAGUCUUUCAUCAUGCGUACAAGGUUUGUCUUUUUUUGUUGUUGCUGCUUUGAGGGCAUCCUCAAGCAUUUGGUUAGCUUGAGAGCGACGACCUGCUCCUUUUCAUCAGAUUUUUUAUGAUGGUCCCCAGUUAUUCAAGUAGGAGGUGUCCGCUACUACCUUUGGUUGUGCCCGACUGUUCCUGGAGCCCAUUGGUGAUGCAAAUGAUCUCAAUCUGGAGAAGUGCCCGUGUGUCUCCCGGUUAGUAUGAAGUCAAACUUGAUAAAGUUUUUCCCGCAAAAAAAAACUUCAUAAAGUUUGACCAUAUUUAUAUGAAAAAAAUAUCAACAUCUACAAUACUUAAGCUAUACUACAAUUUAAAACUGAAUUCAUGACGUAUCUAAUGAUAUUGGUUACAUAUUAUGAAUGUUGAUGCUUUUUUUCAAUAUAAAGUCGUAUCAAGUCUGACUUCAGACAAAAAUCUUAUAUGCGGAGUAAAACAUACCGGGGCCCAAAAGAAAAAAUAAUACCGGAGGGAGUAUAAGAAAGAAAGCUCCUUAUAAGUAAUGAAAAAUCUUUUGGCCCCUUGAACAAGCAUUGGUUAAGACGAUCCAUCCCGUCAGUUUCCGAGACACGAAAGCCCCUUCCAUGCGGGCCCCCGGGAGAGCGCGCGCCCACUGGCCCCACAGGCAGCGGCACGGCUAAAAACGGGGGGACGCUUCCCUUUCAUCUCGCGACUAUAAAAAGGAAUGGGCGGCCCUGUCCUCUCCCCUCUCCUCGCCUCGCCUUGUCCGCCCUCCGCUCCAUUCGUUUCGAUCUAUUUCGGCUUCCUCUCCUCCAAGCUUCGGCCAUGGCCGCCACGAUCCAGUCCGUGAAGGCCCGCCAGAUCUUCGACAGCCGCGGCAACCCCACCGUCGAGGUACGCACGCGCCCCCGAUUUGUACGUUCUGCUCCGGUCCGACUCGAUCUGGUAGGACGGCCUGGUUUCGAUCUGGUGAUUCGUCCGUCGGCCGUGGGUCGGGGCUUCUGGGGCGCUGGCCGUAGGUUUCUGAUGCGCUAGAUUCGAGGGGUUUUGGGUGGGUGGGACGGUAGGUAGGAUGCAGAUUACUGUUGCCGAGGGAUGUGCUAGAUUCGAUGUGAGGUGGGUUGUUUAGUCGGAUUACUGUGGCGCUCGUCAUGCAUUUAGAUCGGCUGGUCGCCAUGCCCUGUGUUUAUGUAGUCAUUGCGGUUUCGUGCCCUGGUUGUUGCUUAGUGCUUAUCGUUUGAUCUGUGCAUAAUUCCGUAGUGUGAAGUAAUGUGACGAAAAUCUAAAUGAGUGUAGCAUCUCAUUCUGGUCCAAGUGGCAUUGGGUGUGCAGGUAGGAUGUAAAAUGUCGUUUGCUUGUUGCCAAUCCUUGGCCAGUUUUUUUUUCAUAUGUUAGAUAGAUUUGACGCAAACUGGCUUGUUCAGUCAGAUAGAUGCUGGGUAGAACGAUUUUUUAUUUUGCCUGCCAGCCCUCCAUUGUUUGUUUUCACAGUGUGUAUCAACAGAUGGUUGUUCGCUGUGCUUGGUGUUUAUAUAGCUAAAUGUAGCCAUAUGGCCUGUGUCCUAGUUGCAUGCGGCAUUGUCUGGAUUUUAUUGUUUAAGCUAUGCACAAUGCCAAAUUGUAAAAUAUUUUGGCAAGUUAUUUGGCUAAUCUCAUGGUUUUGUGCAUCAGGUUGAUGUGUGCUGCUCAGAUGGAACCUUUGCCAGGGCCGCUGUUCCCAGCGGUGCAUCAACUGGUGAGUUAUUUUGUUAUUAUCACCACUCUCUUCUUUUCAACCUUAAGUUUCUGCUUUGGUUUCCUGAGUUCCUGACUAGUGAAGGCACAAACUCUUAUUUGGAUCAUUAUUUAUGGAAUGUUAUUGUAUUGGUUUUGUUUAACUAGUCUUGUCUGAAUCAUCCCUCUUAUGUAGGUGUUUAUGAAGCUUUGGAACUGAGGGAUGGUGGAUCUGACUACUUGGGAAAGGGUGUAUCCAAGGUUUACAUCCAUUUGAGCGAAUUUUAUCUUCACAUUCUUUAAAUCUAUGUCAUAGUUAAUAGUCAUGUAAUGUGGCUGCUGUAUAUGUUUUUUUUUUUUGCCUCAACUCUAUGCUUCUGUUACACUAGCAAUAUUGUUGCCAGCUUUUGAAAUUUUCCUACUUGUUUACCAAAUUAUUAUGCCAAAUGGACCAAACAGUGCCAUCUUUCCAGUUAUCCUGUUUGUGAGAACAAGUUAUUUUGCCAUGUUGGUUUCAUACAAUGUUUCCUUGUGCUGUAUAACUUGAUGUUUCUAGUUUAAUGUGGUAGGUUGUAGCUUUUUUUCUUUGAUAUCUCAUUGCCGUUGAUUAUGUGUAGUAGCUUAGGAUUAUGUAUUUAUGAAGUGAAUAAUCAUGGGCAAUAUCUCUUGUGCACAUUUUCUUAUUUACUAAAAAACCAACUUGCUCAAGUACUGUCAUGAAAUGAACAACUCAGGAUCAUUUAGUGCUUGAUGUUUCACUAUAGCUAUCCGGGUUUUUUCUAUUGUAGCGAAUAGUCCAUUUGCAUGCAUAAUUUAGUCUUUUCUUUGUAUUUACAUGUAUUUUUCUUUUUUUCUUUCACAGGCUGUUGACAAUGUGAACUCGAUUAUCGCGCCAGCUUUGAUUGGCAAGGUUAGCAUUGUCUCUGCCCCCUUUUCUAUUGUGAUAUGGGAGUUGAAUGCAUAAUUCAUUCAGUGCUCUCUUUCCUUCCACAGGACCCUACAGCUCAAACUGAGCUCGACAACUAUAUGGUUCAGCAGCUUGAUGGAACCAAAAACGAAUGGGGUUGGUGCAAGCAGAAGGUAUUACAUAAUCCACAACGAGUUUUACUUGGUGCCAAUGCUAAUUUCCAUAUGCAGAUCCCCUUCUGACAGCUCAAUUUCUUCUGUAUAUUCAGCUUGGUGCUAAUGCAAUCCUGGCUGUGUCACUAGCUGUUUGCAAAGCUGGAGCCAGCGUCAAGAAGAUUCCGCUGUACCAGGUGUGCAUCAUUGCUAAUCAACUCUUUUAAUAUUCUACAUUUGUUUGCUAUUGCCUAAAGUCUUUGAACAUGAAUAUAUUCUUCACUGCAGCACAUUGCCAACCUUGCUGGCAACAAGCAAUUGGUUUUGCCUGUUCCUGCAUUCAAUGUCAUCAAUGGUGGAUCCCAUGCUGGAAACAAGCUUGCUAUGCAGGCAAUGCUCUGAACUAAGAUUUUCACAUCUUUCAUCAUGUUGUUUUCACACAUUUCUUAUUUAUGCCUUUACUUGCAUAUCUGCAGGAGUUCAUGAUCCUUCCUACUGGAGCUGCCUCAUUCAAGGAGGCAAUGAAGAUGGGCGUUGAAGUGUACCACAACUUGAAGGUAAUUCUUUCAUCUUCUUUUUCUCUUUGCUAUCUUGUAAAAAGCAAAUUUACUAAAACUAACAUUUUCUGUGACAGUCUGUUAUCAAGAAGAAGUAUGGACAAGAUGCCACCAAUGUUGGAGAUGAAGGUGGUUUUGCUCCUAACAUUCAGGUAUUUCCCUGUCCUUAGAGGUUUAAGAUCAGAUUUCCUUGCUUUGUUAUGCCUUGUUAUUUCGUCGACAGUUGCUGAUUGUCAUGUUUGGACGUAUAGAACUACUGUGUUGUUAUAAAUUGAGGUCAAUGUUUGUGGGGUGUGAUCUGAGUUCUUUUUGUUUUCGGGUGUUGUAGGAGAACAAGGAGGGCCUUGAGCUCUUGAAGACUGCAAUUGAAAAGGCUGGAUACACCGGCAAGGUUUGUCUGCUUGAAUUAAUCUGUUGUCACACACUUCUCAGUGAGCUUUUAAGUUAGUGACUGAAGGAGAUUUGUUGGUUUGGGAAAUUCUAGGUUGUCAUUGGAAUGGAUGUUGCUGCUUCAGAGUUCUACAAUGACAAGGACAAAACCUAUGACCUCAACUUCAAGGAAGAGGUAAUUAGCCCCAUGGUUUGUUUUGUGGCAACAAUUUGUUCUCUUUUCAUGAGCAUUUUUAACAUUGCCCUCCCUUGCUGUAGAACAACGAUGGUUCCCAGAAGAUAUCUGGAGAUAGCCUGAAGAAUGUAUACAAGUCAUUCGUGAGCGAGUACCCCAUUGUGUCGAUUGAGGACCCAUUUGACCAGGAUGACUGGGUGCACUAUGCUAAGAUGACUGA
rnacentral:lncRNA from 1 species